AAAUCUCUACCUAAAUGCAUAAUGCAUAAUCCACAUUUGUGUCUCAUUAACCUAUUCUAACAUUCUACAUAGAUGAUGAUUAACUUUUAACCUAGUAAUUCUAAUUGAACAUUGAUAAGUGCCGAAUUUACGUAUUUUUACAUAUUUUAUUGGUACUUAUUGACUUGUUUUACAAGUGAUCUAAGGAAAAUUCAUAAAAUUAUAGCAAAUAUCAGUAAACUAGCUUUUGAAAGCCAAUAUAGAUACUUUGACCUAAUUAUAUACAUUUUGUAGGGUUAUUUUCUUAAAGAUACAUGGAUUGGAUAAAAUCAAAGAUUACGAGUUCAAGGCAGUUCACUAAGCGAGUUGGAAGCGAGUUAAGUCAAAAAGGUUGAAGUUUCAGGGCAAAACAAAUCGCUAAGCGAGGAGUAGGGAGCUCAACGCGAGUGAAAAUCAUGUAGGCCCUUCCACCUUCCCACCAGGUCUUUGCCUCUUUUGAGCAUGCGGGUAGAAAAAAUCACCUUCUCUUCUUUGGUGCAAGGGGAUAAUUAAAGACUUUCUUCAUUUUCUUUAAUCAUUCCUAAGCCACUAAUGGAUUAAUACAUCCUUCAAAAUUUGGCGGCUUCAACUUAUAAAACUCAUGAAAGGCCUUGUUCUUGUUCCCCACUUUUCAAUGGGGUGGUGGUUGUUGAAAGGUUUUCACUUGUUGCAUCAAUUGUUGUUACUGCAUCAUUUGCACCAUGAGUUAUACUGCUUUUGCUGCGCAGUUCGAGCCCAAUGAUCAUCGCCUACAUUAUCCUCUUGGUUGUGAAAGUGAGUUUCUUAAUAGGUGUUAAUCACAAAUUAGAGAGAUAUAUACUUUAAGAAUAUUGAGAUAAGUGAAUCGAGUGAAGGUUAAGCUUUGAGAAUGCGUAAGAGAUUUUUUUAUAGAUACACGAAAUGACAAAACUAUUAUAAAUUCUCAGACAUAAGUAAACGUAUCUAGGUAGUAUCCAAUGAAAUUUUUUAGAUAUUUUUAACAAUUGAGCUACGCCCUGUGAUAAUGAAGAUUGUUUCAAAUAAAGUGUUGUAAGAGUAUCAAAUAUUGAAUAACACUGGUAUUUGUUUAGUCUGUAAUAAAAAUUUCAUAUAACAAAAUAUUCAACAUAAAGUGUUAUCCCAGCACACAAUGCAUACGAGUGAUGUACGACCAGACCAACAGUGGUUUGACUUUGUUUACUUUGAAUUGACUAGCCCAUUGUUUUUGUGGACUUUUCUUUUUCUCAAGAGUGGUAGUUGUGAACUAGUAGUUUAACUAACUAGUUUGAUUUUGUGUAUUGUUGUUACUAGUUAGUACUACCUCCGUCCCUAAAUAUAGGAGCUUUUUGUCAAAAAUGCGGAGAUUAAGAAAGUUGGUUGUAGUAUUAAAUUUGUGUAUAAUUACUAUUGUUUUUACAAUUUUAUCCUUAAGAGAGAGAGUAAAUUUAUGUUUUCAAUAUAAUAUUUAUUGUUGAUUGAAGAAAAAUGCAAAAUAAAUAAGGGUAUGUUGGUAAAGAAAUAAUUAAUAUACUUGGAAACACCAAAAAGAUCUUAUAAAAAGAGACAAAUUAUUUUUUUAAAAGGAUCUUAUAAUUAGGGACGGAGGUAGUACUGAAGUUGAAGACAAGCAAAACGUGUUUCUAAAUACUUUCUUUACUUUACCUAUUUUAUUUUAUUUUAAAAUUAAAAAGUUUAAGUUCAUGCAAAUAAACUAGAGGGAGUAUAUUUGUACCAAAAAAUGUAAAGGGAGUUUAUAGGAAAUACAUGUUGUAGCAUUUUUGGAGGGUCUAAGUCUAAGUACAUCAAAAAUCAAUGACCUACUAUUUGGCAUUGAAUUCAAUUCAACUUGAGUUUGUUCAACAUGAUAUUUCUGAAUUUCUCCCGUCGAAUUCAAAGUGCGUCGUUAUAACAUAAAACAUAAUCAAAAUUCAAAAGCAUCAAUUUGAAUGUAAUUUUUUUUAACAGUGUCGUUCAGCUAAUGUUAACAAAGACACGUAAAUUCCUCAAAAAAACAAAAAACAAAGACACACGUAAAUGCAUAUUACCAAUAAAAUAAUUAAAAAUUCUUUUAGAGAAAAAUAAUCAGUACAAUACAAUUGGUACUAGUAGUUUUUUCUUUUAAAUCCAAUGAUUGAAACUGAUUAAUAUGCUUUUUGUCUCCUCUCCAGCCAAAUCUUAAUUAAAAAAAAAAACUAAUAAUAAAUAGAUGAAAUACAACUUUGUGGACACGAUGUAGACAUCGUAUAGCUUCUCACUCUCAAAUGCUCAGCAUGGAAAACGAGUCAGGCAAAAAAAAAAGAAUUUUGAUUUAGUCCGACUAUCCUUCAAUUGCUUGAUCUUAGAAGAAGGUUACACAAAUGUUUUUAGUUAAGGUUGAAGUGUUUGAGUUUUGGGUUGAGAAUCAUUGUGUAGAGGUGAUAAAGAAGAUGAAAGUUAAUGAAGUGUUUUAAUAUUCUCAAAUAGUUAAAAUAUUAUGAUUUAUUUUGUGGAUCAAUUAACUAUGUGACUACCUUCUAAGAUGAAUAAAUAAAAAAAUUUAAAUUCAAUUCAAAAAAUUUAGGUAUUGUAAUGUCUCUACCAACUAACAUAUACUUACGAUGUUAAAAUAAUAUGAUUUAACAUGAAUGUAUAUGCAUAAUUCAACUUAUCAAUAUCACGUUAGUCUUUUGUCAUUGUUACAUACAAUCAUGUCAUCAAAUAAUUGUCACAUCAACAUUUUAAAAUUAUAAAAAAACAAAAAUUACUCAUUAUAUGUGUUUUUUGAAAUUGCAACUGUAUUUAAAAAUGAAUUUAAAGGUGGUUAAUGUGUGAUGCUCCAUAUAUUACCGACAUCAUUUACGUAAUUAAAAAACGUCUCUGAAAACAUUUUUAAAUCUAAGACAUUAAAAAUCCAACUUAAAGCAACGACUCUAUCAGUCAUACACGAAGAGAAGAGAGUCAAAGUAUAGAUUUUCUGGUUAAACUUAAAGUUUUCUCAUAUUCUAGUUUGCUAAUUUAUAAGUCAUUUUCGAAAGGCAUUGUCAAUCUGGUGCAUCAUGAACUUAUUUCCUUAUGGAAUAGUUUUGUCUCAAGUAAAUCAUUAAACUGAUCAUUGUCUUUGUAAGUGAUCCUCAAAUUAAUCCAUAACUCUAUUAAUAUUUCAAAAUAGUCAUUGUCUAUGUCAAAAGUUUUUCAAUUAAGUCAUUUACCAUGUGAAAAAAACAUAGAAACAUGUGUUCAAUUGAAAAACUUUUGACAAAGACAUAUACUAUUUUGAAAUAUUAAUAGAAUCAAUUUAAAAAUUAUUUACAAAGACGAUGACCAAAUUGAUGAUUUACUCGUUUGUCUCUUUGGUUUUGUUUUUUUCCUCAUGUUUUGUGUUGUUUAAUUAGCCUUCUAACUUCUUCUUUUUUUAUUUUUUUGGUUUUUUACAUAAUAUAGCGAAAUAAACAAAAUUUUGAUUGUACCAAAAGAAAAAAAUAAACAAAAUUUUGUAUUGGGCAAUACUGUAAUAUAAAUAAAGUAUGAGGGUAAUUUUAAAGUCCAAAAGAAUUUGGUGGUGAUUUAUAAGCAAAUCCAGUGUCACCAACCCACAAAGUGAAGAAGAGAUUUGACACAACACAACUCAUCACUCAGAAUCUCCCAAGGACCGGAAGUGGUAAUUCCCUCUUGUUUUUUCCCUUCAAAAUCUUCUCCUUUUCCUUUGCAUCGAUUCGUCUCUACCAAUUUUUCAUCAAUAAUCAAAAUUCACACUUUUUCACGUUCUUCUUUAUUCUCUUUUUGAAGAAGUUGAUUUGAUGUGAUGCAUGCUUGUUCCCCUUUUUCUUGAUUCUUUAGAUCUUUUUUUUCUUAUUCAGAUAAAAUUAAUUUGUGGGUUUGACUUGAAUUUUUCUGGGUCUUUGAUUUUGUGGCAGUGAAAGAAAAUGGCUUCAGAUCCAAAGCUUCACACUUUCGAUGAUGUGUCAAAGCACAACAAGACCAAAGAUUGCUGGCUUAUUCUUUCUGGAAAGGUAUUUUUUUUCGCAAAAAGUUCUUUUUUUUUUUUCAUGAGUGAUUGAUUAUUCUUUGGAAUUAUAGACUCUGAUGAAACACAAUCAAAAUUGUGAUUAUGCUAAUUAAAUGCUUCUUUUGAUUUUAAUUUUUUGUUGAAGAUGAAGUUCAAGUUUUUGGGAUCAUGCAUGUUACGUAUAUUUCCUGGAUCUUGUGCAUUGCAUGUUGCAGAGUGUUCCUUAUUGUAGUGAACAUGUUUUAUCUUUCUUUUGAACAAUUUUAUCUGCUAUAUAGUUUCCUAUUUUUAAGAUUGAAUGUUGUUGAGGUUUGUUUAUGCUAUGUCCAGAUCAGUGUGGUUAACAAAUGAUGGUGGUCCUGUUCUUCUCUACUUGUAGACAGAUUACAUUUUUUAGGUCUUUUCUUUGCAUCUUAUUUGAUGUUACACGUUUAACUGAAUAAUAAUUGUUUCAUUUUCAUAUAUAUCAACAUUUCAACUUUAUAUGAUAUAUUGCCUGCAUGACAUGCUUUGUUUGUCUACAACCACCUUAAGUUUGGAUUUUAUUUUAGCAUAUUGAAUUAUUCAAAUCUGAACGGUUCUAUAGAUGCUGCAAUUUAAACUUUGCCUCUUACUCAUAGAUGACCAAAUAAUAAAACGAGUCGUUGUGUUAUGUUAUAUAGUAUCCUUUCCAAACACUAGUAAUUUUGCAUGCGAGAUAGUAGUUGAGUAGAAAAAUAUAACAUCUGGUUGACACAAAUUAUCAUCAGAAGUUGAUCAUCCUUUACGUGCAUUACUAGUCGUGUACCGGCUUUAGUCAUAUGUACUAAUAUCUUAACUGUCACAUAAAAUAUGGUUAAUUUGAUUCCAUACCUUUGAUAAGCGAGCAGUAUCGCAAACAAAUGAAAAAAUAAGCACACCCCAACGUUUAAGAAGAAUGAAUAUUAGAAAUAAAUAUUAAUACAAUGAGUUUCUUUUGUUGCAUUUGUAUUUUGUGGGGUUUAUCCAAAUUGAAUGUCAGUCGAUACAUGAAAUAUUUGAAUCAUUGAACUUACCUGCAGAUCUUGAGAUCUAUCUGAUGUUUGAUGCCAUGUGGGACUUGGGAAGGGGAGUUUUAAGUUAAUCUCCCUUCUUAUUGGCAUCCUUUUAAAAUGCAGGGAGGAAAAUAAGGAUUAACUUGUAACCUUCAUAAAACCCUUCUUCCUAUAAUGGGUUAUUAAUUUAUGUGCCAUACUCUUCCUUUUCACAGUUUGAUUCAUUAUCCUUCUGUUCCCCUGUGACUUCGAAACAUAAUGGGGAGUGUUGGUCAAAUAGCAAGAUGUUAGUCAAAUAUGCUCUGAGAGGUGGUCUUCCUCAAUCUUCCUUUUAUAUGGCUUAGAUGCUUUCACUAGCUAUUGUAUUCACAUUGUGAUGCGUUUUAAUGUUUGCCUUCCCCUAACCCAUCUUUCUACAAGACAUUAGCUAGUUAAAAAUCUAGCAGAAGGAAAACCACUUUCACUAUUUUAAACAAUGCCUGAUAUUGUGAUGGCCAAUUGUGAGGCUAUUCUAAUUCCCUGAAAAAUGCAGAGCAACGUGUAUAUUGGCCUGAAUGGUUGCUAUUGGGCCAAAGACAUAGAUUUUACUACAUAGUUUUAGUAUGUGAUAAUGUUAAUGUUAGCUAUGCCUCUUGACGAAAAUUUGUUCUUCAACCAUGUUAGGUGUACGAUGUCUCCCCUUUUAUGGAGGAUCAUCCUGGAGGUGAUGAGGUUUUGUUGUCUGCAACAGGUAUGCUUAUAUCCAUUCGAAAAGGGUAUGUUACUAAAUCACUGAGGAUAACCAUAUUGAUUAUAUUGUACUGUAUCGAUUACAGGGAAAGAUGCAACUAAUGAUUUUGAAGAUGUGGGACACAGUGAUUCUGCUAGAGAAAUGAUGGACAAAUACUACAUUGGUGAGAUUGAUCCAUCCACUGUUCCCCUAAAGCGCACCUAUGUUCCACCUCAGCAGUCUCAGUACAAUCCGGACAAGACUUCAGAAUUUGUGAUCAAGAUUUUGCAAUUCCUGGUGCCUCUCCUGAUAUUGGGCUUAGCCUUUGUUGUCAGAAACUACACCAAGAAAGAGUAGCUCCUUCUUUAUCAUCAUAUUGCACCCUUGUGAGGGGUCUGUUAGCUAUUUAUAGAGGGUCAUUCAAAGGACAGUGUUUAGUUUCUUCUUGGUGUCUUGAGCAUUGAAACUGGAUUAUAAUGUUUUUCAACUUUCUUUGGUAAUGAAUGGUACUGGUGUCAUUGUGACUGAAAAGCCUAAUAAUAAUGUUGGAUUGUGAAUUUCAUCUCUCUUCAUUUAGCAUCUUUGUUUUGUUGAUAUUUUCGGAAGCUUUUUUUUUAUUUAGUGAUCACUCUAAUUCUGAUUUAAUGAGUUUUUUGUAAGGCACUUAAUUUUUAUGGGGAUGCAAAGUGCAAGAUACUCUUCAACUAGAUUAUUGUCACAGGUUGACGGUAAUCGUACUACUGCUUUACACCUGGUAACCAGUGUACUUCAUUUAAAGUCCUUUAGUUCUGGGGCUACUCUGCUUGCAUAGUGAUGAAUAAUUCACCCUGUAGUCUCUAUUGGUGAUAACCACAAGAGGUUACAACUACUAUGGACCAUUAGAGCCUAACUUAUGGUUGUAAGAACAGAAAACAGGUUAAAUGCAAACCAGAUUUGCUCGGGUGAUACUUUUGGUCCAUAUGGUGCGACCCCACCAAACAAUCUAAACAAAGGCUGAAAAAUUAGGCGGAUUUGCAAAACGAUAAUUCUUGUUUCUCUUAUCUCAAUGUAGCCCAUCAUACCUAGGUUGAUUCUCAUUGUUAUUCAACCGCUAACAACAGAUUAACAAUAACAAUCUCUAAGCAAAUGGAUAGAAUUCUCGAAAACGUUGCAGAUGUCGUUUGUAGUUUGAGCAUUGCAUGCACCCUUUCACAAACAAAUUCAGAUCCCUGCCAGCGUCACACAGCUUGAAACACAAGAUGAGGAACCUUGGUGCAGCUGUUCUAAAUAAUAAAAAGUCGAAGUCAGAGAAGGUACCAUUAGAUGUACCAGACCAAGCUAUGCUAUCUGGACCAAGAUAAUACAAGCGUAACAUUAUGGUCCUAGUCCUAGAUAGCUUUAGGAAGAUAACGGAGAUAUUCCCUCCGUUCCAAAAUACAUGCCGCAUUUUUGCAAUGUGCACAAUUUACAUGACAUACUUUGACUAUAUUUUUUUAGCAUGCAAGAUGUUCGAUUUAUCUCAAUAAGUAUUUUUAAAAUUUAAAAAAUUUAUCAUUUUUUACUUUAGAUAAUUAAAAAUAUUAACGAUCAAAGUUGUGCGUUGACAUGUGUAAUGUAGUUUGACUGCAACAUGUAUUUUGCAACAUGUAUUUUGAAACGGAUGAAGUAAUUUAAAAAUGUCCCAGUGACCACCGGAGUAGCAAAGCUACUCAUUGACAUGCAAUUUUCAGCCAAGACAAGGUAUCAUUCAUGCGGGGAAGUAAAACAUCUUUUUUGAGAACCAAUUAUCACUUCAGAAGUCAAUCAUCUUACCAUCAGCAGUACGCCAACCCAAAUUCUUUUGAACCUCUUCCUAACAAGAUGAAACACCUUUCCAAAAUUUGAUCCUUGUCUAGCACUGUAGAUGUGAGGAAUUAGAUCAUUUUCACACUUGGAUUAAAAAAGUUAAAGUUUAGAAUUCGAAUCAUGCCAAACAUAAAAAAUACUAAUAUAACAGUUAACAUAAUUACGUUUGUCAUUGAAAAAGAUAUCAUUACCACAUUGGUAUUUAGAUUGAAUCGUUCUAGCCCCAUGUCUGAUUUGUACCUCCAACAUUUUUUUGGUCUACCACCCCUCUUUCCAAUUAAUCAGAUGUAAUUUCCUACUAUGAUCCGUAUCGCCCACGUAAAAUUAUAACGCUUCUCAUCCAAUUCAUCGCAAAUUGACUUGGAAAUAGUAAUCUACAUUACAUAGGAAGGGAGAGACUGGAGAACAUAUUCUACCCAAGUCAGACGACUUCCAUAGAUAGUUUACUCAAACAUCAUAUGCCAAAACUUGUAAUAUCAAGUAUGUGCAUACUUUUACAAUAAAUAAUAAAUGUAUCUAAUAAUUUAAAAUAAGGUUAAUAUGUAGAGAUAAAUAAUUUCUCAAAAGAAAUGUUCAUAGUAUUUCAUAAGGAAACAACUGCAAAAUACAAGACAAAAUGUCAAAAAUGUACCCAAAGGUAGUUCGAGGUCAGUCCAAUCAAAGAAAGGUGUAUGCAUAUGUGCAUCAUUUCAAUGUCCGUAUGUUACAAGAAUAGUGAUAUUUGCACAACAAAUUGUGAUAAUUUUUUUUUUUUUCUCUCCUUAUGGGUCAAACAAUAGAAAGAGAAUAAAAACAUAAUGUAAGUAUGAAAGAGAGGUUAUCUAAAAGAUAUUACAAAAUAGUUGUACAACUAUCACCUUCCAUGUUAUAACUAAAAUAAGUUUGACGAAAGCCCUAAAAAAGAACUUAAUAAUCAACAGACUAAAUAAUCACCUUCCAUGCUGUACAACUAUCGCAUUUUUUUUUUAAGUUUAAGUUUAUUUUAUGUUUAUAUGUUGAUCUUUUCAUUAAAUUGUGUUAGAAAAAUUCACACUGGUAUUACUUUUGCAAACUACGAAACCAUUUCUUAACUUAAAAAACAAAAAAUCAAGUUGAAAUUUAAAAAAAUCAAAUAAGAGACAACUUAUCCUAGAGACAAGAAUAUUUUAGCUUAACAGAUGAUAUAUAAACAGGUAAAGAUGAACACUGAUAGAAUGCUUUAGAAUGUGAAAAAGCGGCAGUCCAAAAUCAAGCAUAGACCGGAUGAAGACUAUAGGACAAUUAAUUUUAUUUUUUGUUAGUGGUGUAAGUAAAAGUGACCAUCAAUAGUUAACGGAGAUACCCUCAAAACAAAGCAUAUGACCGGAAUGAGUAAGCUACGCAUCAAAUUAUGCGGCCGUUAACUUGCACCCUAAAGCAAUUAAAUUAAAUAUAACUAAGAUAUACUUCUAAACUAGCAUAUGUCCAGUCAAAGAUUAAAUAAACUCCACUUGAUAUGCUUACUCAGUCAGCAUCAUGAAGAGUCAAAGGAUUGGUGAGUUCAGAUUCAGUCAAAAAGGACAACAAUUGUAAUUGUCGAGGAAAUCUCAGUCUCUUCUAAUAACUGUUACAUGCACCUACCCACCUGCUUCAGGCAAAGGUACUCACUCCGAAAUGGGUCUCAAAUCAGAGUUGAAAUUAAAAGGAAGAAAAGGAUGGAGCCAAAAGAAAAAAAAAAAGAAAUAAACAUGGUAUAAAACCUAACUAACUUCAAUCCCCUUUUAAGACACAACACUAUCGAAACUAAAGAUCAUAAAUAAGCAGUGGAAAGUUUAGCAAGCACCGAGAUUCGUUUUAAUAAACCCGCCCUUUGCAGUGCUUAUUUUCAGACGCGGAGGAGAAAUCCAGCAGUCUGUAAGUAAAGAUCUUUCAACAACAAUAUAAUAUAGUAGUUUACGUAUCAACUGCAGUCAUUGGAAUGAUGCCUCUAUCUUCAUUUUAUCAUGAAGGGUGACCACCAAGUUAUGGGCAUCAUCCAGAAGCUUCCAAACAUCAAGGUGUCCUGCCAUGCCAUUGCAUUCCUUAAGGAUAUCGUCCAUGCUGCUAUACUUCUCAAGGAUCAAUUUCCUUCUUUGUAACACUGAGGCUGCUAUUGCAAAAAGCAAUAAAUCGUCUGUUGGUGGAGCACGCUGCCUAAUUCUGCUCCAGGGGGAUUUCCCUAUACCAGCUCUGAUUGCUGCUUGAUCUGCCCACAUUACUUCCCAAAGGCAGAGAGUCUGUUCAAAUGUCAACUCCCUUCUGAACAAUACCACCACCAUCCUGUAAACAAAAAAACAAUCCUCGGCCUGGAGCUUCUCCAAAUGCCUAAACAGGUGGGAAUCCUUAAACUUGAUUAUUUUUGCAACUAUAUCGAGUUGCCUUCUAAUACCCACCUCAUCAAGCCUGAAAUUCUGCCUGGCCUUCUUCAUAAAUCCAACAAAACACCAGAAUGCCUCGUGAUCUUCUGAUACAACACAAAUUAUAGGAGAUAACAGAUCACUCAUACCCUGGCAGUAGCCAAUUUCAGGAUCGUAUAGUGCAUAUGCUUCAAGAAUAGCAACCAAUCUAGCAGCAUGAAAAAUUCUGCCAGCAUCUAGGUGACCAUAAUCCUUCAAGCCAACAGCCUCAGCAGAUCGAUGUGCCCUACUUUCUGGAACAACAGCUUGAGAGGGAGAGUACGGCAUCCAUUCUGCAUUGGCACGUACUGCAUCAAGUCGGAUGAUCCGUUGCCAUGUGGCAAAGUCUUCCCUACUUCGUAGUGUUGACGCGCCUUUCAUUUGUGAGGGAGAAGAACUAUCCUUAGAAGUUGUCUUGGCAUUGUUCUCUUCCAGACCAUCAUCAGAAGGAAAUGUCUGAAAUACCUCGGGACUUUCUGAGGAAUCCGAGUCAGUGGAAUCUGUAUCGAGGGCAGAGGCAUCAGCGUUGCUGCUGCUGGGAGCAUCAUCUCCUUCCAACAGGGAAACGGAUGGAUCAUCUGAAUAUUCAAAAUCCGGGCUCUGUUCCCCACUGGAAAGGGAUUCUCUGGCACUUGCUGCAUCUUCAGAACUAGGAGAACCAGAAUCUUGAAUAAAACUCACACCAUCUCCUUCAUAGUUGAUUUCACCUAUUUCAAUCAACUUAAAGCUCCCACUGUUGGAUUUUAGCAGUUGCCGGCAUUGUCUGCGGAGUUUCUCAUACUUCUUUCUGUGUUCAAAGAUUUAGAAUAAAAGUAACAGUAUGUUAAACUGAACAAAAGGAAAAAGGGAAGUACAAAUAAAUAAAGUUUUAAAGACCAAAGAAAGAUGAUGGAUCAGGCAUGGAUUGCAUAUAAACUUGUAUGCAUACCUAUUUUGAGUUCUUAUAACAUCUCUUUCUUCUUUGGUAGUAUCCAAAUCGUAUCUGUUUACACGAAAGAGUAAUCAGUAACCAUAUAAAUGUCUAAAUAAAUGAAAAUAGAAAGAAAAAAAUUGGAGGAUAAAUUCAAAUAACAGAAAAUAUAAUAAAUGACAAGGUAAUCAAUAUUCAUCCUAAUGCAUAACAUGAAGCAGAAAAAAAAGAUAUUAAAAAAAAUUGACAGAUAAUCCUGUUCAUUCCAUCACAUUGAAUUUUGAAAAAGAAUCAAAAUAAAAUGAGUAUGAAAGGUCAAAUACUAAAGAGAAGCUUUAAAUUUUGCUCCAUGUAUAUAUGCCUUGCUGUCUUUAGAAGACGUGUUUGUCUAAAAAUCCAUGCAUCCUAGAUGUACCAAAUAAAUAAACAUCAUUUAGAAGUGAAACACGAAAGAAUGCUUACACUCCAAGUAGGAAAGGCCAAACUUCAGCUCUGAUACUAGGAUCAACACCCUGCAUCAGACAUUCAUAUCACAAUCAAUAUCAAAAUGAAACACCAAAAGCCACUAAAUUGAAAUCUAAACAGAUAAAUAAGUAAACUCACUCCGCUGCGAACUCUUUUCAGGAAUUUCAUUCCACGAUCGCGGAUUCUCCCGUCGGGAGCAAACAAACUUUUCCAUUGUUGAGGAGAAAGGACACGUUUUCUUUUUCGGCGUGACCAUGGUGAUUUAAGACGACCUCUGAAAUUGUCACAAAGAAUUACUCAUUACUACUACUGCUUGAAUGUAGGUUUUGGAAUAGAGAAUAGGCAGAAAACAUCAUUUAUGACAUUUAGGCGAUGACAUUUAGGUGAGUGAAGAAGUAAACAGAAAAAUAUAUUAUUUCAUUUUAAAAGCAUGUCACAAUACUCCAGUCGAAUAGAUAUACUUGGUCAAGCUUUAUACUUGCUCAAGCCAAUUGUGGCUUUCUUCAUUCCCAAUGGAAAAAAGCGGAAACAUAUUUUAGCAUUGAAUUACAAAUCUAUGUGAAUUACCAUUCUCACAGAUUUCAUUCAUGUAUCAUUUCAUUACUGUUAAUGGAUUCCACACUAAAAUGUUUUUAUGUAUAAACUAUCUUGUUUCCAUAAUGCUAAAAUGAAUAAAUGCAUUCAGUUCUAGAAUUCCUCAACUUACAAAGACAAUAUUGUAAUAUGCCUCUAUAAAUGUACAUAUGAAAACAAAAUACUGGUGAGUUUGGAUUGGCUUAUGCAAGCUUAUAUGAACUUAUCAACUGACAUAAAUAAGCACGAGUUUGAGAGAGCAUAUGGAAAAAAAAAUUAACUUGUUAUGAGAUCUGAUUUAAAAAGAGUAAAGGAAGAGGACAUAAAGAAAAACUGUCCUUGAAGAAUUGUGACACAUCACACAUCAACAUCCACAAAAUAUCUAGAAUACUAAAGCCUAAAGAAUUGUAAUGCUUGAUACAACAUGAUAUAUUUCCUUAAAUCAAGUUAAAUAAACACCAAAGAUUUGAUUUUGUCCAGAAAAAACAUUUCUUAAGUUUCCAAAUGAACAUACUCACUUAAAUAUGCUUUAUGCAUAGAUCUUCCUUCUAGCUUAGGAAGAUCUAAGCAAAAUACAAAGCUAGAAAAAGGGUUUUGGUAUCCAAUCCAAUCAAGAUCACAAUCAUCACAAUCAAUUACAUUUUCCCUAAACAUGGUGAUUUAUUCAUAGACAAUUUGAUUUGACAGGACUCAAGUUAGAUAAAAAUCAAAAGGAUAAAAAAUCCAAAACAAGAUAAAAGGAGCUUCAGAUUGAAGAAAUCUAAUUACACACAAAAAGACAGCAGAACAAAAAAUGCCUCAAAUAAACCAAAAUAGAGAUCUAUUUCCCUCUAAUUAUCUCGUCCUUUUCAACCCUUCUUCCCCUUUCACAUAAAAAUCAAAACUUUGUUUUGUUUUUCAUUCUUGAAAGCAUUUCAAUUCCACAAAUUAACCAUUUCUACACUCUCAGAACAACCCACAAGCGAACAAAAAGCCCCAAAAUUAGAAACACACAUGCUGAUUAAUCUAAACUGACACUGAUAACAAGAUCGGUGAUAUCGAAAAUUCGAGAUCUGGGGCGAAUUAAACAGAACAAAGUAAUAGGAAAAAAAUGAAGUGGGAGAAGAAAAACUCACCGAUCAGAGGAUGAACAGGAAGCUGGUGAGGAAGAAGAAGAAGAAGUAACAACGAAUAAAACCGAACGCAAAUGGAUCCACGAUGAAUUCGAUGAUGAUGAAGAAGGAGAUGAAUUAUUUGAAGAUGACGAAGAUGAAUUGUUACUUCUUCUAAGAGGAUUCAUCUAUAAGUAACUCCUUGCUAUAUUCACUUUGUUUACAAAAUCGGAAUCGAAAACAGUUUCAUCAGAGUGAAGAAUUGAGCUAGAGUUUUUGCGAUUGAGAUUCGUUCAUUUGAGGAAUUUUUGGUGUUUACCUACUUGCACCAUAGAAGAAGACGGCGACGAGAGCGAUGCCGGCCACAGUCGUGAAGAGCACCGCCGUAGUCAGAGAGGUGGCCACCGUGCUCAUGAAAGAGAACUUGGCAGCGGAGGCGCCGUCGGAGAAGAACGGAGUUUGGUUGUUGACGUUCAAGUUAGUGGAAAGGAACAUGGAGGAGAGGAGUUGAAAUUACUUGAAUACCCCUGCCACGAUUGUUCUUUGGUUUUCUUCUUCUUAUGAAUGAUUCCGCAAAACGUGUUUUUGUUUGAGAAGUGAAGAUGAAAACAAACAAGACUUUGUUGUUUUGUUUUGGUUUUGAGGAUUGAUUGAGAAGCCACUUAUUUUGUACUAUUGCUUUGUCUCUCUCUCUCUCUCCCACUAUGAAGAGAGAUAGAUAAUAAAGAUAGAGGAGUGAGAUGCAAAUGAAAGAAUCUCUUUCCCCUAUAUGUUUGUUGGGGAGAGAUUGUUUAGGCUUUUUUACUUUCCUAGUAAGGGGAGAGGUUCUACAAUAAUCACUAUCCUCAUUAGAUUGCAGUGAUUCUUACUUAACUCUUCUCUUUGUGUUAAGCGAAUCUUAAUAUAAGAUUGGAUUUGAAUCUCAGACAUCUUAUCUUAUUUAUUUAUUUCGCAAAAUGUAAAUAUCUAACCAUUAGAUCAAUCAAAUAAAAUGAGUUUUUAACUUCAAAUUAAGUAUUCAAAUUUGAUAGAAUUUAAUUUGUUUAAUGAAUUAUACUUAUUUAGUAAAAUAAUAAUAAUGGUUUUAAGAUGACUAUGACUAAUCUCCCUCGCUAUUUUUUUCUUUUGAAUAAUAAUACUCAUUACUUGCCUUCUUUGGCCCUUAUUACAAUAUAUAAGUUGUCUUGUAAUUUAUGGGUCAAAAUCUUAAUAUAUUAGGAGAAAAGCGAUUUAAGCGUUGAAUACGUAUGUCACAUGCCAACUCUCCUCACUCCAUCUGCUGCAUUACAAUGCGUACUCAUCAUCCACCAAAUACGUAGUACUCCGACAAGACAAAUACGUAACUUUAGACUUUUGAAAAUAAUGUUUGCAAAUAUUUUUAUCAGAAUGUUUUUUUGGAAAUAAUGUUUGCAAAUAUUUACUAUCACAAGGUGGAUGUAUAAAUAUAAUUUUUCUAAACUAAAUGACCACUCCCAAACAUACAAGGGAAUUAAUCUACCAAAAAUAAAAGUCAAAUGCGAAAUUAUAUAUAUCAACAUGGUUCAUGCUUUUGGACUCAAUCUCUCUUUUGCUUCAUUAACUCUUAAAUUUCGGUAUGAUGUAAUGGGAUAUAUAUUAUCCCUAGAUUAGGUUAGUUUUUUUUUAUAUAUAUAAUUUCAUUGUCAUAAAAAUUUAAUAGAAUUGACGUGUUUUAGUUUUUUUAAUUGGUUAGCACUAUUAUACAGUAAUAAAUAAUAAUGUUUUAAUUAUAUAAUUAGCAUGCCUUACUGCAAUUGUAAACUUCAAUGUCAUCUCUCUGUAAACAAAAAAUAUUCAUUGUCAUUUUCGGCCUCAAGUCAUGUUCUUGGAUUUUAAAUUACACUCGAUAAUAUACAAUUCUGCUUAAAAUAUUACCAAGGUAAGUGAUGCUAAAUAUUUUAAAGAUGACGAGGUUUUAGUAGAAUUUUAUACCGGUGCUUUUAUAUGUCUAUACUAUUCAUAUUCAAACUGCUUAAAGUAUAGAUUUAUCUCGACAGAGCUUAAAAUAUAGCUUUGCAUGCAUUUUAUUUGGAUUUUAUCGUCUAGGUCUCUGGGCAUUACUGGACCAAAAUACUUUCAAUGUUUGACUAUAUAACCUCAAGAAAGAAAGUCUAAAUCUCAUCCAAAAAUAAGUUAUAAAAUGGAUAUUACCACCGCAAUUAAUAAUAGUUUUUCUUUCCUUAAUAUUUUUAUUUAUUUAAAAAAAAAAUCUUUAAUAUAAUUUUGCAUAUUCAAUUCUACAAUAAAUUACAAAAUUUAUCUUCACGAGCUUAGCUCAGUUAAUAUGGACAACGCAUGAUAGGUCAGUUACAACAAUUAGAUCCACAAAUACUUCAAAAUACACAAUUAGAUCUACUAGUUAAAAAAACAGAAAAUACCAAUUCAAAUUUGAUUCUUCGGGUACACUAAAAAUAUAUUUUGACUUUAUACUAAAAGAAAUGUAUAUUUUUACUCAUCAUACCACUCAGAGAAUAUAUAUAAUUUUCUUUAGGAGGGGGGGGGGGGCAAUAAAUGUCUCCAUCAUUAAACCUAUAUUUUAUUUAUAGUGGAUAGUUAGAGAUCACUGGAUUAAUAGAUGUUACUAGAGAAGAUUCAAACUAAAUUGAUUAUUAUACUCAGUACAAGGGAAAUAAUGUUAUUGCAAAAGAAAGCUUAGAGAGUGUCUUUAAUGCUGUUUUUUUUAAAUAAAUAAAAAAUUGAAUUCAAAAUUUCUUAUGAGUGGCUCAAUUCAACUAAUGACAUGAGUUACUUAGUUAAGCGAUACUGAGUUAUUAACCACUUUCAUAAUUUGUCAUGCCCAAACAAACAGAAGACGCAAAAGUAGGUUAGUACUAUCAAAAUGUGUUUGAUUAUGGCAAUACAAUAAUAAUAACCUUACACUAACAUUGCAUUUUCAGUCAAAAGGAGUUUGAAUUUGGUCAGAGAAUACCACCAACUUGUCUAGUAAUCUAACCGAAUCUCAUAUCACUUUUGGUAAACAUGUUAAAUAUGGUAAAUAGUUUUGUAGAAAGGUUAAAUCAUGCUUGAAGUUUUUAUUUAUUUUUAGCAUAGCACGGUUCUACCAGCUUUGCAAUUGGCCUCGAUAAUUUUAGCUGUCCAUAAUAUAUUUGAUUGGGUUCUUUCAACUGCAAAAGUUACUAUCACUUGUAUUUAUUUAUUUUUAACAAAAUCACUUUGUACUACUUAUUCUUAAUGGGAAAAUUGUAGCGCUUUUUCAUUCAUAUGAAAAAUAGUUGCUACUUAUUCACUAGCAACAAUGUAUAACUUGUGAUUCAAUUUUUAAGGUUUUUUUUUACAAUGUGGGGUUAUCUUCAUAUACAAUCUCCAGAUUUUUAUGGGACAAUCCUAAACAUUGGAUAUUCGAGAGGAUAUGAUGUUAGAUAUACCCUUUGUGGGCUCCAUGGUUUUCAAAGUUUAUUGUUUUCCCAUUUAUUGCCACUUUCAGAUCCGACAAAUAAACUAUAAAAAAUUGUACCCGGAAGAUAUAUAUAUAUAUAUAUAUUGUUCUCCAUAAUCUAUCACAUACACUGUCUACUAUCACACAUAUACAAUGAAGGCCUUUUGUUUGUUUGGCAAUAACCCUCCAACAUUGUCAUGAUGAAGAUUGAAGAGACACCUUUAAAAAUGACAUGUGCUGCCUCUACACAAUUCUUUAGGGAUAACCCGAUGAUUUAUUUCUUUAUUAACAACAACCACACCAUCAUGAUGGAUGAUAACAUUUUAAACAUUACAUUGAUCUGAUUAUAACUAUAACUAGAUUGAGAUUUCUUAAGGUUUUGUGUUUGAACUUUAUGGACGAGAACAUUGAAAAAUUUGACAUCGAAAAAAGUGAAUAAAUACAUUACAUCAAAGACACGAAUUUCCACCAAAAAUCUUAAGUAUUAUUUAUAUUGAGACAUAAUCACUCGCACUUGAUUUUCAAUUAUCUCCCCCUCAAGUGCACUUCAGUAGUCUGAUCCACACUAGAAUCCCGCUCCCCACCGAGCUUAUUCGGGGCUCUGAUGCCACUUGUUGGGGAGCGUCGGGAGAGGCAAUGGGUCCCUUCUCUUAUAUAUCUAACAUUUCCUUUUCUCAAUUUCUAGUCGAUGUGAGACAUAAUCAAGGGCUCUAAUACCACUUGUCGGGGAGUCCGGGGAGCGGCAAUGAGCUAACUGUACAAGAUCAAUAAGAGACUUAGACAGACAACACAUCUCCAUCCAAAACCUUAAGACAUUAGGUAUAAGUGUCCCCUCUCUUAUAUAUCAAACAAUUCCUCUAUGUCUAAUCAAUGUAAGACAUAAUCACUCACACUUGAUUUUCGACAUAACAUGGUUUAAAAAAAUACGGUCACAUCAAUGGUACAUUGUAAUUAUUGAAAUUAGGGUGAAUUUUAGUUUAAUAUUGCUAAAACAAUUCAAACGUGGUUAUAUUGUAGUUGUAGAGACAUCAAAAACUUGAUACUAUGACUUCAAUCACAAACCUAAACAUGAUUAAAUGUCAACCAUAGAACAAAUAAGCAUAUUAAUCGGGUCAUUGACAUGCCCGCUAAAUAUCUUUAUUGAAAAAUGAGAAGGGAAAAAAGGGAUCAAUCUUAAGAGGCCCAUAUGCUUCACCUUUUGAAAUUCUUCAUGUUUUAUAGGUCCUUUUCAUCAUCUAACACAAUGAUGAAAGAGGUUCCAAAGAAUAAACAACGAGUCUAAAGUGAGUCUGCUUGAUUUCUUUAGGAUAAUGACAACACCACCAUGCCAAGGGUGUAUCGUAAUUACCACAUUGCACUCGUUGUUAUCCUAAAGUUAUUGCAUUAAUUAUGUUAAGUGAUUGCGGUCAAAACAUGCUAAUGAUGAAGUGGUUGUUUGGUGUUUUAAGCAACCCAGAGAGCAUAGAUUAAAUUUGACUUUUCCAAUGAAGCAAUAAAGGAUACUCUAUUAGUUCUACUAUCUUAAACCAGCUAAGAUAAAUACGUACGUCAUUAUCUUAGGCUAAUUACUGGAUUUCAAAGAAAGAAUAACGUUGUUAGCAAUUAAAUAACAUGGGAUUUAACUUCACGAGCUUCUCAUUAGAUUGUUUAUUACUUUAUUUGGUCUUCUUAUUUUUUUAUUCCUAUUUUACUUUUGGACCUUGUCAUAUAGAUAUUGCUUAAAUGUAACCUAGAAUUUAUAUGAACGGCAAUGGUCUUUAUACAUGUGGAAAUAUGAAUGUAAAUGGUAUAUACUCUGGUCGAAAAAGGAAAAAUCACUACGAACAAUGAGAUCAUUGUUUUAAUUUUGUUUAUUUAUCUCAUGUGUUCUGAAGGAAUGAAUGAUACUCAUUUAUACGAGAUCCAUACAGUUCCAGUCAAAAGAAGAAGACACGGUCGUAUAGAUUCAUUUUUAUUAAACAUGGAAUAAAGAUGUUAAAAGUAAAAUAAAAAAUAUUUAAAAUUUGUGACUCUAUAUAAUUGAGAGAAAAAUGCUCUAAAUUUUUUAUUAUAUAUCGAAGUGGAGAGAAUAUAAUAAAGUGUACUCAGUCAAAUACUCCUUUACUGUUUUUUAUAGCAUCAAAUACUGUUUUACUAGCAUGCACUAAAAGUAACAUUUGAUUGAUACCACCGAAAUUGGAUUUUGGAGGGAAGAGAGGAGGAGAGAGAGGGUGGAAAAGAAGAUAAACUGCCACAUUAAGCAAAACAUUAUCAUCGUGGACUAACCAUCUAAUUUGGUUACAUAUUGCAAUAGGAAAAAGAUAUUCGUUUGAGAAACUGAGUGGAGUGUAUAGGUUUGUUUAUGAUUAAAGGUGUUGAGAAACCAAUGCCAUGUAAAACCACAAAAGAAGCAUAAAACGUUGUGUGAAAAAUUAAUUAAAAUAUGAAAUGCUAGGUGAAGAGAACAAGCUUUGCAUACCCUAAAUUUGCGGUGCCCAUGUGGUCAGAGUACGUUCCUUGCAUAUAUGUUCAUGCAUUUUAUAAGUUAAUUGCAACUUGUUUUAUGUGGAUGCAUAUUCUUUCUUGGAGUGGCUGUUAAGUUUGAGAUCAAGUCUACAGAAGUAGUAUGUGUGUAUUCAAGUAUCAUGGCCCCAAAAUAAUGAAGGAAGUUAAAAAUAAGUAUCAUGGCUAAAAAUGUAUUGAAAAAAGGAAAAAAGAAAGAUGAAAGCAUGUAAUGUUUGAUGGUAUAGGAAACGCAAGAAAGAAAUGUGUAAAUUUUUUCCUUUUAUUUUGUUCAAUAGAAAAUUAAAUAAAAAGAUAGUUAAAUCAUACUGAUUUGGCUUCAAAUAAAACCUUGAUUAAAUUGAAGUAAGCUCCUCUGCCAUUUAAACCAACAUGUUGUGAAUUUACAAUGUACUCAUAAGGACUUGAUUUCAAGUCACGUUAUUCUAUUUUCUAACAAAUGUUUGGGUGGUCACAACCACAAAUUUAAAUAAUUUAAGCACACUCACAAAUAUAAAAAAGAUUGAAAUAGAAAAAUCAAUCUAUUCUUGUUAUUAUUGAAAACAUCAGUUAAUGUAUAACUUUGUGUGUUGCACCUAAAUGAGUUGAAUUUGUUCCAAGUAGUGGUUUUAAGCAGCCGAAUCUAACAAGGAGGUGAUCCAAGUUGUGGUUUAUUGCUAGUAGUUUUUUUUUUUCACCCUUAAGUCACCUUAAAAACAAAACUAUAAAUAUAUAAGUGUAAUUUAAAAGUUAGUUUAAGGGGUUAUAAUCUAAGUGAAGUAGAAAUGUAAGUCUGAUGCAAACAGUCGGAUUCGGAUGGGUAUCAGUGCCUAAAUACUCGCCCCACCUCGUUUUCUAAAAUCGAAAAAACUCAAACCUGAACCCCAUUUACUAGGGUUUUCCCGUAGAGCAGGUUCAGGCGGAUACCCACAAAUGCGAGUUUUGUUGCCAUGUUUAAUCCUAGUAACCUUUAACAUAAUUUCUUUUUUAAAAAAAUGAUUUUUAUGUUGGUAAACACACGAGAAUUAGCUGUAGAUUUUUUUUAAAAUUUUUUCAAAAAUCUCCUUACUUAUAUAAAACUAAAUCUUUUUUUUUUUUUAAUCCAAAACAUACGCACCCUACUUUCUGGUCACUUGUUCAGACAAGUGUGGAGCAAAAGGCAUUCAUUCUAUUAAGAUGAACACCAUUGAAGUCCACUACUUAGUUAUUAUGUCCAUCAUCAUACCAAUCUGAUCAGCUAAGUAAUGAACGUAACUCAGCCUUCCGCUGGAAGCAUCCCAACUGAAAUGAAUACGAAAGAUGAGGGGGAGGGUGAGUUGCUUCACAAUAAUGGGAAACCUAUCAAGGGAAAUUUUAGACUUUGAACCAAAAGAACUUUGCCUUGCACUCUUUCUUCACUUUAUCCUCUUAUUGCUACAAAGAUCCCUCUCCAGUGUCAACUAUCACUGAGAUAUGGAGAAUCAGUACUAGUUAUGUGAUCCAUUACACAAACUCAUUAUUGCCAAAAUAAACACGAGCACAACACAUAGAUUAACUGGCUUAGCUUCAGGAUCUACAGCUUUGACGCAGCACCUUUGUCCAAGAACCAUUUCAACUCCCCUUCAGGUGAAACCAAUGCAGCAGGAAGCUUUUCAGAUGUUUCAGAUCCGCGUAGUGCAGAGUGAACUGCAUCCGCUUUGCCGGUACCAGUCACCACAAGAGCAAUGUAAGCAGAGGAAUUGAUCACGGGAAAGGUAAAUGUUAUUCUCUCUGGGGGUGGUUUUGGCGAGUCGUUAAUUGAGGUAACCCAUUUUUUAUUCUCAUGGACAAGAGGGUGACCUGGGAACAGAGAAGCUACAUGCCCAUCAGGACCCAUGCCAAGCAACAUGAGAUCAAAUUUUGGAAAUCCACUGGCUGAUGAUGAAGCUAUCACAUUGCUGUUGACCAAGUGUUUGACACAUGUCUCGUAAUCGUCGGCAGCUCCCUCAGCUGAAAGGGCAUCAUUGAUCGCGUAAACAUUACCAGGUGGAAUGGGCACCUGCCAAGAGAAUCGUGAUGUAAGCAUUAACAGGUUAGACUUGAUAGAAAAAUAUACUAAUAGAAGACUAUGUAGGGAGACAGCAUACUCUGGUCAUGCAGUCAUUUUAAAGAAGACUGUACAUACAUAAAUGAGAAAAUGAGACACACACUGUCAGUGUAAACUAAUUGUACACUAUGUUCAAUCCAACAUUUUGUAGUUAUUUUUACAUUGCGGCUAUAAAGUGGACAUGCAUAGCAAUAUUACGAGGUCCCUAAAAUUCAUUUCCCCUCUGGCCUAAUUUUAUAGGAAUGAUCAAUAUACGCAACACUUGUCGAUAGAAGACCAACCUAUCCGACACGGGGAUUCAUUGGUCGGAUCAUCCACACGUAAUAGUCUCUCCCUGGAAUGCUUGUACCUGUCAAUUCACUUCACCACAUAAUAGAGAUGCCCUUUUCUAGGUCUGCAAUAAAAUUCUGACACCUUCUAGUUUGAUAUUAAUCUCUCUGAAUGUGAGUAAUGGUUACGCCACAGCCCACAGGUAGAGUCUUCCAUGGCUCAAACCAGUGUUGUCAAAUAGCGGCUAUAGUGCUAUAACAUAGUGCAAUUUGCAUGAAUAGCUGUUAUUUUGCGAUCUGCUAUUUAGUACAAAGUGUUGUCAAAUGGCUGCCAUUGCGGCGCUAUAGCGUGGUAGCAUAGUGUUUUUUGAACAAAAUGCUAUUUUUUGCGAUGUGUGAUUGACAACAUUGGCUCAAACCUUUGUUCCCUGAAGGGCAUACCACGGCCCUCAACAUCUUGCAGGUCACUUGAAUAAGAACAUGCCUGUAUAAUGCACUCUGUCCAGUUGCAAAAUGGUUAUCUAAUAGUGAUUUUCAAGUAAAAUAUCAUUUCGUGCGCGAAAUUGACGUCUCUUUUUUCAACUCUUCCUAACAAAUACUGUGUUGGCUUUAUCUAUUCUUGAUGAAAUUUAAUGUUGGCAGUACAGAGUAUUCACUUAAUUUUUGUUUAAUAGGUGAUAUAAUUGAUGAAAGAAGCAAAGAAAGGUGGCAAUGCAAAUUCCAUUGUAUUGUACAAGAAAUUUUCUCCAGAAAGCUAGUGCUUCCGCAUUCACUGAACAAACUUUAGAUUCCUUUGCGUAUACCCAGUGCUUAAGCAUCAGGAAGCCAAAUCUUGACCACAGGCUGCACAAACAAAAUGACAUUUGUUUCACAGACCCACCACUUGAGCACCAUCAAUAAACUCUCACUAAUUGUACUAUAGUACUAGUGGCUAUAAGUAGAAGAAGGAAAGGAUCUGAAAGUACACUUCGCUUAUGCGGGGCACCUGAAAUACACUUUCUGGGCUGGGCUUGGGAAGCUUCAUCAAUGGAAUUCUUCACCUUUUUCUCAUUUCAUCACUUUGCCAUGAUUUCCACCUAAAUCCCUUGUUGAGUGAUAAAAAAAAAUCCCUUCAAUCCACACUUAGUAACAUCCACUCAUACUACAUACUUCCUAACACUUUAAUGACUCGAUAUUGCCAAAGUCUGUCAUGGAUCCUCACAUACUGAAUGUGUGUUUGAUGUCUGAAUUUGUUGGUGUCGGACACAAACAACACACGUGGUUACAUUCAAUCACUUCUAUUUUCUUAAUUUAUUACUCAUGUCUACGUGAUUGUGCAACAUAAUCAAUAUUCAUGGAUUUUUACUACUUCUAAUCCCUUCUCUUUUCUAAAAAUUCUGAUCUCAACAAAUAUGAACCAAAAUUAAAUCUUUUAAUAGUUGAAAAAAAAGUUCAAUAGAACAUACCUUGGAUAGAAACCCAUCAAAAGCAAGCUUAUAGUUACUAUCAUCAUGAGUCUUUGGCACAACUCUCUCAUCAACCCAAAACACAUGCCAUUUAGCCCAUUCAAUAGAAUCAAUAUACGGAUCCUCCAACAGUUUCCUAUAAUCACAACACAAAUCUCAUAAUUCAAUUAAAUUAAUCAUCAAUCAUCAAGAGAGAAAGAAGAAACUCACUGGAGAUAGUUGAUCAAAGAGCCACCAGACAAACAAACAGUGAAAGCGCCUCUUUCGCGAGUGAACUUAUUAGAGAGAUCAGCGACGUAUUUGGCGAGAGAAACAGCAAGUUGUUCUUUUUCGAAGACUUCAACUUCAACAGCCAUUGAAGAUUUCACUACCUUGCAAACGAACCGUUUGUUGUUGGAUUUGGCGCUGACACCUUUGAAUCUGAGGGGUCGAAAGGAGAAUUGAGUUGAAAGUGGAUGCACGUUUGGGUUUGAAAGGGAAAGCGAUGGGAUUCGAUGAGUGUUGAGAUGUAACGAAGAGUGGGUGAAAGUGGAAGACAUGCGUCUUGUUCUUAUUAGUCAAAUCAAAUGGGAACACGCUCUCAUUCACCAAACCCAAAAAGUGAAGUCUAACAGUAACCCGGCGAUACACACAACCAAGGACAGUAUUUUAAAACUCGGACCGGUCUAAGGGACUGACAACCGAACCUAUGACCGGUUUGGUUCGGUUUUGUUGUUGGACCGGAUAUGCUAGUAACAAGCCGGAUGAAUUAGUUGAAACUAGGAUUGAACUGGCUGAAAAUUGUCGAUAAUAGUAGGGAAGUUUUACCCUACACCAUUACAUUUAGGAGGUGAAAAUCUUCUCAUGAUAGACCACAUGUGAUUAUAGAUUAGAUCUUGAGGUUGUAUUAAAUUUUAUUAUAUGUCUCCCACACCAUAGCAUCUCUUUUCCAUUCCCACCCACCACUACCACCACCACCACCAAUACCAAAUCUGUUUAUAUUUCUUUUUCAUUCCUCCCUCUCUAAAAGAGCUUAAGAAAUACACAUGUUCUUCUUUCUAAUGUAACGUGGGCAAAUGUUUUCCAAAUAUUAAAGAUUGAUUUUUUUUUUCUUCUUUUUUUAAAUAAAGAUUGAAAUUUUGAGCAACUUCAAUAUGUUUUUGAGCAAGUUAAAUCAAAAUGUUCAUCCAUGUAAUAUCAACUUCAUCUAAUUAUGUGCAUUCACUUCUUCUCUCACAUCUACUUAGAUUUAUAGUUUGAUUUUUUUUUUUAUUUCUACUGAGUCACUGACUCGGUGGUGAGUUAACUCAACGGUGUCUUCUUCCCAAGCAAGAAUAGCCACUCCAGAUGCCACAAACUGCCUAUAUUACGAACAUCUGGUUGCUUUUUUUUUUUUGUAGCCAACAUCAGUCAACAAUGGUGAAAACUUGCACAAUGAAAAUAAUAGGAUUUUAGAAAAUCAGUGAUCAAUUGAAUUGAAGGGAAACCGAGUUGUUGAAACUUGAAAUGAAGCUGUUUUUAUGAAUUUUCUCCAACCAUGGUUGAAAUCUCAUAGGAAAUGAAGAUUUGCAGCACUGCUAAAUAUAUAAAAACAGUAAGGAAAAGAGAAUGAAAUAUAAACCCAAAAAUUAUGUGUGAUGCUGAUUUGAUACAACCUUCAUUCUAGGUGUUUGAGGUUGAUGAGGAUGAUGUUGGCGGGGGAGCAACGAGGGAGAGAAGAAAGAGAAGUGCUAUGGUGUGGGAGACAUAUGAUAAAAUUUAAUACAACCUCAAAAUCUAACCUAUAAUCACAUGUGGUCCAUCAUGGGAAGAUUUUCACCUUUCCCAUGUGAAAUGGCACCUUACAUUUAUGCAUUUACCCCAACAUUUGACUCAAACUAUUCAAUUUACCCUUUUAUAUAAAAUAAAACUCGAGCCAUCACUUUCAUUUGUCCCUCUUUCUCCAUAAAACAUUCUCAGACAAACAGAGAGUGAGUGCAUUCUAAAUUCUUUCUUGUUGCCAGAAUCCUUUCUUGCUUGAAAACGUUCCGAUUUUGUUUUUAUUUUACAGGAAUCUAUUCUUUCAACGGGAAUCGUUAUUGUUACCGAAAUUGUUGUGAAUUCACGUUUUUGCGGAUUUCAUAGUUUCCCACAAAUUGUUUUCCCGUGUUGGAUUCAAGGAACUGUUUACCACCGAUUGAUUACAACUACUUGAGAGAUGGAUGAUUAUAUCUUGUUUUGAUGUUGUCGUGGCUGGAAUUCUCACUAUAGCCUAUGCAUCUUUUCAAUGGAGGAUAGACAUUAGGCAAAUUCUAUGGUACACCCAACAAUUUGAGUGUAUUGGUACACCAAAUCCUUAAAUUAAUAGUUAAAUGAGUUAUUUUUUGUAGGAAAAAAAUAUUUUCCAUCACCUAUAAUUAUAAUAACUAAAUCUUAUUUACCAAAAACGUAAACACAAUAAAAUUCGAUUUUUCUGAAUUCAUAUUACUCAUAAUAGAGAAUUUUGAUUAUUUUUUACAAUAAAAUGUAGAAAAAUUUAGUAUGAUUUUUCUAAAAAAUGAAUGAUGUUCUUUUUUAUAAAAUGAUAUUUUCUAAAAUAUAUAUGUCAACAAACACCAAUUUUCUUUCAUAAAAAAUGAUAGUUAAUUUAUAAAAAUUGUAAGCGAGAGUACCGGUACACCUUAAUUUGCGGGUGUACCGUAGAAGUUCCAUAAACAUUAAUCUAAAUUGGAUUCAGCCAAAACAAAUAAUAUAAUAAUAUUUUAAGUUAGAUAAAAGCUAUAGCCAGAUCUAAGAAAAACAUUGGAAUAUUACACCGAAAAACUGUUUUCUGGAAACCUAAACAUAAAUGUUCCAAAAAUUUGGUUGAAUUCUGAAAAGUUUGAUAUUCAUUUAUGAAUAAAAGAUACAAUUCGGAAAAUGUUUAAAGUGGUUUAUGGGAAAUAUAUUCGGAAAUCAGAAUGUUGUGGGGUGAACUCGUACUAAAUUGAAAAAUCUCAAGCGAGGGUGAAAAAUUAAUGUGUAAAAGAUUAAAGGGUAACAUUGAAAUAUUUGAAGAUUUGUUAGGGUGAAAGUAUAUGUGUAGUGGUAUAAGGUAAAAUUUCAUAAUAGUAUAUGUGUACAUGGGUUGGGUUGGGUUGGAUUUUGUGAAGCCCAAAACCUGAACAUAUACAAUAUUUCGGUUUGAAUGGGGUAAGAUAACCACGUUGCAUCAUUAGACCGAUUUGGACAAAUCGCUUAUUUUUGGGUUUGGUAACGGGUUAUCUAAAUUAUUUUUGUUUUUUUGUUAAUAUUAAAUGAUGAAAUGAUGAGUCGUCGUAUUUUUUCAUAAUAAUGACUCAACUUUUUUAUUUUGUUAAAAAAAAAUUACGUGACCUAAUUUCAUCAAAUUAGAACCCAAAACCAAUCAAGACAAUACAAUAAGGUUGAAUAAAUCAAUUUUGCUAGACACUUAUAAUUAAAAAAAGAAUCGGGAGACACUUAUAAUUAGAUGAUAAAAAUUUACAUUUAACAAUUUGAAAAUACUCCAUGUGUCAUUUAUUAUAGGAACUUUUAUCAAAAAUCAGGGGUGUUAAAGAAGUCAAUUUAUGAGAAAUGUGUUAGGUUUACAUUUUUUUUUUACAAAAUAUGUUAAGUUUACUUGGUUACUACAACUUAUUGAAUAUGAGUAUUUUUGUAAUAAACUAUGGGUUUUUCUAACCUGUGCAAGAUUGCACAGGAUAAGGGGUGAUUAAUGCACCACUUUAGUGGAUUUCCUCAAUUAACUAUAACACAAUUAAUUAGCCUAACUUUUCUCAUAAACCGUCUCUCUCUCCAAUUUUUUUUGAAAGGCUAUCUCUUUUCAAUUUAUUCUACUCAAUUUUUUAGCUGCUUUUUAUGCCACUCGACACGUUUCUAUGCCAUAACCAGUAUCAUAGGAUAUGUCAUUGAUUAAUUUUUUUGUGAGGGUGAGGUAGAGAGAAGAACUAGUUCUUAUGUAGAUUAAGUAGAUAAGGGAUGACCCGUUUGUUUAUCAUUUGUUUAUUAUCAUUCAUUGUAAUGGCCUUGUAUAUUGAAUUAUCAUUAUCAAUCUCUCUCAGAUUUCUCUCCAAUUGAUAAUAGGACUAAUUUGAUGAAGCUUUGUGCUGGUUUUGUUGAAAAGCAUUACGUAAUUUCUUCCAUAUGUCGUGAAGAAAAAAAAAACAACUAUAGCCUCUUACAUUCCUGGCUAAUUGCACACGCAGAGAUGGAAAACAAAGCAAGCAUGGUCAUCACUGCACUUGUGUUCAUGAGAAAAGCAGAAAAAAAAAAAUAGGAGAGAGAGAGAAACAGUUUAUGAGAAAAGUUAGGCUAAUUAAUUGUGUUAUAGUUAAUUGAGGAGAGAAAAAAAAAUCAAUUUUUAAAAUAGAGACUCAUUAAUGAGAUUUGAAAAAACCCACUAAAGUGGUGCAUUAAUCAUCCUUUAUCCUGUGCAAAAUUGAACAUGUUAGAAAAAUCCAUAAACUAUUAAUACAUGUGGAAUGAUUCCAAGACCUAUCUAAGUUGACACAAUCAAUAAUAUUUAGAAGUUUGUAUCUUAUCUUAAUACUUAAAUGCUUGAUGGUAGCCUCAAAGUAGGGAAUUUUUUGUUUUUUAACAAAAGUUACAUGUGCAAUCAUUGACAUGAUUUAGGGUUAUCAAAAGCUCAUAUUUUGGUUUCUCCUAGUCCAACUAUUAACAUUAUUCACCCAUGACCUUUGGCAUUUCUUCUUUCUUCAAAUGCAAACUAGUAAAAGACCUGUGAUUUUGCACGAGACGUAACAUUACGAAAAUUAUAUAAAAAAUAAUUUUAUUGUUAAUAUUGUAGAAUGUUUAUAAAUAUUAAAUGAAAAUAAUGAGUAUUAAUAUAAUGUUUCUAUUAAAUAUUUUUCUCUUAUGCAUAAAAAAAUGUGUUAAAUAGUUGAGUCACACCAGCGAUAAAUUUUAUUUGUUUAUAUAUGCAAAAACAACGUUUAAUAGUUGAGUCACACCAGCGAUAAAUUUUAUUUGUUUAUAUAUGCGAAAACAACUUUUAUGUAGAUAUACGAGAAAGUUGACAUGAUAAAAUUUUGAAAACUCGUGACUAUUUUAUAAAAGAGUACAUACGGUCGAUUGUGUAAAAUUACAAAAACUAUGAUGUAUGAAUUUGUAAAAAAUUGCAUAACUAGUUGUUUAAAUUUUUUAAAUAUAAUAAUAAAAAAUGAAUCAAUGAUUAGAUAGAUAAAAUUCAUGUUACACACAAAUAGAGGUGUAUACCAUACUCACCCAAUUACCCCACCCAACCCAACCCACUUGUUUGAAUAGUUAAAAACCCAAUUUUAUACCGGAUAGUUAAAAACCCUAAUUUCAUUAGAUUUCUCUCCACGGAUAAUCCUCUUUCACUCACAGAUCUUCUAAGAUGGGAGAUAGAGAUAGGUCUGAAACGCUCUCAAUAAUCUUUUGACUAAUGAUUUAAAAAAAAAUUUGUAUGAUUCUAAGGAUGCUACUGAUGAUGAUUUCGAAAAGAAAAUGAUUGAUCCUUGGGCCUUAUACCACGAUCGAUGGUAUCUAAUCCAAAAAGACAGAGAUGUUCGUCCGCCUCUGAAACUCUGCAUUGGGGAACAUGUAAUGGUAGCCAAUGUUUCACAGGAUGGUACGAAUAUGAAAAUCACUUUCACGUUGAUUCAUAAUUUUGCUUCUUUGUUUACAGUUGAAGCAGUUUAGCCUGAAGAUCAACCAUCGCAUGAAAAAUGGCUUUAUUUUAACUCUUCUACUUGCACGGAAUUUGUGUGUUCAAAACUGUUUGAAGAGGGAAACGGCUACAUGAUUUUGAACGGAUGUGUCGAAAUAAGAGUUCAAGUUCAACUUCUCAAUUCAAUUUUAUUGUAAAUUAUAAUUAGCAUAAAACUUAUGUCUUGUGCUAGACAUUUAUAAUUAAAAUAAAAUAAAAUUGGGAGACACUUAUAAUUGGAUGAUAAAAAUUUACAUUUAACAAUUUGAAUAUACUCCAUGCGUCGUUUAUUAUAGGAACUUUUAUCAAAAAUUAGGGAUGUUAACAAAUUGUUAAAGAAGUUAAUUUAUGAGAAAUGUGUUAGGUUUAUUUUUUUAUUUACAAAAUGUGUUAGGUUUACUUGGUUACUACAACAAUUAUUGAAUAUAGAUAUUUUUGUAAUAAACUAUUAAUACACGUGGAAUGAUUCCAAGAUCUAUCUUAGUUGACACAAUCAACAAUAUUUAGAAGUUUGUAUCUUAUCUUAAUAUUUAAAUACUUGAUAGUAGCCUCAACGUAGGGAAAUUUUUGUUUUUUAACAAAAGUUACAUGUGCAAUCAUUGGCAUGAUUUAGGGUUAUCAAAAGCCCAUGUUUUAGUUUUUUCCUAAUUCAAUUACUAACAUUAUUCACCCAUGACCUUUGUCAUUUUUUUUUUCUUCAAAUGCAAACUAGUAAAAGAUCCAUGAUUUUACACGAGUCACGUAACAUUACGAAAAUUAUAUAAAAAAUAAUUUUAUUGCUAAUAUUGUAGAAUGUUUAUAAAUAUUAAAUGAAAAAUAAUGAGUAUUAUUAUAAUGUUUCUAUUAAAUAUGAGCAUUAUGGUGUUAGGAUAUUUCUAUUAAAAAUUUAAACAUUGUUAUUUUAAUUAAAAAUAAAAAAUACUACUUCUUAUCUCAAAUAAUGGACGCCAACUAAUGAUACUCCAUCCAUUUUAUAAUUAUUGUUGUUUUAGCAAAAAAAAUUGUUUUAAAAUGGAUGUCAUUUUUAGUUUCCAAUGCAAUAAUAACUUUUUCUUUUCAACUGUACCCUUCAAUUAAUAUUAUAUACAUUACUUCUAAAGUAUUAUGUUUUCUUUAAUGGAAAACAAAUCAAUAGUUGAUUAUGAUAAUUUAGUAAAAUAACAUAUCUCUUUCUUUUAAUUAAUAUAUUUCUUAAUAUGUGUGUAAAAACAUUAUACGACAUUCAUUUUGAAACGGAGGAAGUAUUUGUUUUCAUUUUUUUUUGUCUAUAGACAAAAUAACAAUGAACAUAAGAGAAUUUACACAUACAACAAGAAUCAAUGCAAACGACCACACAACAUCAACAUUUCCUUUCUCAUUCUUUAUAAAAUAAAUGUUAAAUCAUACUUUUUCAUUCUUUUGUUAACAAAUUUUACAACAAAUACAACAAUCCCCAGCAAAAAAAAAAAUAAGAAUCAAAAUAUAAUAUUUUUCUAUAAAAACUUGAAUUUAAUUUGUAUGAAUUUUCUUUCAUAUCUAAAUGAGAAAAAAAUGUAAGUUGUUAAAAGUAUAAAAAAACACUUUUAUAAGAUCUUUUAAAUACGUGGAGAGAGAGCUAGAUCAGCCACCAUAAUUGGUGCAAAGCAUUUUAACAACAAAGGUAACAUUAUUUUUUAAAAAUGAUAUUGUGGAUUCAAAAUAUCCAACUAUUUGUUGAUACUAAAAAAAUAAUCAAAAUAUAAUAUUUUUCUAUAAAAACUUGAAUUUAAUUUGUAUGAAUUUUUUUUCAUAUCUAAAUGAGAAAAAAAUGUAAGUUGUUAAAAGUAUAAAAAAACACUUUUAUAAAAUGUUUUAAAUAUGUGGAGAGAGCUAGAUCAACCACCAUAAUUGGCGCAAAACAUUUUAACAACAAAGAUAACACUAUUUUUUUAAAACAUUUACAAUUGAAGGACGGUUCAACUACUUAUGGAUAUAUUUUAAUCGUCAUAUAACAUCUAAAAACAUCCACAAUGUGUCAUACUUUUGCAUCAAGUUCUUCAUCCUAUACAGAUAACUUAAACAUCGUUGUCUUUGAAAAAACAUUGAUUACCAUGAAAUGAAUAACACGUAGAUAACAAUAAAUAAAAAAGAACAUAAUGUUUACAUUCUAGUUAAUGCAUCUUCAAAAUACGCACUUACUGUAUUCAAUGGAAGUAUGUCUUGCCUGAAUUUCUUCAUGGAGGAUUGAACACUCGUUGAUAACAUACAUUUUGUGAAUUGCGAAAAAGGUUUAGCGAUUUAGAAAAGUAUGGCCCUAAGUCUAACCAUUUGUUUCUUUGUUAUUUUGUUUUUAAUGCGUAAUAAACACAAAAAUAGUCACAUGAAAAUAAGCAUAUCAACUCAUACAAUGCCACAUAAUCAAACCUUUUGCCACAUAAGCUUUUGUUAACAAAAUAAUUAUCAUUAGGUUUAAAAAAUUAUGAUUUAUGAUAUUAUACAUGUUAACGACAAAAAAUACAUUUGUUGGUAUACAAACAAAAAAUAACUCAAUUUUACAUAAUCGAGCUAAUGAAAGUUUGUCCAUUCUAUAUAUUUUUUCUUGGAGCUGACUCACUUGCAAGGUUGUGAGAUCAAUUUUCAAAGUUUGUGUGAGAACAUCUCAACACGAUGACCUAUUGAAUGAUAUGUAAGUAGCUCUAUUAAAAUUCGUUGAGUCUUAAAGCCUUUCCCGACCUUGAGGAGCGCUUGGAGCUUAAUUGACUUAAACUUUUAUUUUAAUAAAAAAAUACAAAAACUCAUCUAAUUUGCAAAAAUUAAAUAAACAAUAGAAAAAAGGUUAAAUAAUUUUUUGGAUCAUAUAGAUAUCUCAAAUUUUGUUUUUAAUCUAUGAAUAUUUUUAGCAAGUUUUAUUGUUCCAAAUGUUUUUCGUGACAACUUCUAAACAAACUCACCUUUAUUCUUCAAUUUUUUUUUUUUUUUUUGUAGUUAUAGGUUAAAUAUGAAUUUUUUAUUUUUAACGCUUAAAAUUAAAUUUAUAUUUUAUUAAAAAAAUUCUUAUACAAGAUAUUUUUUUUGGUAGUGCAAGAGAUUGUUAUAAUAUUUUAUAUAUUUACAUGAAAAUUCAGGCAAAAACAAAAAUGGUAAAUACAAGUUAACUGUCAUCGUGAGCUUAACUCAACUGGUAUGAACAAUGCAUAAUAUAUGCAAGGUCUGAGGUUCGAACUCCGGCCACCGCAAAAAAUACAAGUUAACUUAAAAAAUAGAGACACAAAAUUGUGAUGAAAAAAAUUAAGAUAUCAAAAUUGUUGAAAAUGGUUACUGGAUUUUUUUGGGUUACAUGUGAUAUUUUUUUUUUUUUUUGUUACAAAAUGUUAAGGGUUUGUUUGUUUUGGCUUUUGAGCAACAAGAAGCACUUCUACAAACCUCAAAAGUGGAAAUUGAGUUUUCAAUGCUGUUUGGUUUGGCUUUUCAGAAUUGCUUCUAUCCUCCAAAAACAAUUCUCCUUAAAGCUACAAUUCCUAGCUUUUGACUUUGCUCGAAUCAAUUCUACAUUAAAUUUAAUAUUUUGAUUAUUACAACCUAUUAUUUUCCUUUAUUGCCCUUUACCAAUUCUCCUUCUUUUUGCUUUGUAAUUAAUUUGAUGAACCAAAUUUAAUCAGAAAACUUAACCAAGCUAGCCCCCGAAAAAUGUUUAUGGUCAUGAGUUACCAAGUUCUUUUAUCUUUCUUUUAUCAUUUUUUGCAACUAAUUCUAGUAUCAUUUAACUUAAAUAUAUUUUAUCAUAAAAUAUAUAAUAUAUGAACAAAUAUUUUGUAAAAAAAUUAGUUUAAUGAUCGUAUUUAUUAUGCUUUAAAUUAAUAUAUAGAAAAUUUAUUUAUGUAAAUUAAAUAAUAUAUAUACAUUUAUUAUUGAUCUACAUAUACAUUCAACUAUGCACAUUUACUUGAAUUUAACUAUCUCUAUUUUAGUAAUUAUACAUUCAAAAUCAAUUUUGAUAAGAACUAUCCAAACAACAUUCAGUUUGUUUAAUCAAUUAUGCACUAUUGUAUCCAAACAUAAAUCAAUUCUCUCAAAAUCAAUUCUGUCAGAAUCAAUUCUAUCUUCGAAAAGGUUCAAAUUAAUUCUUACUGGUGGUUGAAAGCAGCAAAGGCAGUUCAUGUGUUGGGGGUGCAUAAUUGGAUAGCCUAUCCUAUUCUGUCUGGGCAUAGGAUAGUCCCCUAUUUUUUGUUUCUUUCAUUUUGAUUGAACUUUUGUUGUAAUUAGCGUCGAUUUCUUUUUUUUGCACGCCUUGUGCGGAAGAAACGACAUGUUUGGUGUUAAUAUAUAUCUCAUUUUUGCCAUUUAAAAAAAAAAAAAUCUAUCUAAAGUUGGAUCAAACACACACUUAAUGGAUUCCUUUAAAAAGUAUAAAUGUAAAGUGGAUUAAAACCAAAAUUUGAGAUGUUUAUAGAAACUAUAGAAAUCAAAUAUUUAUUUAAGCAAAAAAAAGAAAAAAUGUAAAAUGGGCUACGAAAUGCUCCGCUUUGAAAAACCCUAAUCUAUCAUCAUCACCUCGUAUAUAUACGCCUAUUAGAAAAAGUUACAAACUUUGACAGCAGAGAUUGGAGAAGAGAGAAACUGAGCGGCGGAAGAGAAUAUGCAGAUCUUCGUGAAAACCCUAACCGGCAAGACUAUCACCCUUGAGGUGGAGUCAAGCGACACUAUCGAUAACGUCAAAGCUAAGAUUCAGGACAAAGAAGGUUUGUUCUUACUCAAUAACUAGAUCCAUUCGUUCUCAUUUUCCUUUGAUUCGUUUUUGUUUGAAUAGUUUUUUUUUUUCUUUCAAUUGUUUAGGAAUUCCCCCGGACCAGCAGAGGUUGAUCUUCGCCGGAAAACAGUUGGAAGAUGGCCGUACCCUUGCUGACUACAACAUCCAGAAAGGUUAAUUUCUGAAUUUCAUGUUUUGAAGAAAUUGUAUUAGCUAUGUGUUUGUUUAAAUUGAAUGUUUUUUUAUUACUGAACCCUAAAUUUCAUGAGUUACAAUGAAUGGCUAUUGUUUGAACUGCGAGGUUUAUGAGAUAUGUUUUUUGAUUUUACAGAGUCAACAUUGCAUCUUGUUUUGAGGCUUCGUGGUGGAAUCAUUGAGCCUUCUUUGAUGGCAUUGGCUAGGAAAUACAAUCAGGAUAAGACUAUCUGCCGCAAGUAAGUUUACACAAUCUGGCUCUUGUGUUAAUUCGAAAAGAAGUAAUUGCAAAUGUAGUUCUAAUGUUCUGAAUAGCUAGUUUGAUGAUUGAUGGUUAGUAAACUUUGCUAAAAUAAACACUUUCUAGUUGAGGUUUGGGUUGUAUAUUUUAUUGAGGCGCACAUCCUUGUUGGUGCUUUUGACAUGAUUUUAGUGCUCCUUGUUGACAACUGUAGGAAAAUCAUCUGAAUGUUUAAAAAGGUUACUUGUUUUUUUGCAAUUGGCACUAUGUUUUGCAAUAUAUAUAACAGUCUAGUGCUAUGAAACUGUUUCUACUAUGGGAUCUAAAUAAGUGUAAAUUCAUAGGUUUUAUGUUAAAAUAGUUAUUUUAUGGGAUAGGAAGAACACAAACCUCAUAGAAAAUGAUGGUUUUCUUCAGUUUGGCAUGGCAUACACUUAGGUUAUUCUCUUCGCUCUGUGAUAACAAUACCUUUUAUAUCUAACUAACUUGGUUCCGUUGAUAUUUUGCUGGGCAUAAAUUUAGACUAAGAGCUAGAAUAUUUCCGAAACAACAGAUGUAUGAACUCUGUUGCACAUACAAUUCUGAUUGAAAACGUGUCCCUGUGUCCGACUCGUGUCAGACUCGACAUGACACCGAACUUGUGAUUACAUUGAAUUAGGUCAUUUUCCCACAAUUUUAUCAGCGUUGACGCGUUUGUGUCAAUGUUGUAUCUGGUGUCUGUGUCCAUACUUCAUAGUGUAUGAACCACAUCUUCCUUCAAACAAUUGGCCAACUGUCUCAGAACUGUUCUAUAAAACGAGGUUAUUUCACUGACAAAUCUAUUACUGUUUGAAACCUGACUGGAUUGAGAUUUUGUGACAUAAGCAUUCAAUCAAUAAAUUGUAUUGCCUUAGAUAUCUGCUUACAUGUGAACUUCAAAAACACAUGAUUUUGAAACCAAAUGUAUUCUUUUGCAAAAUAAUAGUAAUUGCCUAUGGGGUGCAUGUAGAGGAUAAAUAUUAGAUACCCUACAUCUUAUGUGAUACUAUGAUUACCUAGUUAUAUUGUGUUAUUCUGUUCAAUGUCAGACUACUUGAAUUAUAAUUGGCAUCUAUUAUUUGAAGCGGGGCUAAUCUACAUUGAUGUUUACAACCAGUGUGCUUACUUAUAACUAUGCUGUGCAGGUGCUAUGCACGUUUACACCCUCGUGCUGUCAACUGCAGGAAAAAGAAGUGCGGACACAGCAACCAGGUACAAUGUUCUAUCACUUAUGCCUGUCUUAUUGAAUGGAAUCUGCAUGUUGUUAUUAUUUAGUUCAUAAUGGAUUAUAUUUUUUGUACUGCAGUUGAGGCCAAAGAAGAAGAUCAAGUAGACUGUUUUGUUUGCUGGAAGGUUUUUUGUUGUCAUUACUGGAAAAUGCCCUUUGAUAAUUAGCUUCAUAGUAUGAAUUCUGUUGGAAGUUGAACUUGCAGUUUUGUCAAUGAUUUUGUUUUGGAUUGAGACAUGUUAAAUCAAUUAUGCUACUCUUAUAUGUGAUGACAUAAUUUUGUUGCUUUUUAUUUUUUGUUGGUACAAUAAUUUUGUUGCUUUUUUGGUGAUAAUGUGUGGAACGAAACUUGGAUGCUAAUAACAAGUGCUUUUUCCUAAAAAUUGAGUUUAAUUUUCAUGCAUUGUUGUGAGAGUAAAAAGUUUGUUGGCACAUCACAUAUGUGCGACUUUAGAAGUGGUUAUUUUAAAAGUUGCAGGUGUCCAAUGAUUUGAUGGCUAUAAUCUGCUGAUUGUGUGCAAACACUUUACUCUGACUGUAUAUGAAUUUGAUUUCAAGAAGUGGAAUUUUUUGGGUCAAAGAUAAUCACUUUAAAGAACUUUUCAAAGUUGUCUUGAUCAUUUGGUUCGGGAAUGGUUGAGAGGGCUCAAGCUAAAUAUUAUCUGGCUUUUGAGUUGGGAUGCAAUAUUUAGCUUGAGCCCCAAUUCUAAAAAUCCAAACUUUAAUACAUUCAUCACAGAUCUAUUACAAUAAUUCAAAAUUGGAGGAAAUUCACAAAUGAGAGUGAGAGAUUACGAUGAAGGAGAAGGAAGGAACAACAAAGUGGAUGAAAAAAGUACAAAUAAAACAUGUUAGUUGUUAAAGCACGAAACAAGGGAGAGCGGUUCUCUUAAAUAUAUGGCGACAAAUUGCUUUGGACAUCAAUUGUUUUUUCACUUUUCCUAUUGCAUCUAUCACUUUCUUUAAUCAUCAAUUUUUUUUUUUUUUUUGAAGAGGUUUAAUCAUCAAUUGUUAUUGUUGUUGGAGGUUUAGUAAUGAUAUGGUGGUGGUGGUGUUGAUGAUUGUUGUGUCUUAAAUAUUUUUCUGGAUUUUUUAUGAAUAUUGAUAAAAGUGAUGUUGAAGAUGAUGAAGAAGUGGAAGGAAGAAGAUGAAAAAAGCAAAAAAAUGAAAAAAUGAAAAAGAAUAGUCAUUUACCCCUGUGAUGUGGCAUAAGGUUUGAUCCACAUGAAGGUCCACGUGUACAUCUAAAUGUCAUGUCACAGAGUUUAACGGCCCACACAAACGGAGGGGGUAAUUGACUAACGUUUGACAAUUUUAGGAUUUUUUUUUUGAAGUUUCUUAAAAAUUAGGGUGGUUUUUGCCUAUUCACUCAAAAGAAAAUAAAUGGAAAAUUUUAUUAUACCUUGAAUUUUGUUGAUUGAAGAAUCUUUAUUUUCCUUUAUUUUCCGAAGCUUUGAUGUAGAUAUUAUCUGGUAUAGGAAAUAGAAGUCGUGUGAGACACUAAUAUCUACAAACUUCAUUAACCAUUUAACCUUUAUACAUCUGAACUAUAAUUUUUGAAAAGAAUAACAUGUUCACAUGGUUUGGAAAAUGUUUUGUCUCCAAGCAGCUCCAACUGAAGGUUUGGAAAAUCCUUUAAUCCUGGGAGGUGACUUCUGUGCUGCAUACUCCAACUGAAGCAGCUGGUCUGAUGAAAGACGCCAACCAAGAGCACCCAAAUUUUCCUCUGCCUUUGCUAUUGACUUGACUCCAGGAAUUAGAGUUGUACCUUUGCAUAUGCACCAAUUUAUUGCAACUUUACAUGAUAAUGUGAUACAUUAGACAGUGAAUUUAUUUGAUCGGGCAAGGUUGGUCAUAGUAAGCGAUGGGCAUUGACAUUUGUAGCGCACAUAGGACAAGGACAAUUAUGCAGGUUGGAUGGUAGUUCUUUAAAGGGAAGUUUAGAACCUUUAAAAAAGUAAGUUGUGUUGGCAAACAUGGCAUUAAAAAGCGAACGAAUUGAUAUUUAAGGGUUGUCUUCUUUGGUGGGUGAUCUUGAUAAUGAAGUCGGAAUAGUUCUGAUUUUUUUUUUUUUUGACAAGAGCUGAAUAGUUCUGAAGAAAGAUGCUUUAUAGCCUGAAUAUGACAGCAGAAUAGGAUAAAGUUAUAUUCUCCAGAAGAUGGGCCAAGCCUGCAUGGCCUACCUUUGCAAAAGUAGAUGGAACUGUAACCAUGCGCAUGCUUAAUGUGAUAACUAUAGAUUUUGGUAGCUGGAAUGCUCCUUUCAGAUGAUUGUGAGGAAAAUAAAUUCUACAAAAUGGAGAGAACAGUUAUAACACUAUCUAUUCAUUGACCUCAUUAAGUAAUGGGUAUUAUUGGAAUUCAAAGGCGAGUGGUUAGUUUUACAUCGGAUAGAAAUAGGCAAAAUGAAGCAACCAGUGUAUUCAACGCCUUAAACCACCACGAAGGUCUAGCGCACAAUAUAUGUAUGUAUGUUGUAAACUUCGAGGUACCAAAUUCGAUUUCCACCGAUAAAAUUGCUUUGAACCACCUGUGCAAGAUAUACUACUACAUAGUACACCUACUGGCUUCGAACAUAUUUAGUUGCUUCAAACUAAUUGGCAGUCAAAAGACUUCCAUGAGAAUUUUAGUACUACCGCAGUUUAGUGAUAUUCAUACCCAGAAGAAUUCUAGCGCAAGUGAUUGUGAUCUAUUCUUCUGCAUAAAGUUAGCACUCCAGUUGUUCUAUCUGAUGCAUUGUCUGCCAAUCUCAGUCAGCCUCUAGGUUUGUGGCAAUUUUUGCUUUCAGCCCCACUUCUAUCAAGUCUUAAAAUGUCUUGAGAAAUUCUAGUUCAUUUUAUAAACGUCAAUCAUUGAACAAAUUAAUUCCAAUAUUAUUUUAUAUUUUGUUUUCAGUACUUUGAAUAGUGUAUACUACAUGGAAUUGUAGGAUAUCCUCAUUUAAGGCGAUGAAACACGUAAUCUGUAAAUACCUUAUAUAAUCGAUAUUACUUGCAUAUGUCUUCAAUCGGUUUAGGUUGGACUUUUUUAGUUUUUGCUUUCUUAAGAAUGUAGUGUUGCUUUGUGCAGAUGAAAGAAAAACUAUUGAGCAUUAUUAGGACUUGUUUGUUUGAAUGGUGAAUCAUAUUUUUGUAUCCUAAUCAUUUUGUUAAUGUUGACAACCUUGUUUUAUAUAUUUGGAAAUGCAGUUACUUUAUUUUUGAUUUAGGAGUUAGAAUAUGAUUUUUAAGGCUCUACAUUGGAAAAGAUCCCUAGGUUCUUGAAGCUCCAUAUUAUGAAAUCAUUGCUGCUGGUUGGUGUUGUCAUGAAGUCUCUGCAUCUUUCAGGAUAUUUCUACAUGUAUUCAUUCUCUUAUUAUUGAUUAUACGAAAUAAGGUUAUUUCUGUUAAAAAAGUUCAUCCGAAGUAUAAUUGGAAAUAGUUUCUUGUUAGUAGAAGUUAUGUUAAUAGUUUACACUGGCAUCAAAGGAAGGAUAAUUUUUUCCUCUCACUUGUUUAGAUGUUAAUUUUAGAUGCACCAAUUAUGGAAUCUUUCGUUUUCCUACUAUUUUUCUACGUCAGUGGGUGUGGCUGUUUCUCAGUAGAAGCUUUUUUAGCAGCAUAAAAGUAAAAUAUUUUUAAAUUAAACUUUCUUUUUGUGUCAAUAAAUUUAUCUUCAUAAUACGUGACAAAAAAUUAUAUGAAUGACACUAUAUGAUUGUCCAAGUAUAUGAUCAGGAUUGGUGCUCUUGAAGUUACACAACUCUUCACAAUAUGCACACUGCAAUACUUUAAAAACGAAGAUAUGCACGUAACUGCAAUACUUUAAAAACAACGAUCUCUUCUGGACGAGUAUAGAUGAAAUUGUUCAACAAUCUUCUCUGGUUUUCUUGUUAGAAGAUGAUAAAAACCAUGAGGCCUUGCCUUGUUAUUCUCAGUGUGCAACUUGUGCCGCUAAUAUCAUCUGGCAUAUGAAAGAGAAGUCUCAUGAAACACUAAUAAUUACAAAUUUUAUUAACCUUGAAAUAUCUGGCCUAUAAUCGAGAAGCUAGAUAACAUGCAUACCUGGUUUGAAAAAUGUUUUGGAUCAUCCUGCGAGGCGAUUGCUGUGCUGCAUCCUCCAACUGAAGUAGCUCGUUUGAGGAGAGACGCCAACCCAGAGCACCCAAAUUUUCCUCUGCUUGUGUUAUUGACUUGACUCCAGGAAUUGGAAUUGUACCUUUGCAUAUGCACCAAUUUAUUGCAACCUGACAUGACAAUGAUGCAUUAGACAAUGAAUUUAUUUGAUCGGGCAAGGUUGGUCAGAGUAAGUGAUCGACGUUGUCAUUUGUAACACACCUAGGACAUGGACAGUUAUGUGGGUUGGUUGGUCGUUCUUUAAAGGGAAGUUUAAAACCUUUAAAAAAGUAAGCUGUGUUGGAAAACACGACAUUAAAACAUUUAAGGUUUGUCUUUUUUGGUGGAUGAUCCUGAUAAUGAAGUCGGAGUAGUUCUGAUGUUGUUACAUACAAGAUAAAACAGUUACUUUGUGACAUCAGAUAUCAAUGACGUAUGAUAUCAUAUAAUCCUUUAAUUGAAUAAUCUAUUAUUCACAAGCUUUCUAUGACCAUCAGAUCUUGGUUUUAGUUUUCUGUUAUGCCGAGUCUUUAAUAUUGGCAUUUGGAGGUCAGAACAAGGACACAGAGUAGUACUAGUAGUGUACAAAAGAUUGGAUCAGAAGCCCGAAGGAAGGUGCAUAGAGCCUGAGUAUGACAGCAGAAUACGAUUAAGUUAUGUUCUCCAGAAGAUGGGCCAAGCCUGCAGGGCCUACCUUUGCCAUAGUAGAUGGAACUGUAAGCAUGCGGUUGAUUAAUGUGAAAACUACAGGUUUUGGUAGUUGAAAUGCUCUUGUCAAAUAAUUGCGAGGAAAAUAAAAUCUACAAAAUGGAGAGAACAUUUAUAGCACUAUCUAUUCAUUGACCCCAUCCACUACCACUAUUGUUGGAACUCAAAAGUGAGUGAUUAAUUCCACAUUAGAUAAAAUGGAUUAAAAGAAAGAUAAGUAUAGUCCGAUGCCUUAAACCACUACCUAAGUCUAGCGCAAGUGGUUGGUGCGCACUGUGUCUGAGUGUUGUAACUUGUAAACUUCAGAAUACCAAGUUCGAUUCCUACUGAUAAAAAAAUGCCCUAAAGCACUCAUGCAAGAUAUACUACUACACAGUACACCUUCAGGCCCUUCAGGCUUGGAACAUAUUUAUUUGCCUCAAAUGAAUUGACAGUCAAAUUGAUGAGAAUUUUAGUACUACCUCCGAGCAACUGAGCGAUAUUUAUACACAAAGCGCUAAAGGGGCUUAUAAAAAAGAACGAAAGUAGUAGGUAAAAAUAGGAAAAAGAUUACCUGUGACAUGGUUUUGCGUCUUUUAUUUGCAAUAUCUCUCAGGGAACUCAAUAAAGGAUCCAGUCCAGGAAGUAUUUGCUUAAAUAGCAAUCCCCUGUGAUUUGCAAUUAAAAACAAAGGUACACCGAAAAAAAAUUAUUGAUGCUAAGCUAUAAUAUUAAGCACUUAAUAGCGUUCUAAAAUAUUUGCGUAAAUGUCAACACACCUUGGUCCAGUUGGAAGUUUGGAUGCUGAGUAUUUCCCAGUAAGCAUUCCUAGUCCUAGAGGACUAUAAGCAAUUACGCGAAUACCUAAAGAAUCACAUAUACUCUUGAUCUCUAGUUGAUCUUCCCCCAUGCUUAGCAAAGAAAAUUGCACCUGAAAUGUCAAAAUUAUUACAAAGAUUAAUGAAAGUAUACCAGAAGGCCAUGACAAUAAAUGAAUGGUUGUGGCAUACUGACAGCAUAAUUUCAAGGAAUCACUUCUCUUUUAGUUAUUCUGGCAACUCAUGUUCAUUUAACCGAUCUCAGUUCAUUUCUUCUGCCUUAUCGUUUUUCUUUUCUGUUGUAGUUUCUCAAGGAUAUUUUUGUCUAAUUUGACAAUUAAACCAUGGUUAUCACACUACUGACAUUAAAAGGCAUUUCUCCAAAAGCAAAAUUUGAAUGUAAAACCAUUACAAUCACGCAUAACACUCUACCUGGGCUGAGCAUAACGGAACUCCGCGGUCUUUCAAGUAAUCAUGUAUCUUCAAAAGCUGCUUUGGUCCAUAAUUACUUACUCCAACAGCUUGAACUAAACCCUGGAUGACAAUAUAAAUAUUAAGACAUAAACUUUGAUCAUUGAAGAAAUCAAAAGUAAUGUUUUUUCCUAGCAAGAACCGUUGAACUCGUUGUUUACACUCAUCUGAUAUAUAAAAAUAUGAAAAUUGCAUGUAAAAAAAUAAUCUUUAACACCCCGAAUGUAUUUAAAAAAUGGUUCACUUAAGGCCUUAUGUGAUCCUACUAUUAAACAUGAAAUAUCGUAACCUUAUCAUACAUUGCCACUAAACCAUCCCAAAGAGCUAAUUCUUGAAAAGGAGCAUAAUUUGCAGUUGACCAAUGCAGUUGUCCUAUCCCAAUUUGCUCAAUCUGCAUCCUAUCUAGUGAUGCCCUGAAAAUUCAUUUCAUUCAAGUUCAACGGCAUACGCAAAUAAGUAAAGCAAAUAUUUGCAAUGGAAUUCUGCGUAGGAAGAACUUGAUAAUAAGAAUGAGUAUAUUAGUCCAGUAAUAUCAUUCAGGCAGAAUGGGAACAUAUCAACAACAAAAGUCUACCUGCAAGCAUCGACAAACUGCCCUGGUGUAAGGCGCCAUGGAUAAGCAGCAAAUUUUGUUGCAAUCACAAUUUCAUUCUGGCUCCCUUUUUUCUCUAAGGAAGUGCAUACAAAAUUUAGUGAAAACAAUAGGAAAUCAAAUAAUUUAGUACCAUGUCUAUUAAGUUUACUUAUUAGCCUGCUUGGAUUGACUUAUUAGAACUUAUAUACUGACUUAAGAACUUGCGAAACUGCUUGGUAGAGCUUAGAAAAAUAACACGACAGAUUGACAUGUCCUUGAGUUGUUUUAAGCUUAUGAAAACAACUAAUAGCUUAUAUCAAAACAAGUUGACAUUAUUUUAUCCUUUGUUAUAGAAAUAGCUUAUACAUAGACACUUAUGUUUUAAGUGCUUAAUUGAGCUAUACAUCGCCUUCAUUUCCUUUCCUUUUCAAUCCAUAAUCCAUAUCAUCAUCUCUUCCCCUUCCAUCACACUCAUAUUUACAUUGAUAUAAAGGCACAUGCAUCUAGCAUAGUUCAGUUAAAUUAUACCAAAUUAAAGGAAAAGUGUGAUGAACAAACCUCGAAAAUCUCGAAUGAACUUCCCAAGAAGUUUCUCACUCUGACCAUUAAACCUUCCAGUACCAUAAGAAUCAGCAGUAUCAAAAAGAUUAACACCAUUCUCAACAGCCAUGUUAAACACUUGCUGUAGGUCAUCAUCCAUGGAUUCUUGAUACCCCCAAAGAAGCUGAUUACCCCAUGCCCAAGUUCCAAAACCCAUUGGAGAAACACUUAGAGGCCCCAUCUUGAGCUUUUGGUUUUGGGUGGAUGGCCAUAGGGAAGGGAAUUUGAAAGUAAAAGAUGGUAAAGGGUUGUUAAUGUUUGAGGAACAAACAACAAAACUGCAGCAAGAUGAGAGUGCCAUUGUUAUUGUUAUGUAACAUAACACAAAAUCAGUUUUGGUAGUUAAUUCGUUGUGUGGUGGUAACUAACUGUUAUGGAUCAGUUUUGUCGAUUAAGAAAGAAAAUAGUUUAAUAUUAUGAAUAAGAAAAUGAAAAAAAUAAUUGACAGCUGUGGGAUUUGAACCCACGCCCUUUCGGACCAGAGCCUAAAUCUGGCGCCUUAGACCACUCGGCCAAACUGUCUUUGCUGAUUAUGUCGUCUGAUAUUUUAUACAUAUACACUAAAGACUAAACUAAGUAACACGCUUCCUCAAUUUUCUGUGUAAGACCGUAAGUUGUUGAAUCUUGGAGAAAAAGUACACACCAUAAUAGAAAUAACAGUGAAAUAAAUCGGUAUACUAUUUUCUUGUAUAUUAUUGGAAAAUGCUAAAAAUUAGUAGGAAUUAUUGCGAAGCCAUCACGACUAAGUCUGAUCGAUUAAUGUACUAUUUUCAAGCAAAAUGUUACAACAUCAAGUACAUGGUAACUAGUCCAAACUCGAUUGUCUUAACCUUAACUAAAGGAGGAACGACAAGAGUUGGUUGUUAAUCGGUAUAAUAUUUUAUUUCUUUUUCUUCUAUGAAAACAAAAUCAGUACAACCGUUUUUUUUUUUAACCCGAAUUGCUUGCAUUAACUCACACAGUUUUGAUCAACAGACGAUCUUAACCGUUGACUUAAAAUCGGAUGGUUCAUACUAUAUGAACAAAUAAAAUUAAUUGCAAAUGAUUUCGACCAUCAAUUUAAGACCGGACUGUGGUAGAAAUAUGUUACAACAUCUUGCUAUAGCAACAAGAAAUCCAAACAGAACCAAUUUAGAGCGAUAAGCAAUCCCCAUGCCUUUUCCAUUUAACAUUAAGAAUAAGCAAGAACCACGAUGAAAAAGCCUUCACAAAGUUAAGUUGAAGUGUAUGUUUGAUAGAGGAUCAUGACCUAAAUGAAAUAAUAAUUUUUUUUCUAGUACUGAAUUAAAUCACAAACAUUAUUUUUGAUAAAUAAUGGUAGUAAGGUAAGGUUAUAACUACAGGGUCGUGUCGUUCCUUUUCAAACUGUUGAGGAUCCAAAUCAGAUUGAUGGAAUAUGUUUGCUGGUAGAAAAGAACGUAUCAUAACAUGUUUUAAUUUUAAAUCUAGUUGGACCAAUUAGAAAUAACUAACCAACUUUUUUCACUUCUUAAUGUGUGUAUUUAUGAUGUAAUGAAAAUUACCGCUUUUUAUAUGAACUAGGAAUUAGGAUAAGUAUUGGAUAUGGAUAUGAUGUUGAGUUAAAAGCAAACAAAAGGAUAUUCCAUUGGAUCAUAAAUUUUAUUUAACUCAAGGUUUCACCAAGUUAAAGUGUGCACUGAUUAAUUAUUUAUCACCUGCAUAAUUAUUCCAAACUCCGUGUAAAAAGGCAAUUGAUCAUUACUACUAACUAAGACAAGAAAGGAAAAUAUCCAUUAUAAAGUUCUUCAUAAAGUGAAGCAAUAUCUCAUUCACAAUAUUUAUUUUGCACCUAUGUUAUGUGUGAGUCCAAGUCAUAUAUAUGUUACAAUGGUCAUACAAAUUAACAAGGUGGUAGCUAAAGUUAUAAAACUAGAAAUGGUAAAACACAUCACACUGACACAAGCAAAUGAAUGGAAAAGGCAUGCAAGCGUGUGCAUUGCACAAAACAGAGAAAUUUUCACAUUAUUCCUUCUUCUUCCAAAUCUCUAAACAAAUGAAUUGAGAGAGGCUAUCAUAAUUCUCUACCUAUCAAAUCAAGCCUACAAAACUUCAUUUUUUUGAGCUUGGACAUUCUCCUUGACCUUGCAAUUGCAUGUUUUGAACCAUUCUUUGUUCCUUUUUCAAGGAAACACCAAACAUUGCAACAUAGAAGAACAUGGUGCAAUUUUCAAGUCCAAAAAUCCAACCAUUGAGAACUAUUGCAUGAUUGGUCUAACAUACCACAUGGAUCAACAUUGUACCAUUUUUCAAGUGUUGUUGUCAAGGGAAUUUCUGCAUGAUCAUCAUUUCUUAAAAGUUGAUUUCCUCUGUCCUCAACUUUCUCUGUCCAUGUUGUGCUUCUUUCAUUUUGAUCAUCUGAAUAAAUUACCACUUUAUCCUCCAAACCCUCAUUUGAAAACCUUUGCUUUGUUUCUUCAAACCUGCUAUUGUUGUAUCCAUUUCUUGAACCACCAUCUUCUGUGCUAUUUUCCUUUGCUUCCCUUCCUCCAUCAUGAGAUGUUUCCACCAUAUAACUUAGCUUCUGAACCUGCGAGGAAAAAAAAAAUCACACGGUUAAGCUUAAGUUCAACUCAUUUAAUUAAUCGAGCCUAAUACGAAGCUUGAGUAAAUAAAUAAACAAACUUAACCGAAUAUUUUGCGAGUUGAGCAUGAAUAGUUCACGAAUAGCUGAACUCGUUUAAAUUAAACUGUUUAUCGAGACACAACUAUAGUUAUGUUACAAUAUAAUUGCAAGAACCAAAGUACUAACUUACCUCUGAUUGCAAAGACUCUUUCUCUUCCUUAAGGCACUGAAACUUAGAAGCUAAAUUAUCAUAUUCAUCUUUGAGUUUUCUGUAUUCUUGUUCUAUCCUUUUUGAUUUCCAUCUUGCUCUUCUGUUCUGAAACCAUAUAGCAACUUGUCUAGGCUGCAAACCAAGAUCUCUUGCAAGUUGCAUCUUCUUCCUUGGUUCCAACUUUGAUUCUGACUCAAAUAUGCAUUCUAGUGAUCUUAUCUGUUCAUCACUAAACCUUCUCUUGUUUUCUAUCUUCUUGUUUUUCUUCUUUGAAUUCUGAGGUGUCUCUAAGCAACUCAUGCUUUCAACAUUUUUUCCUUUAAACCCUUCAUGAAUAUUCUCUUCUUCCUCCAUCAUAUUAUAUAUGGCUAAGGCCUAAGUUUUGAAUUUUUGGAAUUUGAAGGAAGAUUUGUUUAAUAAUAAAAAAGAUUAAAAUUUGUUGAGGGGGAAUAGGAUGUAGAAUAUAUAUAGCUAAAAAAGAAUGUAUGUCAAGGUUAUUUGUAUCACGUUAUUGGAACUUGUAAAGGAAGGAUCAUAGUGACUUAUGGUACUAGAAAACGUGUGGUGCUUACUAUCUUUUUAUUUGCUAGGUAGAAAGAAAGUAGACCGUUACUUUUCUCACUCUAUGAGUUUUUCGUGCGUCCUAUUCUGAUUUUAAAAUCUAAAAUAUUUCAAACGUAUUUUUAGAAGUUUUUAGGGAAUGUCUGUAUCGUUCAGAUUAUAUAACCUGAACUGCAUAAGACACACGAGAAACUCAUAGAGUUGGAAAAGAAGCACUCAAGAAAUUAUCUUUGUUAGUUUACUUGUUGUAGGACAUCUAAUGGCCUUAUCUAUUUCAUUUGUAGAAGGAACUCUUUACUUGUCACGAGUUGUCACGUUCAUGCCACACGUCUCUGUUGCUUUCAUUUCUCUUCUUUAUUAGUACUAAUUAGUAAAUUUCAUCUUUAAAUAAUUAAUUCACAUUAUGAAUAAAUUGUUGGAAAAUCUUUCUAAUUUCUCAAUUUUGGUACAUCAUUAGUGCCUAAUUGUCGUAUUGUAAUGUUUAGAAUUCUUGACUAGAUGCAUCUUAAUGCUGUAAACAGCCGUAUCAUUAUUUUGUUUGUGUGAAGUAAUCAUCUAAAAUAUCUAUAAACGGGUAUAUCUACGUAUAUAUGUUUUAUAUUGUUUUAGACCUUCAAGAAAUAUAAAAUAACAACUCACAUGAUUAUACAUAAUUAAUUAAUGGUCAAUAAUAUUAAUAUCUAAGAAACCAAAGUCCAUAUAUAUACUACGAAAUACUAAUACAUGCAUCGAGAGACUAACAUUAACACAUCGACACCGCAUUUGGAUAAUUUGAGAAAAUAAAAUAAUUGAAUGUAACAUGUGUUGGUACCGUUUAGGUAACAUAACCAUAUGCUUUCAAUCUAAAGUGUUAGUAUUAGACAACUUAUGAAUAUACAACACAUUUAAGGCACAUUAACAUAUCGACACCGCCGCAUCUGUAUAAUUUAAGAAAAUAAAAUAAUUGAAUGUAACAUGUGAAAUCAGUAUCGUUUGGAUAAACACGACCACGCGCUUUCAUUCUAAAGUGUUAGUAUUAGAUAGUUUAUGAAUAUGCAACACAUUUAAAGCACAUUAAUAUGAUAAUUUAAACUCUCACUAAGUGAUGUUUGAUAGUAAGUUCCAGCUGAAUUGGAGGUUACUUUGUUACGCAAGGACUAAUGUUUCUGUCAAAAGUUGGACCUAUCUAUCUUUUGUUGUUUCGAUCUGAGACUAGAAAACCUUAUCUCAUGUCAUUAUUCUUAAGUUAAUUAGGUGUCGAAAUGUAGAUCGCUGAGACUAGAUUUUUUGUUUUAUUGAAACAUCUGAUAGCAAAGGGCUAAUGUAAUUAGGACAAGAGACACUUUCUACUCAUAGUUUGAUGGCUCAGUCAAAUGCUGCUCUGUACACGUGUUUAAUGAAGGAAUUGCAUUUGUCACCAUUCCUAAUUAUAAACUUAUAUGAUAACUUUUCUAACUCAUACAACUAGAAUAAAUUUAGUGUAGAACGAAGAUUUAAUUAGGUAAUAAAAAAAGAAAGAUGAAGUAGAGACCAAUUUAUUUUUUGCGCCUUUAAUUUCAGUAGCUAGUUCAACAUUGUUUGUACCUGUAGUGUCCACAAAGUUGAGCUUAGGACCAACUCUUUUGUCUGCUUGAAAAGCCAAGAUAUUUUAGAAAAUGCUAGUAAUUCAGAAUGAACUGUUUGUUGCAGCAUUAUCAAUAUUUUUCGCAAUAUACAGCUAUGAAACACCGACACAAACAUAAACAUGGCUUUAAAAUACUCUGACACGUCCACAUCAAUAAUAUAUCGUUUGUGGGUGUCCGAGUCCGACACCAUGCUCUCUUCAACGCAUAAGUUUCCCUAAUUUAUUGUUUUUUUGACCCGAAGUUACUGCAACUUGUUGGUGAGUAACAAGUAGUGAAAGAAGCUAUCCAGUGAGGGUUAGAUAAGAAGAUAAGAUGAGAUAAAAAUAAUUUAAUAGUGCACACUUUCAAGCAUACAGGACACAAGAUAAGGGUCAAAUAAUGUCGCCUAAUACAAACAAAAUAUUGUCCCAUUGUGGAGUUAAAUCAAAGAAAGUGAGUUUUUACAUUUAUUACCAAUCAUACUAAUUAGUCUUAAAGAACACCACUUGAUUACUGAUUUUGUUUUAUAGCAAAAAACUAAGGCUGCAUCACUGCAUGUCCUUGUCAUAUUAAGCUUUACAAUGUUUUAGUUUCGCUUUAUAUAUAUCAAGCUCUCCGUCCACGGUUAAUUACAUUCGCAAAUUGGUUUGUCUAUGUUGGUGUUUGGUGAAGUGUCACAUGCGCAUGUACAAGCAAAACAAAAACUCCUACGUUCAGAAACUAAGGUGCCCCUACACUAAGGAUCAUUAUUGUACUCCUAGUGAGUUGAAUUUGUGACAUUUUGUGAAAUAAACAUAUGCAAUGUAACCAAAACUUCUAGAAACCCCAAAUGUCUUGGUGAUUUGAAUUUCCAAAGGAAAAUUGUUAAAUAUAUUCCAACACCUUUUAGUAUAUCUCUACCAAAUCACAUGAAGAGAUUAAAAUAACCUUGCUUUUUUUUUUUUUGUCAUAGUAACAAACUAACAAUAUUAGUUUUAAAAAUAUCUUUUAACCGCUAGGCCAAGUAAGAAUACAUGAAAGACACAUAACAUGUAUUGUAUAUAAUUCAUUAUUUAAGUUGAAAAGAAAUUGGAUAAUAAUAUGGUGCGGGUAUAGUCACACACAACCAUGCAGUGAGUCCGCCUUGUCCAACACCUAAGUAAAUAAGCGAAGCUUAAAUAUCAAAUGUGUGAGAGAUAAAAAAUUGUGUACCUUUCUUUUUGAUAUCUUGACCUUAUUUAUUUAUUUAUUUAUUUAUUUUUUAUAAAAAGCACACAAGCAAUAUUGUAACCACAAUCCAAGAAAAUGAAAUUUCAAUAGCAAUGUUAUUCGAACACCAAAAGAUCAACAACAUAUUUUUUUUUAGAGGAUAUCAACAACAUAUUUAAUACCGUAUAAAAAUACACUAUUUAUAACUAAUAUUACGACUAAAAAUGAGACAAAAAAGGUAAUAAAAAAUAAAAUAAUAUCCAUUCCAUAUAAAUAUACGGUUGGAUAUUUUUUUAAUUGUCAACCUGUCUUUACUCAAUUUCAAAGGUCGGAUAAGUUAAGGAGUCUUGUCCAAGUCCAGGAAGCUAGGGCAGGAUCAUGCCCUUAAAUCUACUACUAUUUUCUUUCUUUUCAUCUAUUUUGUGCUAGAAACUGCGUGGGGAGAGAUGCAUUCACCAUCCAUGCCAACUUUUUUUCUUCUUCAUGAAAAGGACACCAAUUUUGUCUUCAAACGGCCAUGAUUAGCCUUGCUUUCCGUUUGGGCAAGUAUGAUGAAUUUUCUCACAAGCUAGUCUUUUUGUAAACGUCAAACUAUUAUUGUAAAGAAUAUCAUUUUCAUUAGCUAUUAAAUUUUUACGGCCAUGAGGGGUCCUCUUGCUUUUGAAGAGGGGAUAGGUGUCACGUAGCCAAUUGUACCAUAUGGGUGGCCCUCAAACCAAUUGGUGAGCAAAGUUAGGUAUUAGGUGCCUCAAAGUCCAAGAUGAAGUGAUUGGUCUUCCAAUCAUUUUUUGCGUGUGUUACUGUUAGAUUCGUCUAAUGAUUGUGAAAAGAAUCAAAGCUAAUGGAGAAAACAUUGGCAAUGCAUAGCAUAGGAAUCAUAUGUGAUAUCAGCAACAAAACUUUAAAUACAGACGGUCACAAUCUAUAUUGUUUUGUUGCAAUGUGCCCUAUUGGGUAUCGUUAACAAGUGUCAAUCCGUGAGGCAUACAUAAUUUGAGAGUAGUUUUCCCCUAUUGACAAGUAGUACUCGAUUUUGGAGUGAAAGAUAUUGAAAUCACAUGUUAAAUGAAAGAGAUGAAAAAGUUUGAUGUUUUUGAGAUGAAAAUGAUAAUUAAUUGUAAGGAAAAAGCAUUGGUGAGACAUACAAUACCCCUUGACGAAUUGGGGGUAAUUUACCCCUAAUCACAAGUAAGACUUGAUUAUGGAACGAAAGAGAUGGAUGUAGGAGGACUAGAUGUAGCAUUCACCUUGGAUGUGAACUAUUGCAUAUUUAUCUCUUCCAUUAUCUCUUUAUUUAUUUAGCACAAAUUAUUUAUGUUUUAACUUCAAGCUCUCAAUUGGAUUCAAAUGAAGUUAAAUGAGUUGAUAAAGAGCUAUUUGAGCUGUCGAAACCUUUUAAGAAAAGCUAAUUCAAAAAGACUUUUAUGUCUAAGUUAAUACAAGAAAGAUUUUUAAAUAGUCAACAUAAUUCAAACCUCCUCUUUUUAGGGUUUCCAUCAACUUCAAUUGGUAUCAGAGUUUUGAUUUCUUGAUUAUUCACUUAAACGUGUAGGAAUAAAGAUCUUUGGUUGUGGAAACCUAAGUUACUAGUCUGACUUGUGUUGUGUUUUUAGGUCCAAUCCAUUUUGCUUUCAAUUUUUUCAAGUUUUUUUUAAAUCUUGGAUUGACAACUAAUUAGAUAAUAUUAUAUUUUAACAUUUUCUUUUAAGAAAAUGCUUUUGUAUUUCAAUUUUUUGUUUUGUUUUACUGAUCAUUCUUUAAUGAUAUCUUGAGUUGUGAAGAUAAUUAAGGAGGGGAACGAAAAUUGAAAGAUAACCAAAUGCCAUAUUCUACAAACGCAAUGUAAUUAAAGUUCGAAGCCAAGAUCUGGAUGUUGUAAUACCUACCAAUGCACAAUAUGAAAAUAUUUCAACAUGUGAUAUGCACUACGGCUGGAAACUUAGUACAAUUUUAAUGAUCUAUUAUUGUGUCUUUUAUUUACUGUAAAAUAUUUUAUAAAACUUCUGAGUGUAUCCUCAAAAUUCUCUAAUGAAAAUAGGUAAACUUAUGAAUAUAUAAUCAAAUAAGGGUUUUGCUAGAAGACACCUUUUAUGAAGGUGUCUUUUAGCAAGUUAUUCUAUGAGUCUUUGUUAAAAGACACCAAUUAAUUUUUAUAAAGGUGUUUUUUUAGCAAAGUUAUAACUAAAAAAUGGAAAUCAUACCUUGAGGUGUGGAUUGCUAAAAAACACCUUCAUGGAUGGCUUCUAGCAAAACCCAUCAAACAAUAACUUCUGAGUGCAAGCUUUUAUACUUUAAUUUUUUUAAUAAAAAAACACAUCAAUGUAUGAUCAUGAGUGAUUGAAAUAAUAACAUAAGGUUUUUUUUACAUGGUUGUAGAUGGAGGAUUGGUGAUGGUGGAAAUGUGAAAGUCAUGAAGGAUCCAUGGCUUCCUGGGGUUAAGGAAGUUGGGUGUACUCUCCUCAAACCCAAGGUGUGUAUAAUAUGUGUGUUAAUCAAUUAACGAUGGAUGGAGAAAAAAAUAUCAUUGAAAGUUCUCAAUUAAUUUUAUCAAGUUGGUGAAACCAAUUUUGACAUUCACUGGUUAACAUUUUCCUUUAUAUUAGGGUCUUGUUAGCGAGAAACUAACUAUUCCAAUUUGUUAAGAAGCUAGAAAGGCUUAAAUAUGAAAAUAGUCUCUCCUAAUAUCUGACAUUUUGGAUUUAGUCCCUGUAAAAAUAUUUUUUUGGUUUUAGUCUCUGCAAAUAUAAAAAAUUUGGUUUUGAUCCUUGGUAUUUUGUUUUAGUCCUUGUAAAAUUGAUUCAUAUUGGAUUUGGUCCUUGUAAUACGUAGAAUAUUUGAUUUUAGUCCCUCAAAAUGAGGACUAAAAUGAAUAUUAUUGGGACCAAUUUCAAUAUGAAAUGAUUUUACAAGGAUUAAAACAAAAUACCAAGGACCAAAAUCAAAUAUUCUAUAUUUGCAGGGAUUAAAAACAAAAAAAUAUUUUAUAGGGACUAAAAUCAAAACGCCAGAUAUUUGCAGGGACCAUUUCCAUAUUUAAGUCAGCUAAAAAUAUUUCAAACUUCAAUGAUCUUCUAUCAUUUCUCAAAAAAAUUGUUAAAAACUUAUGGUUGUUUCUUUAUCAUUCCUCAAGGCAAGCUGCGUAAAUCUAAAUAUUGUGUUAUGUAGGAUAUAUGGAUCAGUGGGAGAAAUCAAAAUGUGAAGACUUGAACUCAAAUGUUUUUUUAGUUUUAAGUCAUAAAUAAACAUCAGGAAGAGUUGUUGCAAACUAAUAUUCUCCUAGAAAAACAUGCGGCAGUUCAUUUUUUUGUUACAUUAACUCAUUCCUCUUCAAAUGGUUUUUUUUAAUGGAAAUAUAUUUGAUAAUUAAUAGUUAAAAUAAAUAAAUAGCGAAAAUUUCAGUGUAAUAGUUAAUUAUAUUCCACAAAAUCAACAACUAAAAUAAAAUGUUUUAUUUUAGAAGGCACCAUGAACUACGAACAAGACCAAAUACAACGACAAGAAAAAGGAAAGUAACAACAUAUGAAUGUCCGAAAACUAACAUUCUAAAAAGCAAGGCUUCCUAAUACCAAUGCCACCACAACAUUGACACCAACAGAACCACUCAACCUUGUAGAGCCCGAAUGACCAGGAGAUGGCGCAAUGUCAGAGCAUGAAUCCCGGUGGCACUUGGAGCCAAAACAGAGACCCCAGUGCCGACGUCGAUGGCACUUUUUAUGGGUGGCACUUGGUGUCGGUGACACUUGGAUAUUGGUAGCACUUGGUGCUGGAGCAUGAUUGCCACUUGGAUUUGGUGUCGAAGCAUGAUUGUCGGUAGGACUUGGUACCGGAGCAUGAUUGGUUGUUGGACUUGGUGAUGGAGCAUGAAUGUCGGCAGGACUUGGCGCAGGAGCAUUCCAGCCAAUGACAUUUGGUGUCGGAGCAUUGACUGUAGGAGACAUUGCUGGAACUUGUACCAUACUUGGCGAAGGAGCAUCCGCUGCCAGAGACAUUAAUCGCCGAUGUGGAAACCAAGCGACAACGUUUAACUUUCUACCCUUUUGGCAAUUCUCAACGUUUCCACUAAUGAAGUAAAAGGGACCUGACUUGUCCAAUUGAAAGGCUGAAUCUCCACCUUCCAUCUUGUAAAUCGGGUUUUUGGUGUUGCAUGAAUCAUGAUCUUGUUUGUUUACAACCAACACUGAAUCAAUUUCUUUGUUAUACUUGAAAUCUGCAUGUCGAAAAACAACAUCAUAUCAUAUAAAGUAACAGUAAAACAAAAAUUUAAAUUUUAAUAGGAGAAUUUAAUCUCAAUAAAAUUCUAUAGUUUUGUUUUUAGUCGUUGACCGGAUCCAAAAACAAAGCACACCUUUACUUUCACUAACCACAAAUUACACCCCACCUCACAAAAGACCUCAAUAAGAGUGGCAUAAACACGGACAUAAACUGGUGUAACACGAAAUAACUUCCAUGCAUGCACAAUAAAACCAAACCAAAAACCAAGAGAAACAGUGAUACUCUAACGCCUAGCACAACCAAAAAUAUAUUUAAGCCAAAUUUUGAAAUGAAAAAUUGGAUAGGACUUACAAAUGUUGUCGUGUAUUAGAAGUUUGAUUCCGCUAGUCAAUACAUUGUAGCCUGAUGAGGGUUUGACUGGCCACCCUUCCUUGCCAUCAACCCUAGAUGUGUAUCCAGAUGACAAUGAAGUGUUGAGAAUAACAAGUGAUACAAGCAAAAGAAAACAAUAUCUCAUCAUUGCUAAAUUAUUCAGAUAAAGAAAUCUAUAUGAUGAUUGAAUUGAAAUGUAGAUGAGGCUAGUGAUGUUUAUUUAUAGUGAAGUGUCCAUAUGAAUCAUUACCCAAAACGAGGCAGUCUCCUAUGAUCAUGCUAUUGAUUUCAGCUGUGUUUUAAUGUUAUAAUCAUUAUCAUUGUUACCAUACAUAUGAAAAGGAAAUUUUUUAAGAGGGAAAGAUGCAACUUGAAGGCAAAUAGGAGUAUUAAGCAGCAGAAUAAAUCAUUGCCAAAUUGUAGCAAAAUUAAAUCAAUGGUUUCACGCGGGGCUAUUAAAGUGCAUCAUUGGAGCUGACUCGGAUUCCAAAAAAGAAUGAAGCACUGUAAAUUGAAGUAGAUCAAGUACUCUAUACUUGUUUUCUAAAGAGCUAUUUAUCGACUAUUAUAUUUGAAAAAAAUAUCGUUUUAUAAAAAAAUAUAUAUCAUUUCCUUGAGUGCGUCUAAUAUAAACUUCGUAAAAAUUGUUUAGAGCGGACCUUUUAAAUUUUUUGUAAAAAAUAAAUUUAUAAUAGUAAAAUAUAUAUAUAUAUAUAUAUAUUUAAAUUAGUAGGCUCCAAUGUUGGAGCUGGUCCAUAUUAAAUGGGUGAGGGUCUAAUGUUUUUUUUUUUUGAAGGAAGCCCUAAUGUUUUUAUAUGUAAUUCCUUAUUUAUCAUGAAAGGUUAUGUGUAAUAAAACUUUACUUCAAAUAACAAAUUCCCUAAAAAGAAGAUGACUUCGAAUGAUAUUUUUUCUUUUAAAUCGGGUAUCAUUUACGGAUAAUUAUACAAGUUAAUCUAUCGAGUUGAAUUGGACCCUAAUAAGUAACAAAGUUCUCUCCCCUAAUUAGGGAUGGCAAUUUGACCCAGACCCGAUGGGCACCCGCAAAAAAUACCCACAAUGGAUAGGGUAAACCCCGCUUUCAUGGAUAUGGGCACGGGUAGGGUAAUUACCCGCAAAUUUUAAUGGAUAUGGACACGGGUAAGGGUACUAUACUACUCAGCCCCGCAACCCGCAUGUACAUAUUUAUAUAAUAUAAUAAAUACUUUAUUUAUUUUUGGUGUACAAUUAUUUAAUUUAUUUAGUUAUUUAAGUCUAAACCUAAACCUAAAAUCUAAGCUAUUUAAGUUUAAACCUAAAUACUACGAUUAUUUGAAUGUUUUUAUUUUAAUUUUUGAGGGAUAUUUUGGAUGUUUUUUUAUUUGGCUAAAUAUUACGAUUCGUACUAUUUUAUUAGAUGAUUUAAAUAAUUUUGGAUCAUAGUUUUAUUUCAAUUGUGAUGUUUUUUAUUGUCUUUUCAUAGAGAAAGUGCGGGUAAUGGGUGCGGGUAUGGGCACUUAAGUGCCCAUAGGGUAUGGGGAAGGGCACUAAAGUUGUUGUCCACGAAGGUACGGGCUCGGGUAUGGACAUUUUUUACAAAUGAGGGUAUGGGGACGGGUACUAUAGUACUCUAUCCAUUUGGUAUCCAUUGUCAUCCCUACCCCUAACUACAAUUUGUUGUUGUUUGGUUUUUCCCCUUUUUAAUUAUUAAUAUUAAUAUCAAGGGAGAAAUCACAUUGUUGACAGUUUUUAUUUACUUUUUUGUUUAUUCUAGAUCUACAUAUUAAAAAAAAAAAAACAUUUUUUUGGCUAAUAUAAUAAACUUUUUUUAAGCGAUAAUAUUUUUUCUUUUUAUUGCACUAAUGAAUAUAUAUAACGAAUAAUAGUUUUUAUGAUUUAAUUUUGGUUUCGAUUAAAAUUAUUUUGAUUUUGAUUAAAAUUAGAGGUAUAGAUAUUUUGCAAUUUCAUAGUAUUACAAAAUAUACUUAUUCUUUUCAACGACACCAAUAAUAUAUAUAAAUUCUUUUAUGUUUGAAUAACACCGACAAUGUAACACUCUUAUAAGCAAAUUUGUUUAAGCGUAUAAUGAGAAAUGAUAACGUCACCCCAAAUCAUAUAUAUAUAUAUAGUUAGUUUGCAAUGCGGCAGUCACGCUGCAAUGAACGACAACUUGAGCCCAUUUGGCCUAAGGCGUUUCCAACACAACUAUCAUAAUUAUCAUAAAACUCUUACUUUAUCGAGGUUUGUGCUUUUAAUCAGGGCAGACCAUAGGCAUAGGUCCAAUUUGUGACGACCUAGAGCUCAAGUUUGUAGGUGGCCUAAUUUAUUUUUUUCACACCGGGUGUAUGUAUAGAAAAACUUGAUUUACAUGGUGUGUUAUAUAGAAAAUCUCACCGGUAGGCCCAAACAUGAACAAAGUUUUUACUCCUAAUGAUAUUUUUGCUGAGAAUUUCUUUUUUCACACUCAUCACUUCUCACACGCCCUCCAUAAUUUCCAAAACAUCCUCGUUUGGACUAUAUAAUUUGAACACCUUUUUUCGGAUUAUACAAUUCAAAUUUUGUUAACACUCAUAAUUCAUAUUAUAAUUGAUACAAAGGCCUCUACUGACAAAAAUUUUGUUAACACUCAUAACUCAUAAUUCAUUGCUACAAUAUUUCGGAUUAUAUCUUCAAAAACGUUCACAUAUUGUGUUUAAAAUUGAGGUUUGGAAGGUUCAAAUUAUAUAAUUCGAACCAAUGCAGAACACAAAAAUUGAAAAAAAAUCCAUCUUUAAAUCAAAUUAUACAACAACAUGCAUUAAAAAUAACAAUUUCAACAAGGUAAAGCAAUAUAAUAAAACACCGACAAGAUUAUGGAUCAUGCAAUUUUAAAUUUUCAUUUGAUCUAUCCAUUCAAGUCCUAAUUUCUUUGUAGGUCCUAGGCCGAACGAAUAUCUUAAAAAGAUAUGAUCAAGGAAACAUCUAACUUGAUUGGUGUCGUUGUCGUUUUAGAACUUCAGUUUGGUGAACAAAACAUGCCUUUCUAAAUGCAAAUUAUUAAAUUCGAACGAAGAUAAAAUGAUGAUUUUGAAGGACGUGUGAAAAUAAAUUCUGAUAAAAUGAAAGAUAGAAGUAGUAACUACUACUCCCUCCGUCCCUUAAUAAGUGACACAGUUGACCCAAUUACGCAUACCAAUGCGUAAUUUUGAGUUUAAAUAUCUUGAAUAAUAUAUUGGAAAAAAUUAUGAAAAUUUGAUAUUUUGAAAAUACUCAUCAAGACGAAUCUAACGACAUCUUAUAUGAUAUUAUUUAUCUUUGUAUAUUAGUAGAAAAAUAUGGUCAAAGUAAGUUAGGUCAAAAUUGCACAUUUUCAAACAGGUCAUUUAUUGCGGGACGGAGGGAGUAACUAGUAAGAGCAGGGGCGUCCCUGAGGGGGUGCAAACAGCUCAAACGAGUUGGGCCUCCCACAAGGAUGGGCCUCAAGAGUGGGGGUUCCUCAUGAUUGAUUUUGGUGUUAAGUAGGGGUUCCUCAUGUAUACGGUAGUCAUUUUCACCUCUGAGUAUACCGCAUAUAUACGGCACCUUGUAUUUAUCUUUUAAAAAAUAUAAAUAGAACAUCGCUCUUUUAAAAAAAAAGACAUUUUGAUUUUAUCACUGGCCUCUUUUCAUUUCCCGAGCUGAGCCUUCGAAUUCUCAGGGACGGCCCUGAGUAAGAGGAGGUAGUUUAAGUCUCACCCAACAAGUACAGCUGUGUUCUAGAAAUGCCCACGACCGCCAGACCCCAUUCCUUAUUAAUUCACUCAUUCAUUCUCUCUCUUAUGCUGAUGCUAGUGUGGACUGUGGAGUAGCUUUUACUUUUACUUUUCUAUUAAAACCAAAUUAAUGAUUAUCUUCAUCAUUGCACUAUUUCCUUAUAAUAUACCGCAAAACGAAACCUAGAGAGUAUUCAUAAGAUAUUCAGAAUCAGAUUAUAUAUGAGAUAGCUAGGUAGCAAUAUAAAGAGAUCAAUCGUCUUGGAAGCUCUGAUAUUUUGUGGGGAAUGCUGCCUGGUCCAAGGAGAUCAAUAUAUGAUCACUGUCCCAAUAUAUAUACCUAUACCUUAAAUUUUACUUCAAGCAAUCCAUGGAAACUAAUCCAUUUUCACACAAACAGUUGAAUUAUUAAUAUCAUUGAAUUUGUUAUUGUUUCCUCUUCGGACCAGGCUUCAUUCCCCUCAAUUACAGCUUCCUUCUAAACAAAUUCUUGAUCUUCUCUAUGAGGUAGAUCACAGGUCAGUUAUCAAUCCUUAAUUUUUUCAAAGAUAUUUGUUAUUUGUGGAGUUUUAUUGGUGUGUAUGUGUGUGUGAUAUUCACUGGUGGAUCCCUUUAAUGAUGAAGAGAUUUGACUUCACAUCACAUACGUCCUUUGUCUUCUUCUCUUCAACAGAUCUAGCUAUAUUAAUAGGGAAAAGGUAACCAUCAUUAGUUUUUUUAUUUUUUUUAUUUUUUAUUUUUUAUCAAGUUCUACAUCUAUUUUUGGGUCUUGUCCAUCAUAAUUUGGUCCAAAAUUCAUAUGAUUAUGCAUGAGUAAGUGGUACUCAUGUUUCUGUUUACUUCUAUUUAUAGGUCUGUUUGCUUGUAUGAUCAUAUGAUAUCCUUUUUCCUGGCUAUUAGUUUUCCUAGGUUUUCAUAUAUACAUACAUAUAUAUAACAGACUUCUCACACUUUCAUUUCGGGUAUGUAAAUAUGCACCUAUAUAUAUUUGAUAUUUCAUUAAAUCUUGAAAACAUACAUAUCAAUUAUAUAUAUAGAUUUUCAAGUUUGUUUCUCCUUGCAAGAUAAUUAAUUUGUUUAAGGGUGUGAGUAGAAUAUUUAAGUUCUGAUGGCUUGCCUGCGCCCAUCUGCACUAUUGAUCUCAGCUUUAUUGAUUAUAAAAUUAUUUUUGGAUCAGUACGUAGUACAUAAGUUUUAUUUGAGUGGUAGAAAGACAUUGAUAUUGAAGGAGAUAGUAGUUGAAGCAUAUAAUUCUGUAGAAUAGAUUCUAUUUUAUUUAUUGCUAUCUUUUCUUUCUUUCUUUUCUUCCUUUAUAAAAGAAGAUGUCUUUCUGCCUUCUUUUUCAAAUAUCUUUCUUUUCAAGCUCUCUUUUAAGUUUUUCUUUAUGAAUCUGCUAAAUAAAUAUAUUAUUCCCUUGCUUCAUGACAAAUUAAUUCUAAUUACGUUAUUCAUAUUAAGUUACAGUACACUUAACUAAAUUCUUAAGUUACACGACACAGUUAAUUACCAGAUUAAUUCUUACUUAAGUUACACCGAGGCAAAAGUCUUGGAGUUGGUUUCUGGGCUGGUAAAGUCGGGUCUGCAUUCAUGGUAGUGUUUUUAAUAAUAAUUGUUGAUGACUGUGCUGCUCAGUCAAUGCAGUAAUAUGUAGUAUGGAAAAUGUUACAUGAACACCCUUUAUUCCUACACCUCAUUGUACACCCCAUGUAUUAGGGAUAUUUUGGUAAGUUCAUCUCACAACCACAUUUUAUCUUUUAUUUGUGUGGAGUUCAGGUUGCCACGUGUCAGAAUUUUAUGUGGGUGUAAAGGGUGCAUUGCCACAUGAGGUGGUACAUGUAUGAUCACUCAUGUAGUAUAUAGUUUAGCAUUUUUGUCUCAAAAAAAAAACUUAACAGUAUAGUUUAACAUUUUGUUUGAUUCAUGUUCCUUGUUCUGCUAUUUGAUAUAUUUUAGGAUCAUUCUUCAUAAGUAUUCCAUACAUCAAAUCCAAAGAUCUUUUAUGUCAAGAAUGUAAUUGAGAUAUAAUUAGAGUGGUAAUAGGUUGACAUCCUUAGGUGACAUACCACCUUUGUACCAUCCUCAAGGAUAUGAGACAGAGAAGUAGUGGAUGAAAGAAAGGUUGUGGUUUUGAGGUGAAAUUACCAAGAUAUCCAUACCACAUGGAGUUGUACAUGAGUGGUACACUAAAAAGGAGCGUCGACCAAUAAUUACUCAAUAAUUAACAUCUCAAAUUUGAUCCCUCUAAUUCUUAGACCAAAUUUUAUUUAUCACUUGACGCAACUCUCCAUAUUUUCCCUUGAGAGCAAGAGUUUAGAUAAAAAAAGGGAAAAACUAUUGGACUAGACCAAUAAUUCAAUUGGAUUAAAAUAAAUGUUAUUCAUAGAUCUCAACGUGAACUAGCCUAGCAGAAGAAACUAAUAAUGUACAAUGAGAUCAACCAUCAUUGGAGAAAAUACGUGAAAAAAUUAAAUUAAAAUCUUCCUAGUUCACAAAUGCCAUGACUUAAUGAUUUAAAUAACAUUAAUUUGUUCUUUCAGCCAGUUAAUUGACACAUGAGAGAUGCUAAAUGACAUGAGUGAUGUUAGUAAAAUUAAUAAUUAAUUUAUGUUUGUCUAUCAACCAAUUAAUUUAUGUUUGUAAAAUUAUUAAUUGAUACAUGGUGGAAUGUAAAAUUAUUUAUGUUUGUAUAUUCAUGUAAAUGGUGAAUACAUGGUUGAUACAGUUAUUUAGUAAAAUUCUUAUUAUCUUUUAUUUUCAUUUAUAAAUUUGUUUCAUGAAAUGUCUCAAUUUAUCACUCAUAAAGGAAAUUAGGAGGACGGAAUUAAUAUUUAUCAUAAAUAAAAUUUUCUGCUUAUCUAGAAAAUAAAGUUAAUUUAUCAGUAAUAUAAUUUAUAGGCUUUUUAGUAAAUGGUAAAUAAUAUUAGGUAGGUUUACUUCACUUCUAGAUGAUUUAAAAUUGGGUAGGGGUUCAAACCCCAACCACCACACAAAAAAAAAAUGAUUCAGAAUUGGUCAUCGUGAGCUCAGCUCAGUUGGCAGGGACAAUGUAUAAUAUAUGUAAGGUUUGGGGUUUAAAUGUUUGGUUGCUCUCGAAUAUAAUUGAUUUUCUCUCUAUAAUUGGUUCUACUUAAAGUUAAAAAUUAGAUUUUUGAUUUCAGGUUGAUUUUAACACUUAAAUUUAUUGUUCAACUCACAAAUAAUUGAGAAAUGAUAUUUGUACAAUCAUUUUUUUGACAACUUUUAAACAACUUUAUCUCACAUACUCAGAUUAUAUUCUUAUUCUCUCUCUUCCUUUUUCUCUCUCCAUUGUUUUUGACCAAUAAAAAAAAAGAAAAAUGAGGUUGUCAUGAAAGUUGUUAGCAAAUGGUUGUUCAAAUAUCAUUGCUCUAAAUAAUUAUACAUUCAAGCCAUUUUUAUCCAUAGUCAAUUUUUCAAUUCUUGUCUAACACAAAACCAGACAUACACAUGAUCCCACAAUAUAAUGAAAUGAAAAAGAGAGCUUCUUGACUUCUGGCAAUCCCUUUGCACCGUUCUUUUUCCCUUUCAUUGCUUAAUUUAUGUAUCUUCAAUUUCCUCAAAAUUAGAUCAUGCUGCUUUGCUGAUGCAUAAUGCUACACUCUAUUCAAGCCUCAAUAAAGGGACUGUCAGUUUGCUUGGUUAUAAAGACAAAGCUUCAUGGCACAUAUGUAUAAAAAAAGAAGUCUGUCCCUAAAGUACUGAUGAGGUCUCAGAUAGACCCUCUUUUAUUUUUCUUGUCUGCGGGAUAAAGAUAUCUUUGUCUGAUCUUUUGCAUAAUAAAAUUUGUUCCGAUCUAAAUGUAUGCGGUUUAAUUAGAAAGACAAUAGUUUCGUUUAAAAUUUCUCUUUUCGUUUGGCACUUACUACGUAAUCGGCUCACCGGAAAGGACAAGCUAGCAAGGCGAGGAAUUAUUCCACUUGAUACUACUUCGUGAGUGAGCGGAUGCGGGAUGUCGGAAAGUAUUGAUCAUAUGGUUCUGGGGUGCGACAUUUUUUAGAAUAUAUGGGGCCUAGUUAUGCAAUGGCUCGGAGUGUACUCAGUAAAUACGAUACACUUGUCUGAUCAUCUUGUGCUAUUUGGUAAUUUAUGAGGCUUUUUUCAGAACUAUUUGGUCUUCUUAUAAAUGAUUUUGUUAGUUUGUGUUUGAGUUAUUUGAAAGGAAAGAAACAAUCAAAUUUUUCAGUAUACAGAGGACUCGAUAUCUCGCUUGUUCGAUAAAGUUUAUCAUUUAUCAAUAAGGUGGUUGAAGGAGAAAAUUUCAAACUUAACUUUUGAUCUUCAUCUUUGGUGGCUAAAUCAUAUUAUGUUUUUGGGUUGUAUCUCUUAGCUUAUAAUAAUCUAUGUUGUUUUUUCAGUUAAUUAAUUUGGUAUUGUAAUUAAUUGUUUGUACUUUUGAUUUUUAUCAUUGCAUUUCUUGUGUUGGGUAGAACUCUUUGUUUAGUUAAUAUCUUUUAUUUUUGUUUGUACAAAAAAGUUGAAAUAUAUAAUAUUAUAGGCCUCGUUUGGAUAAACAGCUUAUAUAGAUGCUUAUAGCAUUAUGGCUUAUAACAGAGCUUAUAUCAUAAGCUCUUAUAUUUGAUAAGCUAUUUAUGUUUGGAUAUGUACACUAAAAAGUACUUACAUAAAUUGAAGUGUUUGGAUGUGACAUUACAUAAACAAUUAUCGAAUUUUAAAUAUUUUUAAUUUAACAAAAAAAAUCAAAAAAUCGAACCACAAUUAUCAAGAUUUUUUUGAUAAAAAAUAAAGAUGUAAAAAACAAAUUAGAGAGAUGCUAUUUGGUACGGCAAUUACCCAACGAAAUUUCACGGACGCGUGAAUACUUUCACUUUCCACGCGCUACACUUUGUGAAUUUUUUUAAUUAAAAAAAAAAAAAAAAAAACCAGCUUGCUUGCUUAUGUGGAAAUUUGUGUAGACUGUAGAGAACAACAACCCUGGUCGUUUCCCCCAAAGAAAACAAACCUGUUCCUUCUCUUGCAAACCCAAAUCUCCUUCCUUAACAAAUUUAUGUAGAUUUGCUAAAACAGAAAGUGUGGUAAGGAAUGAGUGCAAGCACCGAUAGAUGCGGCUGAUUUUGGAAUUGCAGUAAUGUUGAACACAAAGGCCUUGCAAUAAUUUCAAUCUCAACUGAUGAAGAUUUGCUUGAAAUGACUUCAGAAUUUCCUAAAAUCACAUGAUAUGGAGGGUGAUUCUUAUGUUGAAUCUCACACUUGAUAUCUACUCAUUCAUUUACCAUGAUGACUAUAUGGGUUUUUGAGGUUCCUGGAAAUGUAACGAUGCAGCCUUUGGUAUGAUGAAUUCGUUGAAAAGCAAUUGUACUGUCUAAAUCGGUUUCCUUUCUCAGUUUUUUUUUUUCUUCUUUUCGGUGAACGGUGGGUUUCAUCUAUUAAAGGUUUUAUUAUUUAUUUAAUUUAAAAGAAAUGAUAUAUGUACAUCCACUUUUUGACAACUUUUUAACAACUUUCUUUCACAUACUCACAUUAUAGGAAGAGAGUAAAUAAAAGUUGUCAUUAAAGUUGUUACAUAUGGUUGUACAAAUAUCACAACUCUUAAUUUAAUUUUGUUUUUUCUGAAGUAUAAUUCACGCUCCCGUAGACUUCCGUACCUAAACUUCCGUACAAAAUAUCAUUUUCCAAUAUAUUAAUUAUAAUUAUAUAUAAGAAAAAAUUAACAUUAAAUAAGUAUAUAGUUACGUAACAAAAAAAAUAUUCAUAUAAGAAAAAUAUUAAUAUUUAAUUUCAUUUUGUUAUGUAACAAAAAAAUAAUAAAAAUCUUUCUUAAAAAAAGAAAAAAAUCUUUGUUACGUGUGUUAAUUUAGUAAGAUAAGUAUAUAACAAUUUUGUUACUCAUGCACCGCUAAAGAUAACUAACAUUAUAAUUAAAAUAUAUGUUUUGAAAAACUGAAUUCAGAGGGAAUCGAAGGAGGUUACAUAAAUUCAUAAGCUCCUUGUUAAGCAUGAGGGUAAGCUGAAAAUUUAGGCUUAUUAAAAUAUGACAUAAGCAGCUUAUGAAACUAUGAUAAACUAUUUUUAUUUUUUUAUCCAAACACCUUUAAAAAUGUUUAUGGGAGUAGAUAAGCCCACAUAAGCUCAAAAUAAGUCAAUCCUAAUGGGGUCUAAGAAUAAAAGGAGUAUUAAAUACUAUUGCGAUUUAACUCGAUUUGGUUUAAUUUUGAUAAAGUGACCAAAAUUUGAAUAACAUCCAAACGCUUAAAAAAGUGAGUUUUGUUAUUUUUGAUUUUCUAGAUCGAUUGUGGUUUUUUUUUUUUUUGGUUUGGUUUGAUCAAUCAACAUCUCUAAUUGUAUUUUGUUAAAUCACAAAGAAAUUUUAAAAGGAAAAAACUUAGGUACAAUUUCAUAGGUACUUUUCUUAUGGUUCUUAACUAAAUUCACCGUGAUUUUCUUAAAUCCAUAAUUCUCUCAAAGUUUGUUAUCUCUAAAAAAAUUGUAUUUUUAGUUAAGAACCAUACAAAAAACACCUACGAAAUUGUACUUAAGUUUUGUCCAUUCUAAAAAAUUGUAUUUUUAGAUUGAUGAUUUUUAUUGGAUGAUUUUUAUAACAUGAUAAAUCACUUCAAUCAAUUCGGUUAUGGUGGUGGAGGCCCAAGGGUGCGACUUUCUUUUUUGAGCGUCAUAUGGUUUGCUACCGUGUGAGAAAUUUGAAAAGAAAGAAAUAACAUGAUCUUAAUGGUAAAGAGUGCCCAAUUAUGCGUUUAAUGGACAAAAUUAAGUUACUUUCUUUCUCGUGGUUGAAGAAAAAAAUUGUUCAAUUUUCCCUCAAUUAUCAUGGAUGGUGGCUUAAUCCCUUAGCAGUGUUGGGUUAUGGUUGACUGUUUGUUUCUUUCAGCUUUGUUUUUUGCUGUUUUCGUUUCCCUUUUGUAAAUAUUGAUCGUUUGUUCCUUGGCACGUCUUGACUCUUGUGCUAGAAUAUUGUUUCAGAUUGAUUGUUUGUUCCAUUUUAACCUCUUAAAAAAAAAUUAAGCUCUCUCUCUUCCCCUUCUCUCUUGGAGCCGUCACCAAAACCCUAGUUUCUUCAUCUUCAUCCACCAAAGAGGGGUGAUUUAGGGUCAAUUUUUGACCUAAAAUCACCCAUCUAACCUGUUUUUUCUAUUUCCCUUUUAUUGAAAUAAGUGAUUUUCACAUAUAUUUCGUUUUUGCUUUCCUGAUUUCGCCGUCUUAGUGCGACGUUGUUUUUAUCGUCGUCUUUGUGCGACGUUGUUUUGUUCGUCAUCUUUGCGACGUUAUUUGUCUUUCUUGUUUUGUUUGGGUAUUUGUUCGGUUCAGAUUGUCAGAUCAGCUUCGAUCCAGUGCAGAUCAAAUCAAUGACUUUGGGUCAUCAAAAGUUGCAAAUCCGGAGACAAGGGUAUUCCGGAGACUUAAAUACAGUCAUAUGUGUAGGUUUUAGUACUCUCUCGUUUUAUGCUAUUAACAUGGAUGAUGUGAGUUUGUUCACAGAUUCAUCCUUUUCGUUUUUAACGAAUUUUCAUUGUAUCGAUGUACUCUAUCAAUUUGAAUUUGAAUGAAUGAAUAUCAUUUAUUUUUAUCAAAAAAAAUAUAUAUAUUUAGGUAUGCCCAUUAAACUCAUUUUAUUUCAAAAUUAUUGGACCACUAAAUUUGAAUUACGGUUGACUAAAGUGCCAAAAAUGUGAAAACUUUUAUUACUAGUGGGAUGCAGGUGUGCAACAGACGCACGAGAGGAAUGUAAGUUUUUUAGAAUAAUACAAUGGGUGUAACAGAAAGUGAUCCCCUUUUUUUUUUUUUUUUUUUGAAUAUUAAGAAAGUAAUUCCUGAAAAUUUAUAGUUAUGGUAUGCAUUUCUUGGCAGAAUCAUAUAUUAUACCCGAUUUCAAUUUUCCUUGCCUUUUCCCACUAAAAUUUACAAUUUUUAUUAAAAAUCCAAUUGCUAUGCUACCAAAAAAAUAUUCCAAUUUUUAUAGUAUGAGUUAGUUUUUUUUUUUUUUCAAAUGCAUUUAAAGGUCCCUUAAAUUUUUCAUUUUUUCCAAAGCCGUCCUUUAAGUUUCAAAAGUCACAAACAAGUCCUUUUAGUUUUUGAAUCGUUUCAAACAAGUCCUAUUGUAGAUAGUAUAGUUGGUAAUUACUUCCUUGAACUCAUCUUUGACACCAAAUCUGGCUCCUAACACCCACUUAAAAUUAGUCAUCUUUUUAGGCAUGUCAAAUGGUGGAUAAUGCUCUUUGUUGCUAUCAUCUAAAUCAUCACCAUCAUCCUCUAAAAGGACUUGUUUGAAACAAUUCAAAAACUAAAACGGCUUGUCUGAGACUUUUGAAUCUUAAAGAACGACUUUGUGCACUCCUCAUCUUAUCAUACAAUGCAGCACAUUAUUCGACCUCCUGCACCAUCUCAAUAGACAUUGAUACGGCAGCAAGUGCACGAGUAUAUCAUCGUAAUAAAAAAGUAUUAAUCCUCAUGAAUUUGUGAUUAUCAAUGUACCUUUUCGCCUAAGGCUAUGUUUGAAUAUUUUAAAACGAACGGAAUGGAGCGGAACGUAAUAGGAUGGAGUGGGAUGGAACGGAACGGAAUGAAAUAGAGUUUCCAUCCCACUAUUUGAGUAUUCUAUGGCAGAGCGGAACAAACUCUCCAUUCCAUUGUUUGAAAAUGGACGGAAUGGUAUACAUUAUAAUUUUUAAUUCCAUUUUUACCCUUAUUUUAAAAUACUAUCAUAUAUGGAAUUGCAUAUUAUAUAGCUUAUAAUAAAAUAGUAGCCCAAAAAUGGUUUAAUUUUGUUUGUAAAAUUGUCCAUCACGUUAUCCCCCAACAUCUCCAUAACUCGUUGAGUUUUCUACCAUUUUAUUUAUUUAGAUUAGAUUAAAUAGCAGGUCCACUGACCACGACAAGUUUAUCUUUAGAGGAAGUGCUUUGAUGUAUUUGAAUGUCUAUUGCUCAGGACAACUUUAAUAUUGGUUUUGAGGAGCUGCAUGAUCACGUGUUGUAGAGUUUGAUGAUGCUUUUGGUAUGUGCAGUUUGUCAUAAACUCACGAAGAAGAAAUGGUAGCAUAGAAGAAUUGGGUUAAAAACGUAAUUGUCUAAUUAGGAGACUUCAUUCCAUUUUUUUUUUUUUUUUUGUCAAAUAGCCUAGUGGUAAGAACUCACACAAUUUAAUUGUGGAGAAGUGGGGCGUCCGGGGUUCGAAACCCGGCCUCUGCAUAUAAUAUGCAAUAUCCCUACCAACUGAGCUAAAUACAUCCCAAAUUAGGAGGAAUGAAAAAUGAAGGAAGAUGAUGGAAUGGAAUGGAAUAGAUUCCAUCAUGUACCAUUCCAUUCCACUCAUUUUUUAAAUAUCCAAACAAUGGAACUCCAUUCCAUGGUGGCGUUUAAUUUGGGAAAGGGAAGUUGUUUCCCACCAUUAAAGGGAAGUUGUUUCCAUACGGUUCCUGUAACACCCUGUUAUCCCAACAAUUAAAUAUUAAAUAAAAUAUCAGAGUUUAUCACCAAAAUGGGCAUGCUACACUGCUUUUCAAAAUUCUUAAAUAGAAUAAAAUACUAUUUAAAUAACAUCAACUUUAAUAGUUAAACCAAUAAUUUGCCGCAUAAUAUUUUCAAUAAUAAAUAACAUCAACAUCCAACAAUAAUCCUGGCACAAAGGCCUCAACAUGAUAUUCAUCAAAAUUGUUCAACAACGAUAAAAGGCUACAUCAGCAUGUUCCAAAAUUGAUACAUAAGGAAUGAAAAUAAACAACUAAUUCCCAUCUCGUUACGUAUCAGAGCCUUAGACACUUGAGCCACCACUUUACUAUUCUUCAUCACCUGCAAGUUUCCCAUAGGAAGGGCAACAUUUCCAAGCAGAAGGGGUGAGAUUCACAAACAAUAAUAAUAGAUAUAUAAUUCAUCAAUUGAAUCUAACACCCUAAAUAUCAUCCAUACAUCAAUAUAAAUAUAUAUAUAUAUAUAUAUAUAUAUAUAUAUAUAUAUAUAUAUAUAUAUAUAUAUAUAUAUAUAUAUAUAUAUUUAUAUAGUCAACAACUUAUCAACAUAUGACAAUUUCAACCAACAACAACGACUCAUGCAAUGACAUGACAACACCACUAAGACUCCUCAACAACUGCGACUAUGCACAUGCAUGUGGUACCAUUUUACAUGGCAUAAACCCUCACCGAAUUCGAAUGGUUAAAGCAUUCACAGGGCAUAAGCCCUCACCAAUUUGAACAACAAGGUGUUCCAGGGCAUAAGCCCUCUCGCUUUGAACGACAAGGGUGUUCCAGGGCAUGAGCCCUCCCACUUUAUAUGAUUAUGCAAAGACUCCACCUGUGUAUAUCUACAUACAACUCGACAAUGCAUACAACGACAACCACUACUCUUAAAUGCAUAUAUGUAAAUAUGACUUCACCUCGACAAUCCAAUUAAUAAUACUUCAACCUUUGAAAAGAAUUCAACAACAUGUAUAAUUUAUUUAAAUAUAAAUAUACAUUACAGCCAGCAAUAACUCAUCAUAAUUAAUCCAACAAUUCCAGAAAAAUACACAAUUAAUCAUAAUCAUGCUCCUACAUCUAAUUCAUUCAACAUUAUUCAAUUACGUAUCAACAGCUUCAGAUACUGGGCAACUCGCCUCGCGAGUGCUUCUGCUCGUUAUGGCGAGCUCAGGAAAAAGGUUACUCGCUGUGGCGAGUACGAGGCGAACGAGAAAAAGGGUGCUCUCGGGAGUUUUGACAUUUUUCUCACUAAAUCUUCAUUUUUAAGCUCCCUAUUCAUCUUUUUAAUCUAAAAGUUGUCCCAGACCUCUCUAAAAAUAUCCAGGCACUCAAAACCAUCCAACUUAUACCUUAUAACAACAAUCUAAAAAUCAUGAUCUCUCACUCACUUACUCGCCAUGGCGAGUGGUUCUGCUCGCGAGGCGAGCCAAGAAGGUUGCUCACUCGCGAGGCGAGACAGACUACUCGCCAGGGCGAGCGAUGAAUCUUUGUACGGACAGAAUGCAGGUUUUUCCCCAAAAAUCUCAAUUUUCUCAAUUCACUCCCCAAAACAGUUUACAGAAGUGUAAUAACAUGCUGUAUGCAACCAGAACAUAAUUCUAACACUAAAACAAUGGUUUCUACACUCUUUUCACCCAAAAAUCAAAGAAUCAUAAUCUAACCCAAAUUCCCAAAUUUUAACCAGAACUAUGUUAAAACAAAAUCAGAAUUACAAUCUACACUAUUGAAAGCAAACCUCACCCUUACCUUAAAUCAGAUGAACAAAUUCUACAGGAUUCUGGUUCUCUUGGCUCUUCUCCCCUGUUCUUGGUUUUUCUCCCAAAACUCUGUUGUACGUAAAACAGUUUCUGACUUUCUCUUUUCCUAACUCCCAACACUUAACUCCCCCUUUAUUUCACUUAACCCCCUCUUAAUUCUAUUAAUUCUAAUUAAAUCCUCAAACUCCAAAAUAAUAAUAAUUCCCACUUAUUCUAAUUAAUAUCAAAAUAAAUCAUAUAAUAAAACAUAACACACCACAACAUCCACAUAAAUCAUUUAAAAUCAUAUAAAGACUCUAAAUAAAUCAUAAAUAAAUAAAAUAACGACUAGGGCGUUACAACUCCAUCCCAUUAUAUUCCAUCACUUUCCAUCAAUCCAAACAAAGCCCAAGUGUUCAACUAGAUUUUGUUUUGAUUGUUUUUAGAGUUCAUGUUUGAUUUAGCUCCGAAGAUAUGCAAAUUAAUAAAGUGUAUUGGAAUCAUUGGAGUUUAUCACUGCAAUGGAAUAUUUUCUAAUGUUAUGAGAAAUCUUUGCUUAAAAAUGAGGUAACUCGAAAUAUUUUUUGUCCUCUUUCAAGAAACAAGGUGUGUGGCAUACCAACAUAGCUCCAUAUUUUCAUGGUUUCUAUGUUGGUAAGACUCAUUGGACCAUAUUACUCAUCUCAUUCCAAAAACAUUUUGAUUGUUUCUUUUUCCAUCUUACGAGUUUCUCGCGCGCCCUAUGCAGGUUGGAUUAUAGAAUUCGAACGACAUAAACACCCCAUAAAAACCUCCAAAAACACGUUAAUGAACUCUUAGAGUGGAAAAAGUAAUGGCCAAAACAUGUAGGCUACUCUCAUUUUUCAAGCUCUUUGUCUAGCCUUAUAUUUCUAGCAACCAUAUUGUCUUUCAACAAGAAUGUUGUCUUGAUUUUUCUUAAAAACAUUAAGGCUAGAUUAGAGUUUUCAAUUCUCAGCAAAAGAAGAAAAAAAAUUUCAGGCGCUAAGUGUCGUUAGGAUACCCAUAAUCGUAAACGAAGUGAGCACUCACGAUUUUUUUUCACCACCAAAAAAAUUUAUUCUAGGUGUUAAUGAACUCGUGAAAUACUCAGCGAUUACAAGCCUUUCGAAAGACUUUUACCCAUGAUCAUCAAUUGCUCAAAGAAACACAACAAAAUUAAAUCUAUUAGGCUGUUACAAUUGUUCAUAAUGCCAAGUUCAUCUAAACCCCUAGACAUUCUACCAUAAAAACCUAAACUUCAAAAAAAAAAAAAAAAAUUGGAACCCCGGAAUUUUUUUACACCACACAAAAAAAUUAAAAGUUUAAGCCAUGAUUUGGCUCCGCCUCUACCCGCCAAUAAAAAUUGUGGGUGACAUUAAUGAAUUGAUAUAAUAGACUUUCCAUACAUGCCAUGUUGAUCAUUUUAUCACUUCUCCUUUUUUUUUUUUUUUAGUUACAUAUCACUUCUCCUUUAUAAAGUAAAAUUUGAAUCUCGACAAAAAUAUUAUUAAAUUUAAAAUGGAAAAUUUUAAAUUCAUGGGUCAAAUUCAAGAUUCAUGAUGUCAAAUUCAAUGAAACAAAUAGUAUAAAAAUUAUUUUUAUUCUAAAUAACCCGAAAUUUACCAAAGGAAGGUAUUUUAUAACGUAUGGGAAAAAGAACCAUUUUAUAGAGAAGCCUAAUCCAAAUUCCAUGCAACGGAACCUAAACAUCAUUCCUUUAAAAAAAAAAAAAAAACUAAACAUUGUAAUUAAAAAAUAGCAGUCAUUUAACAGUAACUUAUUUAGAAGUAACAAUCCAUAUAACUGUAUCUGAUAUUAGCACCUGAGCUCCCAAACAGGCGUAACAUACACAAGCACAACACAGCAAAGCAUUGAAUUUGCUUUGCUUUUGUCUAACACUAGUUGUCAUUCCAAUAUUUUCAGUACUAUUUUUUCGUCAAAUAAUUGAGUACAAAAAUCCCAAAAUCUGUUUCGUAACUCAAUUUGAGUCAACAAAUCAGAUUACUUCACACGUCACCCUACUUAAUCAACCACCAAAUCAGACCAUAAAUGCUUAAUUCCCUAAUUUAAGAACUGGAAUUAAACAAAAUAACAAUAAACUAAUAAUUUUCUCCUAAAAAACAAUAAACUAAUGCUAUUAUGAGUUUAUUCCUAGUGCGCAUGUUGUGCAUCAAAAAACAAAACAAUGGUAAUAAUUAGGAUACAUAACAAUUAACAACCAUUAAUAGUAUAAAUCAAUGGAAUUUCAUCGUAUAUUCAUUCGUAUAUAAUAUAGCAUACCCUAUAUAGGACAAAAAAUAAAAGUAAUAUAACCAAAAUAAAGCAAACAAUAUUUUGACGAUCGUCCUACUAGCCAGCAAAUAUGAGGUUGUAAAAAUCAAAAAGAAAUUGGAAAACAAAGAUUAUUAAUUAAUAUAAAUUAUACGAUUAGUACUACAACAAUACAACCCACUAACCCCAUUAAUUAUCCUAUAUUAAUUAAUUAACCAGAAAAGAAAUGGCAGGAUAUAGUUGUCGUUAACCGCAAAAUACCGAAAAUAAAGGAUCCUUCACAUUACACCACAAAGCCAGCUUUUCUUCCUCCGAUCCAAAAGGAAAAGAAAAAGAAAAAGAAAAAGAAAAAAACCUCUCUCUCUCUCUCUCUCUCUGUUGGUAUCUGCUUGCUAAACUCUCAUCAUAAUCCUCUCCGCCAGGUUUUAACUCUAAUCAUCAAAUAAAAUUAAAAAAAAAAAAAACCCAAAUCUUUUUCGCAGCUGUUUCUCUCCCACCGGUUGGGAGUAGUGGGGAGACAGAGAAACAAAACACAUUUAAUCAUUGAUCAAAGUGUUUCCUCUUAUCCCCGCUGUCCCAUCCGGCCCAUAAUUAAACCCUAUCUAUGCCUUCUUUUCAUUCUCAUAACAACUUUCUUAUUCAUCUCCCAUGCUUAACCUCACUCUCUCUCCACCACCAGUUCCACCACCACCACCUGAAUCAACAACACAUCAACCUCAUCUCCAUCUCCAUCUCCAUCUCCAAGUAAUUAUAUAUUAUUACCACCCACCAUCCAACAUCUUUUUGUGUGGUAAUCUUAAUUAUCAAUGAUUUAUGUAGAUACUACAUAAAAAUAAAUAAAUAAAUAAAUAUUGUUAUUGAUCGAUGUUGUUCAUGAAUACUUUAUCACCAAUCCUUACUUCAGCUUUCGACCUCACCACCGUAACAUUAAUCUCUUCCUUAAUUGUCCUCUCUGUUUUAUCUCUUUGUUUUAUUUUCCAUCUCCGUUUGAAAUCAAAAUCUUUAACCUAUCUUCAAGGCUUUAACUCUCUUUGGACCGUACGUUUCCUCCUCGUACUUUUCAUCUUCUUCUGGUGCAUCAUUGAACUUUUCCGGUUACCUUUUUUCCGGAGAAAAUAUCUAUAUCCACUUUCACCCUCCCUAGAUAUUACUCAACAAGCCAAUCUCUGCAAAAUCCACAUUGUUUUUUCUCUUGGAUUCUUUGAACCAGCUUUUCUCUUAACGUUGUUGUUUCUCCUCAACGCUUCCAUCAGAAAAAAGACACCAAACGACGGUUGGGCUGUAACCUUUGUGUUUAGCACGUGUCUUCCAUUAGGUAUUCUUCAAGGUUUACUUGUCUAUUUCAAUCCAUUGGAACAUCGUGUUCCGGCGUUGUUACGACAAACAUUUGUUAUUCUAGAAGACGACACCGUUCUCUGUGCUUACCCGUUCUUAAACAGCGUUGUGUUCGCGGCAUUCUCUGCUGCAUAUUGUGCAUGGUUAUUGUUCUCAUGUUGGAAGGUUUUAUCAUUGGUGAUUAACAAAGGAUUAAGGAUUCGAAUCUACGCAUUGGGUUCUGUCGUUUUGGUGGCUCUUCCUCUUCAGGUUGUGUCGUUGGCCUUCACCGUUCUAUGGAGUCCUGAAGAUGAUAUUUACGGCGUCGUUUCAUUGGUGGUGUUUUUCUGUGCUUUUUUCUGUGCUGUUGCUGGUGAGGGUAUUUUGGUAAUUAAGCCUGUUUCUGAUGCGUUGGCUGCUGGUGGAAACUGUUGUAUGUGGCCGACACGUCGUCAAGAUUCGUUGCCGGCGAAGGAAGAGAAGAUGGAGGAGGAGACAGUUGCUAUGGUGGAUUUAGAGGAAGGUGUGGCUCGAGGGUAGGGUGGUAAUUUUGUCCUGCUGAGGGAGGAUUUUUUGGCUACAUGUAUUUAUUUAUUUUCAAAGAAAAGAAAAUUGAUGAUUCUCUCUAUAUAAUUCUGUAAUAUGAAUCUGAACUGGUAUUUCUUUACUUUUUGGGUGAAAAGUAUUAUUCUUUUUGUUGUUUGUAUAUAAUUCAUUCAUUUAUUUAGUUAAUUUUACUGUGUUAUUCUUGUAUGAUACGAUACGAUCAAGCACUACAACUUCAUUGUUCAAGUUGUACAUAUGCACUUUUUGACUUAUUGUACUAAUUAAGCCUAUAUAUGUUUGGUUAUAAGGCCGAUUUUCUGCGUUUGCUCAAGAUUCAUGACACUUUUACUCAUUUGUAAGCUUAAUUAACUAAAGGUGUUUUUGGAGUUUCAAAUGCAAAACCAAACGCAUGUUAUGAGUAUCCCACUCCAUAGAGGAUGAUGAUCGAAAAAUCAAUCAUGAAAUUAAAAUAAUCAUCUCAAUCUCAAUAUAUACUAUGCUUAGCUUAGACAGAAGCUACAAAAUAUAGCUUUUGUAUUAUUGCAUUACAAAUGUUAUUGAGAUUCAAACAAAUCGACAAUCAAUCAAGUGAAUGGAUCUUCUCAAUCUUAUCUGGCCUAUCCCACAAUUGUUAUCAAUCUCGUUAAAUAGAAAAAGAUGAGAUGGAUUAUUAAUAUAAAUUGAGAGCAUCCAUUCCCAUUAAUGGAUUCUUAUAUCCACAGCUAUAUCUAGUGCAUAAAUUUUAGCUCUGAUUAAUCUAACGGUUCAAAUAUUAAAUAAAAGAACCAAUUUAAAGGUAAAGAAGUAUGAUGGAUGUCUCUAAGCUUAAUCUUUUCUGCGCGCACGUUCCUUUUCAUUCCAUUUUUAUGUACAAUCGUCUUCCAUUUCAUUUGCAAUGGCAAUUGAAUCACCUUAACACACUUGUUCCUUUUAUUUCUCCUUAUUUAAUAUUAAUCUCCUUACCAUUGCUGAUUUUUUAACAUGUACUGUAUAAGCUGGUUUUUUAAAACAAUAGUGCAGACAACAAUAAACCACUAACCCCCUACCAUUCUUUAUUUUCUUGUAAGAUAUCAGAAACAUUUUUCUAUUCAUUAAACAAAAUAGAGAUUCAUUACAACACGAUACAUUUUACUUUCGUGGUUACAAAUUAAUUUAUAUUUGUAGUAAAAAUAUAGGGAGGAUGCCUAAAAAAAAUAUGUGAAGGCAUUUGUAAAAGAGCUUGUUGUUAGGGAUUUUUUUUUUUUUUUUUUGGAAUAAAAACAAGAAGAUCAGUUAAAGAGAGAAAAGGCCCAAAUCAUUUAAGAUUUGAGAUACAACAACAAUACACAAGAGAUUUUGCUCUACAGACCCCUCAAAUUAAAAUGCUCACAGGCCCCUCAAGUUUUAUAAAAUGCUCUAGUUGUUUAACAGCAUCAGAUCCUAACUCCCAACCGUUGUAGUUAAUGAGUUAACCACCGAUCAUCUCAAGGAAUAAGCCUUGAUCCUAGAUCGAGACUUAAGAACCGAUACGUCUGAUGCAUAUAAUUGUAUCAUUCAGAGUGCAUGAAAUUCAUGUAGAAUUGUAUCAUUAGAAUCCAAUAUCAUUCAUGCAUAAAAUUCAUAUACACCGAUGGUUGGUAGAAUACAAAAUAUUCAUAAACGGUUUUAUGGCAUAAAAUUCAUAAAUUGAACGAGUUCAAUGUCAUGAUAUUAUAAUACUAAUCUACAAAAUUAUGUCAUGAAAACACCAAGAUACAUAAACAAACAAAAAAUUAACUAUUGAGUUUGUUUGUGUGCAAGUUAUGAGUAGCACCUCCUUCUAGACCUCACUCGAUAAUGGAUGGUCGGCUCUGUUUCUUAGACGUUCUGCUGCAUAGUAGAAUACUGAUCAUCGUAUUAUGUACUACUAUCCGUCCCUUCGAAGGCUAUAUUUCAAACUUUACUACAUAAGUGCAAAGUAUCUAGAAAUUUCACUUCAAUUCUUCUGCUCUAUCAAAACCUACAUAUUUAUCGGCCAAGGCGGAUGUCCCUCUAAAUAGGUAAUACCAUGGGAUGCGAAACCUUGUAGAACUAGAAAAUGUUACCAGGACCGGCCUACCACCAUGUCUUCAUAAAUAGACGUUGUAUGUCUUCAAGUAAAAUAUGCAACAAGUAAUCUAUAAAUGCCUAAUCCAUUUGAAAAAGAUGUAGUAAUCUUGUAAUACCAAAAAUAUUCUUGGAAUGCAAAAAAUAUGCAACAAUUAAUCUUGGAAUGUCUGAACUAUUAGGUGUCGUCCAAGGUACGCAGGGGAAGGUAAAAUCAUCCACAUAUGGCCCUUUCAAGGAAGGAACAUUGUUGCACACAACUCGACCUCAAUAUAGUUGGAGUCGAUUACAAAGGUAUAUCUGUGUGUGUCUAAAAUUCUCCAUGUCCCAAGCCUAAAAAAACAAACAACAUUAAAUUACAAACACAUAUAUUAAAUGUUAGAGAUCUCAAAUAUUACAAACAAAUAAUUAUCUACAUGAGAGUCAAGUAUUGAGUCAACUGCAUUCUAUGGGGAUUAGUCACCUCACCCAUGUGUAGGCUACAGCGGAAUCCCUGUAUGACCACUGAUUAAUUGUAGUGAGAUCCCAGAAGUGCUCUAGGUACAACACGUCGACGUACUGCAGACUCUUAUCAGUAAAUAUGAUGAUGCAUCAAACGAGGUAAAAUGAUAAGCUCUUAUACACUUAGUCAUAUGCCCAUCUCUGAUAGCCUUCAUCCCUGGUUCACUUUCAAGUUCCAAGGCUUUGGAAUGAUGGUCGAGGAAAACGCAUAUGAGAAUGCUGGUACUUGGUGUCAUAUUAGUCUAAGGUUGAUCGGGCCGUAACCCCCGAACCAAAGCGAUCAAGAUUUAUGCCCCGAUAGGUUGGGCUCAUAACUCCCAAUAGGGAUAUUUUCAUGAUUUCUAAAGGCAUGUGAGCAAUUGAAGGGACCUAUUGAGAAAUCUUAAUACACAAGGGGUAAAGUUAUGUCAUGUAAUGUUGGGCUCAUAGAUAGCUAAUAGGUACAAGUAAUGGGUUGCUCUGCUAUCACAAUUUAUCCACUUAUUCUUCUUCCCUUCAUCCUGUUUAUCUCAACCUCUCAUCUUCAAAGGUGAACCAACAAAGCUGCAAACUCUUUAAACCAAGCCAUAUAUGAUUAGGUCGAUCUCCUCUACAUCAAUUAUAGUCUUCAAUGCUUUAGACCUUGUCUCUUCUUCACUAUAUAAGCCUCUUUUACAUAACAUGAACAAAACAAAAAAAAAGGAACAGAGGUGUUUUAGUGGGAUAUGAUAUAUAUUCUUGAGUUUUUUCAUUUGUUUCAAGUCUUGAUGAAGUUUUUAGGUUGUCGCUUAUGGAAUUUUCAAAAUGAACGCACACAUCUAAACUGAAACACGUUCAAGCUGUCACCCGAUGUAACUAUAUACAGUUAGACACCAGCGGACGACGGUCGGCUGAGCUUUUCCAUCUUUGGGUUGCUUCGGAUUGAUGAUGAUUUUUGGCCCAAAACAGAUAGUGUCCAUCCCCUAAUGAAUGUCAUUAUGUGGAAAAUAGUGCAGUAAGCUAGUCUCUCCGACGUAAAUGGCCGACUGAUUAGCUUACACAUUAGAUUUUAUAAUUAUGCCUAAUUAACAUAACAAAAGAAAUUAGUUUUCCACAACAUAUAUAGAUAUUCAAAACUCAAAAUUCUUAUUAAAAGAGAUGUUCACGUUUAAUAUAUGAUAUGAUUUUGCCUCAAACAUAAAUUCCUUUGCGAAUAAGGAAAAAAUAAAAUAAAAACAUGGUUUGUAUUGUAGAUGGAGAGCCUGCCGUGAUCUAUUCCAUUUUUUAUAUUCCAUACUAUAUUUAGAAAUAGGUUUUCCCAUAAAAACAAAAAUAAGCAAGUCAACUGGAAUUGGAACAAUCCGGGAACUUGAGGUGUCUGCCGACAAAAACGGUUAAAAUGUUUUUUUUAUGAAAAAUAAACUUUUUUUUUUUUUUACAAAUAUGAAAAAUAAACAGUAAAAAGUUAAAGGUGUUAGUAAAAUGAUUUUGAUUGAUAUUUACAUUUCGAGUUGAUUUUUCUUUUGUUGAAAGUUUUGGAGUUGAGUUUUAAUACUAAUUGAAUUCAAUUUGCGACUCUUUCCAUGUGUUUUUCCUGACAAUUUAUGUUAACCUUCCCGUACCAAAUUCAAAUUUCCAGCUGUGAAUUAAAAAUAAAAACGACUCUCCUAAUCUUUGGGAAUUUUAUUUUUAAGGAUAAUCUCUUUGGGAUUAUUUCUCUAGCUGUUUCCUUUCGAGAACAAAUCUUUGUGUACACAGUAAGCAAACCCUAGAAUCAUCAUCAUCAUAAUAUUAAUAUAUUACUAAUUAAUAAUAUAUCAAUGACCCACCACCACAACACAAUAACACCCUUUUCCCACUAACAUCAAUAUUUGUACACCCUAACCUAACCUAUACUUUCCCGACCUUAUAUAUACAACCCUUCUCAUAUCCUCUUCAUCAUUCCUUUUUUGUUGUUAUGUAUUUUGUUUUCCAUCUAUCAUGAGCAAUAUCCCAAAAUCUCUCACCGACUCUUCCUUAACUCUCUUCAAUCUCACCAUAUCAUCUUCUGAUCCUUGGCCUUUCUCUUUUGUUUUCUUAUAACAAAAAACCUCCCAAAACCAAUUAAUCAUUGUUUAACCACUACUUGAAGUACAUUCAAUACACUUCUUGUUGUUGUUUCCUUCAACUUUGUGGGUUUGUUAUUCUUGUUAAUUAUGGGGAUUAGUAGUAAUCAUCAUAACCAUCACUUGAGUUUUCAUUUGCACAUUCCUCACCUCAAUUUUCAUCACCACCAUGAAAAGAAUAAGGACAUUCCAAAAGGGUGUUUGGCCGUGAUGGUGGGACAAGGAGAAGAGCAACAAAAGUUUGUGAUCCCGGUCAUUUACAUAAACCAUCCAUUGUUUAUGCAAUUGUUGAAAGAAGCUGAAGAAGAAUAUGGAUUCGAUCACAAAGGACCAAUCAUCAUUCCCUGCCAGGUCGAAGAGUUUCGUACCGUCCAAGGAAUGAUUGAUAUGGAGAAAUCUCACCACCAUCAUCAUGCUUGGUGUUUUAAAGUUUGAUUCAAUAUUAUUAUUACUACUAGCUUGAGCAAAUCAUUAUGUAUGCAUGAAACUUUUAUGUGUAUUUUUCUCUGAAUUUUCUCGUGUUGAUAUCUUUUAAGUAACAAAAAUGUUGGAUCUUAAUUUGUAGAGUUAUUUUUUCCUAUAAUUGUGUGAUAUCAAUGGGAAAAAUCGAAUGAGAAUCAUAUUGUGGUGUGAAUAAUAUUGUGUUUAUUUUACCAUGAAAAACAAUUAUGUGUAUGUAUAUCCUCAAACCUCUAUUUUACGCAAGCAUUCUCAAUCAAAUUCAAUAAUAAUGAUGUGUGUAGUGUGUGUAUCCAUCUGUUUGCAAUUUCAAUCUUAUGAUUGUAUAAAAAACUUGAGUCUUACAUUCCAAAAAAUAAAAAUCCAAUCUUAUAUGAUGAAUGUGAACACUUUAAAGUAAAUAGAGGUUCUUAAUUAAAAAAAAAAAAAAGGUGAUAGCUGUUGGAAGUUCCUAGCGUGAAAGACACGGUUGGAAUUUGGAAUAAAGAUAAAGAUAAACUUUAUUUUUCAUUCGUUUUUGCCCUUUUAGUUUGGCCCUACGCAAAAGAAAUAUCAACUUUAAGAAAUCUAAUAUAUGCAUAUAUUAUUAUUACAUACAAUAACCGCAUUAAGGAGGACUUGGACGUACGAAAGGGUUUUUGGCCUUUGUUUUUCAGCAAUUAUAUAUAUUCCGUUUAAUUAAUUUUUUCUAUAUGUAAUAAGGUAUAGUUGCUUUGCCUUUGGUUUCUUAAUGGUGGGGUUUUAUUAUGAUUAUGAUGAUAAGGAAUAUGUAGCAACUAGGAAGUUUGGUGGGAUAGUUGUGGUUCAACAUACUUGGCGUGUAUGCGUCGACUCAUUGAGUCAUUACAUUUGUCCUCUAUAUUGUUUAGCAAUUUAUAUAUAUUUUUAUUUUGAUAUAAAUAUCAAGCAUAUUUUUGUUGACAAAGUUUAACCAAUUUAUAUAUUCAUCAUCAUUACGUCAACAACCACAUUGGGUAAUCACAUUUUCCUCCGAAUAUGGGCGAUCUUGACUUUGAAAAAAAAAUAAAAAAAUCUAAACCAAUCACUAUGUUAGGAAAUGCUAAUCUUACAAAAUACUCGUUUUUUGAGGUUGUUGGCUGUCAUCAGUUGAUUUUUUUUUAAGAAAAAAUCAUAUAGAUGUCAGUUAUUUUGUACUAGUAUAAUUAUAUGUUAUUUGAGGGAAGAUUAGUUCUGAAAAUUUGGAAUUCGUUUAAAGUACAUAAAGUUUGGCUAAUGAUUAUUUUAGGGAUCAAACUCAAGCUCAAUAUUUUCGAUCAUUAUUAAUACAACUUUUUUAUAUCAAAAUUAACCUUCAUUUUGAUAUCUAAAUUAUCGGUAUAUCUUCUAUUUGAUCAUUAAACUAUAAAAAUGAUUCAUAGUUUUCUUUUUAAAUCUAUCAAGUUUGUCUUUGAAUUAUGAUUCUCUCUCCUAUUUAAAAAGUAGUUGUAACCUAACUUGACUAGGAAGCCAAAGUUAUAGACCAAAUAAAAUGUUUAAUAGUUAAGUUAUAGAUCAAAUAAAAUGUUUAAUAGUUCUUGAUUUGUGAAAAGAAUAAAGGAUCGUCUCUGGAAUUUGGUUUUGAUUUUCGUCCCUGUAAAAAAAAAAAAUUUGAAAUACAUCCCUGUAAAAAAAAAAAUUGUUUGAAAAAGGUCUCUGGUCCUACUAUUCAGCUAAUUUGGUAUGGUUUUGGCCACGUGGCAGUUGGUGACUGUGCAACUUUUGCCACGUGGCGUGCCACAUAAUAUUACAUUUAAAAAAAAUUAUCUAAAAAUUGUUUUUAAAAUUAAAAACAAUUUAAAAUACUGAAAAUAAAUUUUAAAAUAUUAAAAUAAUUUUCUGAUUUAUUUUUUUGUAUAAUUUUCAAAAUAAUAUAUAUUAUUAAAUUUUUGAAAUUUUUUUUUUAAAUUAAAAUUUUCGUAAAAGAACAAGAAAUUAGAAAAAAAAAAUUAUAAUUAUAAUUUAUUUUCAAAAAUUUUAAAUUUAUAACUUUUGAAAAUAUAAUUGUCAUUAUUUUUGAAAAAAUUUUAAUAUAUAAUUUUCAAAUUAAAAAAAUCUAUUUUUCAAAAAUUUAAUUUCACAUUUUUUUUUCAAAUUUUAAUUUUAAUAGUUUUUAUGUCAAAAAAUUAAGUUUUCGAAGUUUUUUUUCAGAUUUUUUAAAUUAAAAAAAUAAAUUUUCAGAAUUUUAUUUUUAGUUUUUUUUAAUUACGUGGAUUGACACGUGGCGAAUAACAUGCCAAAUCAGACAUGAAGUGGGAUCAGAGACCUUUUUCAAAUAAAAUAAAUUUACAUAAAUGUAUUUCAAAAUUUUUUUUUACAUGAACGAAAAUUAAAACUGGUCCAAAUUAUAGGGACGAUUAUCAUAUUUAAGCUGCGAAUAAAUAAGUAAGUAUCUAUGAGAAACUAUUAUUAAAUAAUGCUUGUGUUGAGAGAGUCUUCAUAUUCAUACAUACAUUGUUGUCCAAAUUCCUUCCUUCCAAUAUGAAUCGUGCCUUCACUAAACAGCAGCUUUUUACUUGUUUCGGCAGUCAAUCCAGCCUUGAACAACUAAUCCGGCAUGUUCUGCAAAUCAUAUUAUUUUAUUAAUCUCAACGUAACGUAUUUGUCAUCAAAAUUCAAAACUCAUACCCAUUCAAACUUUAUAAAAUAUUGAUGACAAAGUUGAGCUGAAUUGGUAUUUAUUUUAACUUCCCAUUAUUUGUCAUUCAACGCGCUACUUUUGGGACAAAUACAAUGUCAAUACUUACUUAUUCCUCUCUUUAUACACAGAAAACAAAUCAUUAUUAUUCUUUUGACAGAACAUAGAAAACAAGUGUUAUUUGAUAGAUUCUUCGAUAUAAAUACAUGUCAACUAACUUCAAUAUAUUUACGUUACUCUUCAACAAAAAAAACCUUUAAUCCUUGAAUUGAUGUUCCAAUGAACCAAAUUCUUAUAUAAAAGUAAAUAAUGACAAAUGAUAAUUUAGAAAACACUUGCUAUUAUAUUUAGAAAAAUAAAUUAUGUUCACUAAAUUUUUUAAUUAGUGUAGAAUUGAUUCUUUUGGUUAAAAUAGUACUUCAUCUAUCCCACAAAUAAUCAACUUAUUUUCAAAUAAAAUUUAUCCCAAAAUGAUUAGAGUACUUUUGUAAAACGUACUAUUCAAUUUUUUUCUUAUAUCUCCCCAAGAAAAUUUGAAGGCUAAUUUGUUCAGGUAAAUGAAAUACAUUUAAAGAAUUGACAUCUUCCAACAUAAAUUUUUUCACAUGCACCGCCUAUGAAUCGAGUAUUUGAUCAAAUGAUCAAGGAACCCAACUGUAUCGGACGAAUGGAAUAUUAGUCCAAGAGAAGUAAGCAUUAAGCAAUCAAGUAAAUUGAUUACUCUCAUUUUUUAUCAUAGGUUUCCUCCAGUAAAUUGACACUUUAUUUUGAUAACUCUUCUAGCCAUUAUUCGGAUAUUGAUUUGUCCUGUUGUGAGUAUGUAUCUCUUUCCGCGAGAACGAAUCGUCGUUGAUAAAUUUUGCUUAUACAAAAAAAGGUAAACCGUUUAUGAACAUAAUACAAGCGCGUCUAUAUUUCAUUUUGGUUUUUGACCAGUGCCACAAAGAAUAAUGUGUAUCCUUUCAAACAAGGAUCUAGACCAAACACACGUUAACAUUGCUCAUGGCCCAUGUUAAUUGCCGCAUUUCUCUGCCUCAAUAUUCUUGUGAAACAAAACAAAGUGCGACAUUUUCUGGCGUAUGAUAAAGUUUUGACCCAAAUAGUAGAAGUAUCUUUAAUCUUCACACGAAAUCUUACAAGAAAGCAAGUUGCAUUUGUGCUCACAAGGAAAAUGGGAGAAUUUUUACUUUGCACCACAAGUCACAUGAGGAACAAAAACAAUAUGCUAGCUACCUAUACUUUUCCAUGAUACAAUCUCCAACGUCCCUAUAAAAAAAUUGCUUAGACCCUCUGUACCAUUUCCCUUUCAAUUCAAAUUCAAAAAGAAAAAUGUUUCAAUUCAAAUUUAAAAAGAAAAGGACACAAACUAAUUUCAAUUUCAAUAAGUAUAACAAUAAAAUCUCCUUUUAAUCGUCAUAGCUAUCUGUGUCUUGUAUUUGAACGAAUUGUGACACCAUGCAAAUACUUUGUAUAUCCGACCAAGCUGAGUUUUCCAUCAGAUUUUCUGAUCCAAUCACCCAUUAGAGAGUAAGCAGAAGGACCCAAAUUCAUCUCCUGAAAAAACACAAUAUCUCGACGUGUUAAGUAGGUUAUUUUAUGGCGUUUUAGAUAAAAUUAACACAAAUCGAAUGUGCAAACCUGUGCCAACUCUUCGACUGAAAUGACACGGUUCCCUGCCUCGUCAAAAUAAUCAUAAGCUGUGGUGGCAAUUCUUUCCCAUUCUGGAUGAACUUCCAGCUGGUAUACACUGAUUGCAGCAGCGCAAAACUCUUCGAAGUCCAAUCUUUUAUAGGAGAGUGGAUCCAUCUUAUUUCAAGAAACACACAUUUCAGAUAUUUCAUAUUAGAUUUGCAUUCAAGAAGAAAAGAAAAAUGCUUUUAAGGAAAACAACAAAAUGUAUAAUAGUUCACGUAAUGAUAAAAUCCAAAUAUGAUCAUAUACUGAUACCAUCUGAACAUUUUUAAAAUAUAAACAAAUUAUAGUUACUUCCAACCACCUGUUUUCACUAAAUACCUCUGUCAAGAAAAUGAGCAAGACUUAAAGGUUACAACAUUUAAUUCAUCACAGUGGCCCCUUAUAUCAUCCAACUUCAUUUAAGUUUAUCAUAUGAAUCAAUCAAGACAUGGUACAUGAUAGGUUUGGAGCAAAUGGAUGAAGUUUGAAGAAAUAUAAAUACAUAUAUGAUAUAUAUCACAAAACAAAUACGACUUACCAAAUUUAGAAUGUCAGGGACCCUUGCCUCCUUCAUGGCGUCAGUUGCAUUUUUCAUGAGAGCCUGAAUUUAUUAUAAUUUCAGUUUAGAGAUUAUGGUUGUUUGUUUAAGAACACGUCUUAAUGUCAUAGAAGGAAUACAUUCGCAAAAAAAUCGUGCACUUACAACUCUGAAAUUCUCAAGUGAAAUGCAACCAUCUUUAGGUUCCAAGAGGCUAAAUUGUGCUCUGAGGUAGGUAACCUCGUCCACCGGCAAUGCUUUUGAGAGAGCCUGCAUAGAUACAGAGAAAAUUGAAAACAUAAAACAUCACUCUUCUUUCAUUGUCCACAGACCUCACAAAGGGAAAAGGAGGGGAGGAUAAAAAUGCAUUUGUAAUAAUGGUAGCAUAACAGGUGACUACCUUCAGUGCCGCACGUUUCAAUGGCGAGGCGCGCACAUAUGACUUGACUAACUUGUAAAUCAAAAUAUCUAAAGGAACGACAUUUUUUUCAUCUCUCAACCAUGGGUGAGCUGCAAAUAUGGAGGCAAUUUAAUAUUACAAAUCACGGAAUAAGAUUUAGGAGUGUUUGUGUGUGAGAGAAUUCAAUACAAACAAUUAACCAUUAAGUUAGGCAUGGUCUGAGCAAAAUAUUCAAAUGAAACAUACAUAAAGCUUGAGCAGCAGUCAUCCUUUUCCUGUGGUCCUUGUUCAAAAGUCUCUUCACGAAGUCUUUAGCUUCCGGUGAAAUUGAUGGCCAAGGUGAAUCAUCAAAGUUAGGAUUUGCUCGUAACACAGACCGGAAAAUUCCUGAUUCUGUCCGUGCCCAAAACGGUCUACUUCCACAUAACAAUAUGUACGAUAUAACUCCAACACUCCACAAGUCUGCUUCAACGCUGUAAGAUCUAUGGAGCACUUCAGGUGCAACAUAGUAGGCACUACCAACAAUAUCAUUGAGGCGCUGCUCUGCAUGUUUAUAAGAAGUCAGUGCUAUCAGUGCAAAAAUCAAUAGGAGAACAGAAAUGUUCAUAAAGCAGAAUGAAUGAUAUAUAGGAGUACUUAUUUUGAACAGUGGAGGGAGUCCUAAACCUAGAACUAAUGCAUUCCUGAGAUUCAUCUAAGCCUAUAAAUUAGUGAAAAUCGUUUGACAAGCAAAUCGAUGUAGGCCUGUAGGGCUUUGUAGGGUGGGAUUGAGAAGAAAAUAUAGAGAAAUCUUACAUUUAUUUUUAUGGUGUGUUUUUUUAGAGAUUGAUAAAUUAAUGUUUAUAAUUACUAAUUUUAAGAGUAUUAUAGCAACAUAGAUUGGAUUCGAAGAAUUUAUAUAAACCCUCCAAACUCCUCCAAUAAAAUUUUUUAGUUACUUUCUUUUGGGAGGAUUUUGUAGUAUAAAGAAAAAUAAACCCCUCAAAGUCCUCCUCCAAAAGUUUCAAUUUCUUCCACUUCUUCUUUCCUUUUUUUCAAAGCCCUCCCUUCCAAACUCACCCUUAGAUUUAUCUGUCCAUCACAAAACUAAUGACUGAUGAAUUGUAAUAUGGUAAAAUAUCACAGUUCCUAAAAUGUACUGUGUAGGUAUCCCACAAAAUAAGGAACUGUCAGACCAUAUUGCACAAAACAUGUGCUAUUUUAUUCCUCGGUUAUUCUACGAAAAAUUGAAUGUGAGAACUGAGAAUUCUACCAUGCAAGUGCAUAAUAUACUAGAGCUGAAACUAGGAAGAAACUUAAAUACAUGAAAGUUAGGUUGUUUCGAUCACAUUACCUGGUCUAACAAAAUCAGAUAGACCAAAAUCAAUAACUUUCAGAACAGCAUCCUCAUCUUUUGAGACAAAAAGAAAAUUCUGCAAAAUAGGCAAAACAUUUAGGGUUACAAGUUUAUAGAUUAGAGAAGUAAUUAUACAAACAAAAUAAUUCCUUGUUCACUGAAAGGCGUGGCCAAGUAAUGUAAGUAGUUCAAACUUCACAAUGCCGUACCUCUGGUUUUAGAUCGCGAUGAACAACUCCCUGGAGAUGACAAAAGGCAACUACAUUCAGAAUUUGUAGAAGAAUAACUUUGGCGUCUUCCUCUGUGUAUCUUCCACCUCUUCAUUAAAUAAUUAACAUCAAAAGAAUCCAAUUACCAUCAUGUUAUUUAAAAACCGAACUUCUGCAAGAAAAGUAAACAAAGUAACAGAUAGCAUAAAUAAAAAAACAAUCUUUCAGUUUUACCUAUCUAGAAUUCUGUCCAGUAAUUCUCCACCCUCGCACAACCUGACAAGAAGAAUAUCUCAUUAAUUCGACAUAAAUUACUGAUUUAACAGUUGUAUGUACUACCCAGCUGCAAAAUCGGUUCAUGUUGUGAACAAUAUUGAAAACAUGUACUUAUGAUGAAGUCCUUUACACCCAAUAACUUCAUGAGAACACAAAUCAACCGGUUGAUAAUGAAUAAAAUCCUAUCAAGACUGAAAGCAAUUUUCAGAUAUAGUUGUUUCUAUACAUACUCCAUCACAAUGUAGACGUUAUUCACAUCCUCAAAUGCAUCAUAAAACUUGACCAAAUUCCUAUGUCCAGAUAAGGCCUUCAACAUUUUCACCUCUCUCCUCACAUCUUCAAUUGCUAUUGCUGAAGUCAUCUGCCAUAUGAAAAUCAGUUAAUCGCAAUAAACAUCACAAAGCAAAAAUUACAGUGUGAGAUCGGAAAGCAAAAAAAAUUAAAUCAUAUAUCAAUUCAUGUUGAUAUAUGUCAUAAAAAAAAUAAAGCAACAAACAACCACAACAUAACAAUAAGUAAUUCCCCCACCCUAAAUUAAAAUUUACUCUCAGACACCAAUUUGAUUGUUUAGAGAAUAAUGAAAAGUUGCAGGAGUAUAGAGUAAGCUUUAGUUCAAGCUCGUCCUAGAAACGUCACCCAUCAGAGCCCAAGUAGCUAAAGUAAAAGUUCUAAAUUGUCUGAUUCAAUGUACAAUUCUUGUAAUGUUCAUCAAUAAGAAAGGUGUUGUUUGUUCCCUUUCUCCGUGAUCUCAAUUUUCCUCUCAUUCUUUUCUUAUUAAGCAUAUAUGCUACACUCCAAUUCAGUUCAUAAUGGAGUUGAAAAACAAUUGUAAAUCCGAGGUUGGUUAUAUGCGGUUUUUACUAAACACCAAUAUGUUUACCAAUGAUCUAACCAGAAGCCUAAAACAGCUUUUGUCAAACAAACGAUUUCACUGCACAAACAAAACGGUUUCGCCCAUCCAUGUGUUUUGGCAACAAAGGGAUAAUGAGCGCCACUACACAAACAAAGGAGCCUGUACCGGUUGAACCACUACUAAUUGGGCACAAAUAGAACCAAAAAUGCAAUGAUUUGCCCUUAGCUAUAGAGGUUGCAACUUCACAUUUUUCUUAAUUGUCUCAUGCCAUAUAACAAUUUUUGCCACCCAGUGCUACAAAGCUCCCACCACAGCAUGAUCUAGGGAAGGGUUGGACCCUUUGGAGGUGUACUGUAAGCAACCUAACCUUGCAUUUGUAAAGUAUAUAUGCAGAAACCCAAUUUUAAGAGCCAUGAUUUUCUACUUCUAGUCUCAUACUAACAACUCCGACUAUUUUGCUACCCUAAUCUCAACAAUUUAUUGCGAUGCUCCCAAGAAAUCAACCAGAGAUAAAGAACCGGUUCAGCCAAAUGUAGGUGUUAUCUGGCAUGAUUAAUCCUGCAAUGUUUGGCUUUCCAUACUUUUAAAUUUUAUUGGAAAAACAGGUUUUCAAGCAUUUUCCUUUCUCGUACUAGCAUCUACGUAGAUCAUGGCAGAUAAUGGAGUGUGGCGGCUAACUCCCAAAACACUAUAGUGGUAUGGCGGGUAGCAGUAUGGCCGUUACGUUGAAGUUUAAUGAAACAGUACAAGAAAUAUAUACCAUACACAUACAAACGCUAAAAAAUAGAGAAAGUUAACGCAAAAUUAAAGACAUAUUCAUAGUUAAUAAUCAAAAUUUAUUGUUACCAACAUUCAAACCAAUUUGAAUCGAUUAAGUUUCAAGGUAAAAUGACCACCAAGUUCGAAAGCAAAAAAGCGGAGGCACUGACUAUAAUUUGGCGGCAUGUUCGGAUUUUCGCGGGAGCUUCAUUGUAACGGUAACUACGCAACUGUUCGGCUGCUACUGCCGCUACUAAAAAUGUAACGCAUUGGAGUUUCUCGUUUAGCGCCUAUAUGGUACGCAACACCACAAUAGUAGCAGCCACUAUGGAAAACGACAUCUUACAUCACCAAUAAAUCCAUUUCAAACUUCAAUGCAAAACUACUACCUUACCAAAUUCCGUAACGCGUUAAUGGUAUUGGUAUGAUAUCCAUUCCGAAUAUAUCGACUAAACUCGAAACAAAUUCAAAUUCAGCAUCAUAGUUUUCCAAAGAGUGCUUAACCGCUAAAUUGAGCUUCCAAAUUCAAAAAGUAAAAUGGAAAACACUAUUCACAUAUUACAUUUCCCACUACAAUAUGAUCACAAAAUUCAAAUCAAUUAGAAAAAUACUCAGAAAAGUCAACAAUUGAUCCUAAAUUGACCAAGAGUACUAAACACGCAUAAAAUUAUCUUAACAAUUGACCUUCAAAUUUUAAAGCAAUCAUAAUCAUAAUCAUAUAAUCAAAAACAAAUAAACAAUAUAGUAUGAUCUUAAUUUUCACCUUAGCUUUGGUAAUGAUUUUGACAGCUACUGAAAUUCCCUUAAGUUCACCUUUCUUCCCUUUAGCCCAACAAGUAUGACCAAAAUGCCCUCGACCAACUUCCUUCCCAAGCUCAAAUUUCGCCCCAAAAUUCUUCCCAUACCCAAAACUCUUAUCCAACGUUCUCUCUCCACCACCACCACCUUCUCCAUGCUCCUCCGGUAUAGGUCCAUCUUUCGGUUUCAUCUUCCGGUAAAGGUCCAUUAUAGGCUUCGCUGGUGACGGUGGAGGAAGUGGCCACCUGAAUUUCCUCCCCGGAGUCUUCGUCGCCGGCGACGGCAUCACACCUGCCGGAAGAGGACUAUUGAAAGGACUUGUGGAGAAAGAGGUUGCCGGAGUUUGUCUUCCCGGAGUAGCAUCACUGACGCCGGAAACAGGUUGAGAAACCGAAAGCGGUGAUGGUGUGUGGUGCGGUGGUGGUUUGUGGUGGUGAUCGGUGGCGACGGUUUCGUUGUCGACUGCGAUGCUUUUGCUGCAGCAAUGACCCAUGGUUAGGUAGCGUAGGUCGGCGGUAGUGGAUUGUUAUCGGUGGUAGUCAAAUAGAGAGAAGAAAUGUCGCCGGAGAAAUUGAGAGAGAAGAGAAAAUAGUGUAGAGAGAGAAAGAGAAAGUAGUAGCAGAAGAAAAAAAUUAUUAAGACAGAACGCAAAUAAAUGAGUUAAAUUUUUAUGAAGUUGUAAGAGAGAGAGAGAGAGACUUGUUUUUUUGACACAGUCCAACUGUAUUCAUUUAUGUGUGAAACUAAAUUGCUUCCUACGUUAGUUGGUUGGCUCUUUUUGUCUACUUGCAAAACUGUAUAUACUAAUUUAUCUAGUUAAAAUGUUGAUAAAAAAAUUCUUUAAAAAAAUUAUUUAUCAUCUUAUUCAAGUGUUAUCGGGUCUUUUUUUAUUUGAAGUGUUAUCAAGGCUACAUUCUUUAGAUCUUUUAUGCAAUUUAGUAUAUCUGAAUUUGGAUUUUAAAUGUUUUUAUUCUACAUGUUAUUUUGUUAAUGUAUCUUACUUUAAUUUAUUGGUUUGAUUUAUUCUUUAUAGCAUAUCAUUUUUUUUAUUUUUUUUUACAAAAUAAUGUGUCUUUUCCAUAAUAGAAAAUUUAGAUAUGGGAGGUACGCCUCAUACAUACAGCAUAGAAUCUCUUAUCUUAUUGUGAGUGUAAACGUAAUAUUCAAUUAUUUGCACUGACAAUAAUUGUUGAAAUUAUGUUGCGUAAUAUUUGUAUAAUUUACAAAUGAUCUCGAAUUUUAGAAAUCAAACGAUUUUGUUUGAUAUUUUUUUUUAUGAAAUACUUCAUUUCAUUUUUAAAUAAAGGUGCAAUACAAAUAAUAUAUGUACAUAAAAUGGAUGAGGUUCAAUUAAAUAAAGAAUAUUUUGUAAAAAAUAAAAUAAAAAUUAUAGAAAAUUUUGCAAGUUAUUUUUGGUUGUUUGAUAAAGAGAUUUUGUAGGAUUAUUGGAAUUUAUAAUUUGCUUAUCUCCGAAUAAACUUCACUAAAAUUAGUCAACAAAAAUUAAUUAAAAAUUAUAAACAAAGAUAAAAGAAUAUUUAAUUAUUAUUAUAAUAUAUAAUUAAAAACUGAAAAUGUGUAUGGCAGGUAAAUUCAUAUUUGAAAAAUUCACCAGAUUCAUUGAAUAGUAAUGUAUAAAAAUACGAAUGAAAAAAAUUAAUACUCAAAAAUUAGAAGGACAGAAUAUGAGUUAUUUAUUUUUUCUUUAAAAAAAAUGAAUUAGUUAUUUUUUUUUGGAGGAAAUUAGUUUUUUUGCUACAGUAUGAAUUUGUUUUGAAAUAACCUAAUAGUGUGUUUGGGUGGGGGAAUAUUUUGAGGUGAUGUAAUGUUUUGAGGGAAUUCAAUUAUCUUUAAGUGGAUUCAAAGAGUAGAAUUCACCUCAAAGUAAUUGAAUUCCCUAAAAAGAUUACAUUCCCCAUCCAAACACAUUCUAAGAUUAAUCAAAUUUGGAAAAUUGUACGGGCUUGGAAACAAUGAUUAUUUAAUUAUGAUUUUGUUGUCAAAAAAGCUAAUGAGAUAAAAACAUAGUAUUACCUUGGAAGACAGAGGAAUAUUCGAGGAUUUUGCCAAGAAAAGAAAACCACAUUUCUCAAGAUCAACUUUAUUGUCUUUUGGCUGAAACUAUUGGUAUUUGAUCAAGGAAUGGCAUCACAUUAACAAUUUUGUGGUAUACUUUUCUGAAUAAUGUGGUCUUUUUUUUUUCCCUUUUUCGGUCUAGUUACGGUUUUUUCUUUUCCUCUUUGAAUAAUGCCACAUGCAUUGAAAUUUGAGUUUGGUGUUGUUGAACUACAUUAAUUGCAAUAGCAGAAGGGGCAAGGCACUUGGAUACAACUUUCUUUUGGGUUACGGUUCAAGCAAAUUAAAAACUGAAAUUUUGAUAAAAUUAACGCACCAAAAUUAGUAGUUUAAUGCCAUGAAAUUCCUUUUUGAGAGAAUGCCAUGAAAUUCCUGCAAACCAUUUGUUAUAAGUUUAGAUUAAAUACUACACCGUGAGUAUAAUUCAAAUUAUAUAUAAAAGUAUGUGCUGCUCUCUUUCCUUUUACUGAAAAAGUUUGUGCUACCAUAUUAUAUAAUUCUGUAGUGUUGCAAAUGGUUUCCGUGUGCUUACUUUUUCUAUCUCUACUAUAUGGUCUAAGGGUUGACGAGACAAGUAGUAGUAUUAAAAAAAGAGAAAAAUACGAUACUACGUAUGAAUUUAUGACCAUGCAUCUACGUUGACUGAAACAAAUCGCCGAAUUACGUUGUCAUCUUAUCAUCAUCGGACUUUAUGCAUUUUUUGUGCAUUUCUUUUAUAUUUUGGUUACAAUGGCAAAGAAAACAAAAAAAACAAGAAAAACAAAAAGAAGAACCUAAGAUCUCAAAGUUCCAGUAGCAUCAUUCCUCAGCAAGGGAAGCAGGUCAUUUGGGGGAGACGGGUGAAGAACAAAACCAUCAUCUAAAGAGGCUCCUCGCUUAUCUAGAAAAGUUGCGCAUUGAUUGCCUACAGGGAGCGUGUGCUAGAGCGCAUAGUUGGCUUGGGCAUGAAGCACUUUUAUUUCGUGGAUGUGAAUCGUGUGAACAUGGAACCUUGAGGUGUUGCCAACAAUAAGGUUGAUAGAGAGGAGAGAGUUUGAAUAACAAACCAACUCAGCGAUACCCAUCUAUCUUGCCAUGGAGAGUCCAUUAAAAAUUGAUGUCAGCUCGACUUGAGAACCCUACUAGAUUAAGCAUGUGUUGUUACGUAUAAUGCCACCAAAAACUACUCAAGUCGAGCUGCCAAUACAACUCCCAUCAACUUUGAGGAUUGCACAAUCAAAAUUAUUGUUAUUCCACCUGAUAUGCCUUUCGAGAGGUACAACUGGAUUGGAAGGGGAGAAGCUUAACCCCUGAUAUCUUCCGCUAAAUUCUUGAUGUUCAAUGUCAGUUGGUUAAGAGUCAUUCAAACACAUUGAAUUGCGGCAUCUCCAAGUCCACCACAAACCUACUAAGAAAGUGAUAGCAUUAGAUUCCUUCGUUCCAUCCUUUAGCCAACCCACCACACAAUCAUAGGCAAGGAAGGAAGGAUCGGUGUAGCCUAAGUGAAGCCAAAUGGUCCUCGAAAUCAUGUAGUCAUGAAUGCAGUGGAAAAGGGUAUCUUCGUGCACUCCACAGCGAGAGCAAAUCGAUGAAGGAGCAAUAUUUCUAUGGUGAAGUAGAGAUAGAGUGGGGACAACAUUGUGACAAGCUAGCCAAAAUGAGAGACUUGUAUUUUUUCGAGAUUUUAAGUCUCCAAAUCCAAGACCAGGAGAGAGGCGAGUUGGUGACGGUGUCUGUUCCGGGAAUAUAUAGGAGCCAGUUUAACCGCUUUUGGUGGAAUAUACUCCAUUCUUGUUGAGCGGUCAAAGAAAAGCAUCUUUUAUUGCAUCAUUGAAUCUGACGUUGGCGUUAUUGAUGAAAUUCACUACUGCUUGAGGAAGAGGGGUGUGCAGAGAUAUAGAUCGCUGCCUAUUAAUGGUGAGAACAUCUUUGACUGUGAGAUGGAUUUCAUGGAUGUCGAUUACAAGGACCUGAGAUCCGAGAAAACCAAAAUCAAUCCAACAAUUGGACCAAAACGAAGAAGAACCAAAUAUGUAUUUCUCUUUUUAAAAUCUAUUGAAUUUUCCCUUUAUUUAUUUUUACAAUACACACACACACACACGUGAGUUAGACUUCGAGAAAUCACUUUAGCCGAGUAAACAUACUUAUAGAGAUAUUUACAUAUCAUUUAUCAAAUAGAUCCUCACAUCGAUAGUGAGAGUUGGACUCACGACUUUGCAUAUAAGUCAUUCCUUAUCAACUAUACCAAUACUCAUUCAUUUGCAUAUAAGUCACAUCGAAAAUUGAGAAGCUCAUGUGUAAAAUGUCGUGAGGGUCGAAAGACUUUCAAUUCUCCUUUAAACCUUAUGAAGGGAGAUCGUGUGGUAUCUCAAAUAUAUGGGACACAAUUGUGUUUGUUGCGAAAUAUUUCUAUAAUAUGAAUAACACAUUAAUUGUAUCAGGUAUAUUUGCAACCCACAUCAAUCAUUAUGAUUUGUAGGAAAAUAUAUUUUUAUGGCAACAAUUAUAUGAUAGGGUAGUAGGUGAUUCUCGUAUGACUUGAUGUGUAUGUGGAGGUUUUAACGUAGAUAGAUAUGAUAUGGAAGCAAGUGGAUAGUUGAUUAUUCUAGAAAGGGUGGCAUGAGAAUUUUUAUAGCGUGGGAGUGAGAAAGCUUGUAAAACUCAUUAAGUUCAUUGGGACAAAAUGUGUUUACCUAAAGAGAAAGGUGGUUGAGUGUGAGAAAUUCAAGAGCUUUUAGUUUUGAUCUCUUAGAAAAGUGGUGUUGGAGGUUAAUAAGGAGAGAAGAUGAAUAUCUUUAGAAUAAAAACUUUGUAAAUAAAUGGGAUGGUAAAUAUGGAAGGAAGUAGAGAUUCGUUGUGGGGGAGAGACAUUUGUAGCAUCGAUAAAAGUGAUAAGGGGAGUUGAGAUAGUCGGCUGAGAAUGUAAUAUUCCAUUUGUGUGAGGAGUUAUGUAUUAUGAAUGAAACAUUUAAACAUAUUAACAUCUAAGUUAUGGUCAGAUGUUUUGUCUUGGCUUGGUUUGUUGAACAGCAACAUCAGUCAUGUUACACAGUUUAUAGAUUUAGUUUCUCAUGGGAAAAAAAACAAUGGAGCUUCUUCAUUUGAUGCAAAUGGCUUGCUUGUUGAUUAUUUGGUGGCAACAUAAUCAAAUUGUUUUAAAGUGUGCAUGAUUACAUUCUCAAGUUGAAUUCAUGAUUGUUAGGAGAUCCAAGAAUGACAUAGCAUCUAAGUUAUUCAUAAUCUAAAUGAACGAAGAGGAUUUUCAAGAUCAAGAUGGAGUUGAUCAAGCUGAAUCAAAGAUGCAAUUUUCUCUGGGUCAAUGAAAGUCAGAGGAAAAAGAUAAAAUGUCAUAUGGAUCAAACGUUGCUUUAGAAGAUUCGCUCUGAAGGAAAUUAAAGCAAUCAUAUAAAUGACAUAAACCUUAAGAGAUCAUAAUCAUCGUCUGGUCUACAUAAUUCGUUUAGACAAUCCAACAAGAAGGAAUCAAAGUUAACCUUUUUAAUAACUAUGAUCCUCUGAGUAUGCUCCAACAAAACAUCAAGUAGACUUUGUUCGAGAGUUUGGAGGGGAGGGGAGGGGAAGAGAGAGCUAUGAAGGGUGAUAAAUAUAUAGAAAAAUGAAAAAUCUUUAACAUUUUUCAAAAGAGCAAUUUUUUAGAGAAUGCUAAACUAAUGUUUAUGAUUAAUAUAUUUUUAAUUUUAAUAAUAUUAUAAUAAUGUAUAUUGAAUUUGAAAAAUUCAUACAAAGCUCGUAAAACCCCCCAAAAUCCUAUUCAAUAUAAAUUUUGAGUUUCCAUGUGUAGAGUUUUGUAUUAUGAAUAAAAACUCAACCUCAAAAACCCGCUUCUCCCACUGUCUUAUAUUUCUUCCACUUCCUCAUUUCCUUCAAAACUCUCAAACAAAACCUUAGAGUAUUAAAAAAAAAAAAAACCUUCUACAAAUAUUUUGAAGUAUAACGACGAGGCUCUCUCUUUCACUCUCAACAUAAGAUGAAGUACAUCUAUCAAAUAAAUGGAUAUCUUUUGACUUAUUAAUUUUUAACAAAUAAACUUACUGUUGUAGCUUAAUAUAUAUCAUUGAGGUAGCUAAUUUAAAAACAUACUAAAUUAUUCGUGUUUUUUUAUUUUUUUAUUUUUUUUUUAUUUUUUUUUAUAGCCAAAACUACCCCAAUAACAUGCAUGGCUUUGCCCCUAUUUCUCAAAACCAUUUUCACCACGAGAAAAUACCAAAGAGUAAUACAAUGACAUACAUAGAAUAUGUGUCUAAUGUAACCUUUUCAAUCCCAUACAAUCAAUGAAGAACAAUUUGCUCCGAUUCAAUUUUUUAUGAAUAUUAUUUAUGAGAAAAAGUUUAGAUUAGUCGAGUAACAGGAGCUCAUGAGGGGCAGCGCAAGUCUCAAGACUCAAAGCACGUUUGCUAUUGAAAUAAUUACAUAAACGAGAAAAGUAACAUGUAAGAUUGUUUAAAAAAUAUAUAAAUACAACAUAUUUGGUUUGACGAUGAUGUAAAAUCGAUACUUAAACCAAUAAUAAUCGAGUUUGUUCGGUUUAAUUCAGUUUUGGGAUAAAACAAUAUCUAAAUCUCAUGAAACUUGUGUUGUGGUUAAGCAUGACUCAAUGACAAAACCGUUUUAUUCAUUUUAAUUCCAGAUUUGACGGGAAUCAAUCACGUUGGUAGUGAUGCUAUUUAACAAGGUGCAAAAAGUAACUCAAGAAACUUAUGAGUGGGGGCAAUAGAGAAGGCCCAAAGAGAAAACAGACAAAAAGAAGCAGAGUACGAUGCACGCGCUUGUAAGUAGCGUGAGACGAUAACAUAAAAUGUAAGUAAAACAACGUAGUGAAAAAGGUGUAUAUAAUGGUGUUCACACCGUGCCGGUCGAAAUUCGCCACAACCAAUCAUCUUUCACCAAAAAACCCUUUUUCUCAUUUCAUUCUCUUCACCCUAAUCGCAUCGUUUUCUACUUUGAAGUUUGUUUUUUUCUUCUUCUUUCAAUUUCAAUUUCAAUUUCUAGGGUUAGGGAUUUCUAAUUUUCUAUUUAUUUUCCCCCUUCUGGGGCACUUUCGACUGUUGUUGUUUAAUGGAGGCCACGGCUGCCGCAGCUGCCGCCGCUCGCGGCGUUGCUCUUCAGUUGCAGACCCCGCCACGGAAAGAAUGGCGUGCUGUUGCUGAACAUCAUCAUUCUGCGAGAAACCCUGAUGAUGAGGUACUGAUUUGAUGUUAAAACACUUCACAUUGUUUUUUUGUAGUGUGGGUUUGUGCGUGGCAGAGAAAAGCGUUUUUUUUUAAUUGGAGUUAAUCGUAGUUGAUUUGGGUUUUUGGGUGUUUUUAGGCAUUGAUUUGGGAUUAGGGUUUACCAUUUUAUGAUGAUUAGGGUUUACCAUUUUUUGCAGUGCUUUUUUGCUGUUGUCGUUUUAAGCAGCGAGUUUUCUUACUUUUCCAUGACUUAUGCAUCAGAAAAUCGAUGUCACAUGAUGUUUGGAGCGAAGAUUAUAGUUUUACUGUCGGGUUCAGUUGUCUUUUUUUUUUUUUUGGUUGCUUGCAUUGAAUCCAAAUUUUAAUUGAGAUUGGAAUGUGCUUUACUUUCAAGUUGCUGGCCAUUUGAACAAUGUAGUCUGAUUGCUAUUUUUAAGUUGAAUGUGCUUAGAGUUCAGACUUUUGCUGUUGAAGUUUAAGGUUACCAUAAAGUUUGAACUUAUGGUUUCAUUUACCGAGUAAAGAUUUUUAGAUUUGAGUACCAAAUAUUUGAUAGCUUACCAUUGUGUAAGAUAUGUAAAAGGGAGCUUAAUUUUGAUUUUGUUGUUGCUGUUAAUUGUUGUGUUUGGUUGAUUUGGUUGUUGAUUAGCUUUUUUUGGGGUGCAGGAGUUAGAAAACCCAAAACUUGGGCAAUCGGACGAGAGAACCAUAUAUGAGGUAAGGUUUCGGUGUGAGAACCUGCCUUUAAGUUUUAAGGGAUCUAGAUCCCGAAGAUAAUCUCUUACUGUUUUUCAAGGUGCAGCAAGGAAGAGAGCCCCUGGAUGUUGAUUUUUGUUCGAUGACAAUGGAUGGAACACUAGACAUAGAUAUUUUACAGCAGCAGAUCCUUAGUGCUGUUAGUCAAAGGCGUGAAAUACUUCAAAUGGAGAUUGAACUAAAAGCUCAAAUCAUCGCCAGAUCUGAGCUGUUGAAAAUGCGAAACACCUAUGAUGCUCAACUGAAGGAGCAUGCUAACAAUGCCAGCAAGUUUCAGGUGUACAUUUAAACAUUUCAUACGUAUAUUUGGAUACUCAAGACUAGGCUGAUCUAUAACUUCUGAAAAAAUUGGUUUCCUCAGGUCAGGUGUUAAAAGAAAACCAAACUUUUAGAUGCUUAAUUGUAUCCUUUACAACACCUAGGAGAUUAUAACAAUUUUAGUGACACUGGUGUAGCAGACAUAACUAUUAUAUUCUGAUGGCUUAAAGGGGCACUUUAUCCUUAAGUUACCGUACUUUUAAGUUUAAAGAUUUGCUCCUAGCCUCCUACUGGUUAAGAAUUGUUGGUCGCUUUUAAAAAAAACUGUUUAUCUGGCCUUGCAGGAGCAACUUUGUGAAAGGGAGCGUGCAAUUCAUGAGCUGGAAAGGAAAAUGGAAGAGAAAGACAGGGAGCUACAUAAAAUUAAACUAGAUAAUGAAGCGGUGUGUUGAAUGCCUCUUAACUAUCUUAUUUCGGUUUUCUGGAUCUUAUUUUAGUCUCUUGAUUUCAUGCUAAUCUCUUCAAUUAUUUCAUUAGGCGUGGGCUAAACAAGACCUUCUUCGUGAGCAAAACAAAGAACUAGCAUCUUUCAGGUUAUUCUUUUAUCCAUAUUUAUGCAAUGCUUUAAGUUUUGCUUUCAUCCUUCGCUGCUUGCUUCAUUGAGCAAAUCGUUUUGCAGAAGGGAGCGUGAUCAUUCAGAAGCGGAAAGAGCUCAACAUAUACAACAAAUACAUGAUCUGCAAGAACAUAUUCAAGAAAAAGAUAGACAACUUAUUGAGUUGCAGGAACAGGUAGCAUGCUUGUAUUUUAUGUAAUUUCUUUUGAAAAUAAUUUAUUUAAAGUUUAUUCGCUUACGUGGCCAGCUGAUGUUUCUUUCAGAAUAGGGUUGCGCAGGAGACAAUUAUGUUUAAAGAGGAACAGAUUAGAGAGGCUCAAGCAUGGAUAACCCGUGUUCGUGAGAUGGAUGUUUUCCAAUCAACAACAAACCAGUCAUUACAGGCUGAAUUGCGAGAGCGCACGGAACAAUAUAAUCAGCUAUGGAUGAAUGUACAGAGACAGGUUGAUCUACAUUUCUUAUCUUCUACGAGGAUUAUGUUUCAUUUUUUACCCCAAAUAUUGUUGUAUGUCCUUUUGUACUUGUGUCUUUGUUUGCACCGUUUUGAAAUAGAUAUUCAAUUCACAGCUGUGAUUUGGUUUUGUAGAUUCUUUGAAUUAUUUUCAAAGAAUUUGAACUUCUGAGCUUUAUAAGCAUUUUUUGGUUUGUUAUAGUAUGUCAUGUCAUUACUUAAAAUAAUGAUGGAUGCUGCUUAACUCUAUACUUGUUUUUUGGUGGCGGUAGUUUGCAGAGAUGGAGAGGCAUCAUUUGCAUGCUAUGCAGCAGUUACAGCUUGAGCUAGCUGAUGCAAGAGAGAGGACUGGAACUUACAAUGAUGACUCUCGAAUGUCCCAAGUAAAUUCGAAAAGUAACGUAGCUCCAUAUGGACAGGAAAAUGGAAAUCAAUUUGACUUGAAUGGAGGCAAUGCUUCAGGUGGAAAUACUGGUCUCCUUACAAAUGAGAACUCAGAUAACGGUCCUCCAUUUUCAACUUCAGGCAAUCCGUCAAUUCAGGUGCAGUGCUUCAUUUAAUGAAUUAUAGAUAAACAGCUAAGCAUUUUACUUUUGUUUUAUUCCCAGAAAUUUUAUUUGCAAUGCGUCUUACAUGCCAUUUGAUUUUAUACCUAAAACAACUCUUUCAAGAUGUCAUUUGAGAUCAUAGAUUCAUAAUGACAUAGGUUAUGAAUGACUGUUUUGUAAAGUGCCAUGUGGGUUUUCAUCAGGUAUCAAAGCACUACAGUAGCUUGUAUAUCUUCUCAUGAACCAAGUGUAAGGGAAUCUGCUCCUCUAAAAUGAGGAGCUUUAGAGAAAGGUAUCGGAGCACUAGAGUAGUUUGUAUAUCUUCUCAUGAACCAAAUGUAAGGGAAUCUGCUCCUUUAAAAUGAGGAGCUUUAGAGAAGAAGUGAGAUGCUAACACCAUCAAUGUGAAGUUUAGAUCUAAACAAUUUUAUAUUUUGACAUACAUGUUAUACACACUUAAUUUCAGCUGUUGUUAUUUUCAUUAAAUGGCUUUCACUCCUGUCUCCUCCUGAAGUGAAUACAAAAUUUGAGACUGAGUAGCUAUACAUGGCUGUUGGUGUUCUUUAGCUCUGCCUUGUGCCGGUCUAUUGAAAAUUUUGUGCCCAGACUAGGAGGUUCAAAGUGAUAAUUGAUAUCUUUUCAAAACAAACUAUUGAAAAUGCAAUACAUGUAAUGGUUUGAUUUGAAGAUUGAGAUAGUUGUUAAACAGGAAUGUUGAAUCUUUUGGUUGACUGAUGAGAUAAUUUACGAGGAUCAAACUGAUGGUGCUUUUUUUUUUUAAUGACAAAUGUUAGUAUGUUGAUAGUUAUGUUAGUAUUUUCUCCCUUGCCAAGAUUCGAACCCUGAACCUUUAACUUUUAACUUCUUUAAUCCCUUAGCUCAACCAAGUGAGCAACCCAUCCCCCCCAAUGCUUGGAAGUUAUGGUAUCUUACUAGUUCUUUUAGUACAAACCCGGAUGUUAAUUAAUAGUACAUACCACAGCCUCAGCCCUAUUAAUAAGGAGUUAAUUUUUAUAGAACUUAUAUUUACUUUUAAUUUUUCUAAGUACAUCAAAGAUUGUCCCAUGUUAUUAGGUGGGUUAUACCUUUUGACUUUGAUCAAUACUUUUAUUAUGUUGUAAACUUGUAAUCCAUGUCUUUUACUUUGAUAUAAGAUUUGAUGGACAUGUUUUGUCAGGAGAUUGGAAAAUGACAUUUCUUACCCAUUUACAAUACUGUUGUGGUUAUUUUCAGACUGAUCAUACUCAUGGUGUCGCUAUUGCUCCAUCAUCUCUGAUUGUCCCCCACCCGUACCUUCCACCUGGUCAAGUUACUGCCUUGCAUCCAUUUGUUAUGCAUCAACAAGGAGUGCCCAACUCUGUUGCAUCACAUGUCCCUCAGUCUCAUGUUGGACAUUUUCAUCCAGUGCCCACAAUGUCACCUAUGCAACAGUGGCAAAAUCAACAGGUAUCUAGUGUUACAUAUAUGCCAGAUCUUAUUAUUAUUAUUUUUUUCUUUCUCUUUUUAACUUUUGGAGUUUUAAAAUUUAUACUUGUUUUUUCAGGCUGUUUCAGAGGGUUUGCAGGUAUCCAUGCAGGAUAAUGCCGCCUCAUCCCAAGCUGAUCAAAAUUUGAUCAGAUCAGAUGCAAAGUUUAAUUAUGACAUGUCUGUUAAUGGGCAAACUCUUACUAGAGACUACUUGGAUGCUCAUGUUCACCAAGGCGAGGAGGCACAUACUGUGGUUUCAUCAUCCACCGGGGAAACACAGGUUUGGUGACUAUUGGUUUUGAAGGUUUUUUUCUCCCAAUAUUUGUCUAUUAAAUAUAACAGCUGAUGAAUAAUUGAUUUUUUCUAAGGUUCUUCAGUCGGUUGAUAAAGAUCUACUUAUUGCUUCCCAACAAAGCUUACAACAGAUUUCUUCACAGUUCUCUGAGGCCUUGAGGUUGAACUCUUUUAAACCAAAUGGUGAAAUGAAGGUUUGUUCGGAAUUUUCCGCCCUGUUUGAUGCUUUACUUGUUUUUCUUUGUUUGAUAGACUAAAGUUCAUUUGGGGGGUGGUUUCAAAUGCUACUUUAAAUGGUGGUUAUUUGUGUUUCAUUGUAAAUCGUUAAUUUACAAAGAUGUCAAGAUAUUUUGGUUUUCCUACUAAAUUAAAGCGCACAGUAGCUUUCAAAGAGUCUUCAUGCUUUUGAAGCUUGUUCAGGAAUCACCACAAUAUUUUUGAAAAUAUUAGACUGUUUUGAAGAUGGUAAAAAGGCAUAUUCACCCUUGAUUUUAUUCAAAAUGCUUUCUUUACCUAUUAACAUCAAAGUUUGAACGCACCCUUAUUAUCUUCAAUGACAAAUCAUUUUUUUUUUCCCCCAUUUUAGAAGUGCCUUUUAAGGAAAAAAGCAAUUAGAAUAAUGCUUUUACAGCUGAGAGGGUGGGAGCUAACAAUUUUUUUCUUCCACAUGAGCAGAAUCCAGUGACAUCAUCUAAUGAUGAAGGACCUGCGAGCCAAAUAUUAUUAGCUGAGCAAGCAAGUUCUGCUGUAAAUACAUCAUCUGUUGCAAGUCAUUCUGUUGGUGAAAUGAUUCAGAACAAUUCUGAUAUUGUCUUGCCUGAAGCAUUCGCCUCGACUGUGCAGACAACUUCAACAACCAUUGCAAAGGCUCCAGAUGCUGCUCUUCUUGAUGAAAGGUCAUUGUUAGCAUGCAUUGUGCGCACUAUUCCAGCUGCUGGACGAAUUCGAAUCAGUUCAACGGUUAGUGUUUGUGGUUUAAGUGUGAACCAUCUAACAUUUUAUGAAAGAUACUGUCUUCCCCUGCUUACCUUAGUGUAAUUUAUUUGGUUUGUGUUUUAAAAACAGCUCCCUAACAGACUGGGCAAAAUGCUUGCACCUCUACAUUGGCAUGAUUACAAAAGAAAAUUUGGGAAGCUGGAAGAUUUUGUAACUAGUCACCCUGAAGUAAGUUUAGAAGUUACCGUUUGGACAGAUAGAAUUUAGUGUAGUGAUAUGCAACUGGAUGUAAUUUGCUAAAAUUUUAGACCAAUCAGCCCGUGUUAUCAAAUAAGGCUCUAUAGUGGCGCUAUAUUGCAUAUAGCGGGGUUUGAACAAACCCUUAUUGUUCUGCGAUACACUUUCUACUACAAAAUAUUGUGAAAUAACGACUAUAGUUGCACUAUAGCAAUGUUGUGUAGCAGAGUUUGAACAAACCACUAUUUUUUUUUACGAUUCACAAUUGACAACACUGAAACUAAAUGCUGAUUGUUGGAUGCAAUGAAGUGGUGGGAUCUGGUCAUCCAUCCAAGACAACUGCAUGCCAAGUUGUCUGUCAAUAUUUUUGGUUGGCUAGCAAUUUUCAUUGAGUUGUCUGCUUGUUCAAUUUCACAUUUUUCACCGGCAACAUAUUUGAUUAGAGGUUGAUGGGUUUUUUCCCCUUAUCAUUUCAGUUAUUUUUGAUUGAGGGUGACUUUAUUCAACUCCGUGACGGGGCACACAAAAUGAUUGCUGCAACCGCUGCUGUUGCAAAAGUUGCUGCAGCUGCCGCAGCAUCAUCUCCUUAUUCUUCAUAUAUGCCUACUGUAGCAGUUACUCCAAUGGCUCAAUCUCACCGCUUAAAGAAAUCUCCUUCAACUGACUCCAAUGGGGCGUGCUUCAGUGUUGCUGGAGGUCUUACGAAUGUUAAAAUUUUGAGUAAACCCAAGGAUUCUCCUGAAAAUAGUUAUGUCCAGCCUUCUGCACAAUUAUCUGUUGGAAACGGGGGAAGUCUUGACAGACUAAGUAUGAUCAGUGCUCAAAAUUCAGUCCCAGUAAAUGGAAGGUUAGUUUCAAACUUCAUUUCUAAACAGCAGACCCAGUUUGACAUUGGCUGCUGAAUGAUAAUAUACAUUGGCUGUUGAAAUGAUAAUAUGGAAUCAUACUUAACUUUUUCUUUAAACAGGUCAACUGCCGCUGCGUACCCUUCUCGAAGAUAGUGAGUCUUCUUACUGACACUUAAGAUGCUAUUUAUGUUCGCUUUGAAUUUUCAUUGAUCUAUUUAUGUUUGCUAGUAUAUAGUUUCUUUUGAAAAAACUGCAUUUGAAUGACUCCGUCGUCACUCCCAGAUUUCUAAUUUAAGAAUACAACAAUACAUGCAUGUGUUUCUGGUAUUUCUGUCUGGGAACAAUCGUGCCGUUUUUUAGAUUUAUCUCAUCUUUUUUUUGGUAGUGAAGAUUUAUCUUAUCUGAACAAAUAUAGUAUUAAUACUUUUUACUGAAUACAAAUUUUCGGCAUUUUGAAUAGCUCAAGCAUAUGUAUCAAUUAUGCCAUGCUUCAUAAUUUCAAUUGCUGUUUAUAUUCAGGGAAGGUGGAGGGGCAUAGGUUAACCUGUGUCGCCAGGUCGAGGAUGGAAACAUAUAUAGUCCUGUUUUACCUGUUUGCGGGAGAAUGUUUUCAAGCAAACUAUGAUUUGAGUUGUCGGCGCUAUCCCCAUAUUCUGCAGUAAUUUAUAUCUCCCCUUCGGUUUUAAUUUAGUGUGCUUCCGAAAAUUUGGGUCUGGUGCUUUGAUAUUUAUGCCUGCAUUGCAUCUUUUGACUGAUUUUUUGUGAAUGCUUGAAAGAUUAAUAUCAAUGAAAUUAUCAUUUUCUAAUUGCCAACGCCCCAUUUGUCCGUUCUCUAUUUCUUGGUAAAUUGGUCUGCCUGUAGCAAGAUCGUAGGAGGCAAGGAUGGAUCAAUUCCAAAAAUUUAUUAGAAGAUUUCUUGCUUAAAAUUCUAUUUAUGUUCUGAAAAAUUAAUGAAUUAUUCAUGUGUGUUUUAAUUGCUGCGUACUUGAGCAUAUUAAAUUAACAACCUCUGGAUGUAAUUUUCACCACAUAAAUUGAUUUAACACUAGAGAAAGUGUGAUCACUCACCAUGAAAAUUGGUUCACCGUGCAAAUUUUGUGUUUUAAUCGCUGCGUAUUUGAUUAUUAACAACCGGCGUGUUAAGAUGGGUUACAAUUUCAAUGAGCAUUUUAAGAGAAUGAAGUUAAAAAUUUGUACAAAUUGUAGUGUAAAAAUCUUUAUCCGGGCGUCUUUAUCGUACUUUUAGUGUAAAAAUCUUUACUCGGGCGCUCUCACAUGCCAACAUUUGUAACAUUCAUGAAUCUCUCCAUGUGAAAAUUACAUAGGAACUAUUUCUCUUUUGUAGAUUGGGAUGAGAUUGAGUCUAUCAAGAUUUAAAGCAGUCACUAUAAUUAAAGAAACACCAAUCAAUUAUAUUGUUGAAGUUAGAUUUCUCUCAAUUUCUCAAAAAAACUAAGACGCCAAUUACAAUUACUUGUUUUUUAUUUUUUUAUUUUCUCUUUGCUUCUUUUGAUUUUCUUUACUAUAAUUUUCAGGCGUAUAAAGAAUAUAGAGCCACAUGUUUUCAAAUUUAUGAUAUUAAUUGGACACCUUAUAGACUGAUUCAAAAGUGAGGUAUUUGGCUAUUAAAAUACAAAGGGUAUAUAUUUGCAUUUUUUAAAAUGAAUGCAAAAAGUAUAAUUGAGCAAAAAUAAAGGAGAUAUUUUUUCUACAAAAAAAAAGGAGAUAUUUUAUGAAUGCAUUUGACCCUUAUUCGUGUCUUUUUAACCACCAUUUUUACUGUUUUUCAAUGAUGUAGAGUUUGUGGUGCCAUUUAAUUUGGGAAAGGAAUGUUAUUUUCCACCAUGGAAAAAUUUAGAUUUAGCCAUUAGAUUAAUGAGGUGUAUUGAUCUUAUCAUGGUCCACCCAUACUUUAUUCAUCCUCUAAGAUCUGGAAUUUUACACAGGAAAUCAACUAAUCUUCCAUGUCCCCACCCACCACCACCAUCACCACCACCAAACAAAAGCUUGCUUCCUUCUUCUAUGUUCUCACGCAGUCAUCAUCACCGUGAACAUUACAAACUCAUAAAACACCAUCAUCAACAACUUGUUAACCCAAACAGAAUUAUUCAAAAAACGCGUUUGUUGUUUUCUAUUUCUGGUUUGUGUUGCCAAAUCUAUUUCCAAAGAAUUUGAUUCUGGAUCCUUUUGAUAAUUUGUUCAUCAUUGUUUUGAUAAAUGACUUUAUGAUAUUUUUUUAUUUUAUUUCAGACUUAGAUCUAGCUGUUGAAAGAUUGAUUUGAGGUUGUGUUGUUUCUAGUUUUUGAUUUUGUUUUGUUUUGGGGAAGAAUCGUCACGGCGCUAACGUGAGGAAGAGGAUAGACGGCGGUCGGCAGUGAUGAUGGAGAGAAGGAGAAGAAUGAGCCUGAUGUGUAGUUGAAAUCAGAAGUAGUUAGUUUCGAUUGUUAAACAGAACACAUACAUGGUUUUGGAAAAUAAGAAAUAGUGAAGAGGAUAGAGUAAAAAGUAUCCACAAUUGUGAAGCCAACGUCGGAAGUAUGGAGGUGAGAGAGGAAGAUACGGCGACGGAAACAGUGGUUGUAAGCGGCAACUGCCAUGGAAGAGGCGUCAGAAGAAUAGAAGAAGAAGAUGAUAAUAGAGGAUGAGUGGUUAUUUCUGGUACUGACAGACCAUAAUAAUAUUAUGUUCCUUGCAUAAUCCAAUAAUCCAAAAAAACUUUCCUAUGGUGGAAAAAAAGUCUCCUUUCCCAAAUUAAAUGGCACGAAAGUUUGUUGGUUCAACACCCAAUCCAAGUGCAAGUAACAAUAACAAUGUUCAUAGUAGUAACUUCCUAAUGUUAAAGAGGGUUACAUCAGUUGAGACAUGAUCUAAAUAAAUGGGGGUAAUCCUCACCUCCGACUUCGGUUGAAAGAUGACCUCGAUAAGUGUUUAUAAGUGGAGUCAAUCCUCACAUCACAAUUCGAUUUU
rnacentral:lncRNA from 1 species